rnacentral:lncRNA from 1 species
GUAGACAAACAGUAAUAAGGUAGAGUGAUGUAGUGAUGAUGAAGAUACCAGUUUUAUUGCAGUAACAAGCUAGUCGAUGAAAAACACAAGCCUACUUUCAGUAUCUAUACGAGUAGGUUAAUUAAGCAGCACGAACUACUUUCCGGUUACAAAAAGCACACCUCACUGCCUCAUAUAUUAGGGGGGAUACAUUCAUAUAUACUGUAGCUCUUGCCGGGCAGGUUCCAGAUUAGUUUCGCCGGCGAUCAGGCCCGAACGUGCACUUCAGGCAGCAGGCGCACAGUCAUAGUCGUCAUCAUCGUCGUCGCCGUCCGACUCGGCCUUCCUAUGCCGCCCGCCGCACCAGGCGUCACACGGCACGGUGGCGUAAACGGCAUAGUCGGGAAUGCGUCCGUCUUGGACGACGAUGAGGCUCAUGACCUUCGACGCCGGUGCCAUGACGAGGAGCUAGCUUCGAGUCUAAGCGCAAGCUAGCUAUAGCUGGUACUGGCAGUCGUGAUGUGGCUGUUGUGGACUUGUGGUGUGUGUUAUCUUCAGAGUAUAGCCGCGUAUGGUGUGGGUUUUAUAGGACGACAGGAUGUGUGGAGAAAUGUGGCGGCACGCGGCGGGUUGCGCCAGGAGCGUGCGUCGGACAUGCCGCUGCGUGCAUGGCCUUGGCGCGGCACGGGCGCGGCCGUGCACACUCAGCACUUCAGCAGCCGGGGAGCCACGGCGGCACCGCCAUGCCGCUGAGCGCUGACAGGUGAGCGCCCGGGACCGGCGCGGUCUACAUGCCAGUGCCUGCGGCGGCUGCGGUACCGGGUGGCCCGGAUCGCCCGACGUGGUGGAGGAAUCGCGAGGAGGAUGGAGGGCCAGCCGGGCAGCGAGCUAACGGGAGAUGCCAAAAAGUUAGAACCGUCGACGCAAAUCUGUGUAGAUAUUUCGCACUUUAUUGCAGUUCAGUGCGGAUAUAUUCUGUCGUCUGCAUGCGUUCGUUGCGUCUGCUUCUUCCCUCCGGCGAUCAAUGUCAAUCCCAGUCGCCACACGGGCGGUACGUGCUCAAAAACAUGUUUUCGGUACGUUGAUGAUCGAUCAUGGUCGAUCCGUCGUUGCCGAAUACGGCAGUACCGCAUGGAGUGCCGACUAUUAAUAACAUGGUCACACUACUGGAAUCGGCAACGUUGUCUAGUGUCGGGAGAUUGCCUGCUCCAAUGUUGACAUCUAAAACAGACACAUUAUUUGUUCGCGGACCCGUGAACACCAAUUCACGGACACUGAUGCGGAAGACGACCAUCCAAUAUCAUCGUGUCAUGGUGGAGGAGAGAGACAGAGGAUGUAUGAAUUUCUGGGGUGACGGUUUUUGGUUGGCUAGACGGUUGUCCGGACUCUCGCAAAAUCUCCUUCCUUUAAUUUACUUCUAGUUUGAGAGAGUUUGUAAGUCUAGACGUGUUUUGGACACUUGAAAGAUAGCAUUGGAUGGCAAAAAGUAUCUGAACCAGGACAUAUAGGGAUGAUUUGACGGUGUGCAUUGAAAAUGCCCUUAUCCGGGAGCUCGACAAUGAGCACCGUUUACCGAGUGGCCACCAGGUAAACUCCCCAAACGUGAAAAGCUCAAAGUUAAGCACCGUUUAUCGACCUUUACAUGACACAUAGUAUUAGAAAACCUCAGCCUCAAAGGUGGACUACUCCCAGAUCGUCAUGGGAACAUCAAAGGGUUGAUGUACUGGUCGAUGGAAAUCAGUUCCAAAAAAAGGUCGAUGAAAAUUGAUUCCCUCCUUCGGCAACGUGGCAGAACAUGGCCAAAACCUAGGGAAAACCAGGCAAAAAUAAAAUGCCAAAAAAGCUUAAAAAACUAUCUAGACCCAAAAAAAGAGCGCAAGAAAAGACCGAAAGUCAAAGAAAGCAACCAACAUGCGCUACACAUUAGGGCAAUUACCCUUUUGGAAGCUCCGUAAGGUAUCCAUGGGUUAGUUGCUGUUGCUGGUGUGGGGAGCUCGGGAACGGUGGCUAGUGCUGCGCUUUCUCAUUUUCUACUCUCUUCGUCCCACAAUGUGAGACAUUUUUGUAAGGUUUCUUGCGUUUUAUGAAUUUUGUGAUUCAUAUAACAUGCAAAUCCACUCGUCGUUCUACGAUUGACGACGGGGUUGUACUAUCUAGGAUGUUGGCGGUCUGUUUGAUUUGAGCCCCAAGUAGCCCGACCGAUAUAUUUGCAUGACCAAAUUUUUAGUAAGAUGGUGUUGUUUGGUUUAUAGCCAUUGUACCAAAUUUUUGGUAAAGUUGUUGGACUUCCAUUUGGUUUGGAACCAACUGAGUCUGCGUAUCGCAACGUGUAUUGGGUUAGGGCUUGGUUUAAUUAAUUCUGGUUUACUUUCAGCAAGUUUGCACACUGCAACAUGUAUGAUUGGGUUAGUGCUUGGUUUAAUGCUGGUUUACUUUCAGUGUUAAGUUGCUAAAAGAGUGAGAUGCAUAUAUCAAUUGAGGUCUCUAGUUUAAUCAGCCCACAUUCAAUUGAGGUCUCUAGUUUAAUCAGCCCACAUUCAAUUGAGGUCUCUAUUUAGAAUUAGAUCACCCUUUGAUGGGAUCAAUAAUUUCUUAAGAGUUCUUAAAUUAUAUUCCUUAAAUUCACUAUGCUCUUGAAUUUUGGAGCUCUUAUAUGAUUGAAGUAUUAAAUUUUGGAUUUAGUUCAUGAUUUUAACCGGGUCAAUAUUUUUUCAAAUCAACCAGCAGCAACCAACCUAUGAAAACAUGUGAGCCCGCGCACCCUCUCGCCACCUAGACAAAAGAUGUGCCAACAUGUAAUACCGUAGCACUAAUAUAAUAUAUGCAUCCACCGACACAGAAAAUUGCCACACCUAAAUAUGGGUUAAAUAGUAGAUAACACCGAAUCACAUAGCGGAAUGCCCAUCAAAACACCUCACUAUAAAAAAAGGACACACUCCAUCGUCUCUCCCACUCGCCAAAUCAAAUAUUCUUGAGUUUUAAAUGUUUCAAAAGUGAAUUUUUCAUUAACUUUGAUCAAGUUCAGAACCAAAAAUAUCAACAUCCACGUAUAUCUAAUACACUAUGCUCCAUAAUUGUAGAGGUCUCACAAUCAGUUGACGUUUUCAAUUCGGAAUUGAGUCACUCAAUUUUGACUGGAUCAACAAUUUCUAAAGAGUUCUCAAAUUCAAUUCUUUUAAUUCAAUAUGCUCUUGAAUUUUGUAGCUAUCUUAUAUGAUUAAGGUAUUUAUAUUUGUAUUUCUUUCAUGAUUUUGACCGGGUGAACAAUUCUUCAAAUCAAUCGGUAGCAACUGACCUAUAAAAACAUAUCACCCCACAACACCCUCUGGCCACAUAGAAAAAAGAGGUGCCAACAUGUAAUACCGUAGCACCAAUAUAAUACAUGUAGCCACCAACAAAGAGAAUUAACACACAAAAAUAUGGGUUAAUUAGUAGAUAACAUUGAAUCACACAACGGAAUGCCAACCAAAACACCGCACUAUAAAUAAAAAGAAGACACACUCCGUCGUCUAUCCCACUCUCCAAAUCAAAUAUUCCCGAGUUUCAAAAUAUAAGGUGCAUUAUUUUUUUGGAAAGUGAAAUUUCAUUAACUUUGACUAUGCCCAGAGCCAAAAAUAUCGACAUCCCCGUAAAUCUAACACACUAUGCUCCCUAAUUUUAAAGGUCUCACAAUCAAAUGACGUCUUCAAUUUGGUUGGGUCACUCGAUUUUGACCCGGUCAACAUUUUCUUAAUGCAUCUCAAUAAUUUUAUAAAUCAAUCGGCAGCAACCAACAUAUAAAAACAUAUCAUCCCGCAACGCCCUCUUGUCACCUUGAAAAAAGAGGUGUCAACAUGUAAUAUUGUAAUACCUUUAGUCCCGGUUUGUGUCUCAAACCGGGACUAAAGUCCUCUGCCUAUACAUAGCACAACCCCCCUCUCCACUCUUCCUUGCAUUUUUCUUGGAUGGAGGAUUGUGGGUGUGUGCUAGCUCUCCACUUUUUUUUUAUGCACUAGAGGUGUUUGUUGAAAUGUGUGUUAGAGCGAUGCCGCCUCAGUUCACCGAACACAACUACGAUAUGAGAUGCCUGAGCCACGCUUAAACCUCUUCCUCUUUAUUUCUACUUAUUCUAAAAGGUUAGCAACUAUAUUUCCUCGUUUAGGCCGUGCGGUACUAAUUUUUAGGAUCGUAAUUGUAUUUGAUAUACUGUCGUAUAACGCAGAUGAGCCAUCCAUGGAUGUACGGUGAUCGACGCACAGCCGCUUACAGAGAAGGCGUGCAUUCUUUUCGAGAUGCAGCCGAUGCGAACAAGCAUGGUGGUGGCUUUAUGUUUUGUCCAUGUGUUGAAUGUCGGAAUGAGAAGGAUUACACUUCCUCAAGAGUCAUUCAGAGCCACCUGCUUCGGUCCGGUUUUAUGUCGGACUAUAAUGUUUGGACCAAGCACGGAGAAAGAGGGGUUAUGAUGGAAGACGACGAUGAAGAAGAAAAGAACGAUGAUGACAACUACCGAUCUAUGUUCCCUGAGUAUGCUGAUACCGCAAUGGAAGACAAUGAAGAAGAAGAUCAGGAUGAAGAACGGGAACCAGAUGAGCCUGCUGAUGAUCUUGGCCGGGUCAUUUCUGAUGCACAGCGAGGUUGCGACACAGAAAAGGAGAGGUUACAGUUCGAGCAGAUGUUACAGGACCACAACAAAUUGUUGUACCCAACUUGUGAAGAUGGCCAGAAGAAGCUGGGUAGCACACUGGAAUUGCUGAAGUGGAAGGCAGAGACCGGUGUGACUGACUCGUCAUUCGAGAAGUUGCUGGUACUAAUGAAGAAGAUGCUUCCAAGAAAGAACGAAUUGCCCGCCAGCACGUACGAAGCAAAGAAGCUUGUCUGCCCUCUAGGAUUAGACGUGCAGAAGAUACAUGCAUGCCCUAAUGACUGCAUCCUCUACCGCGGUGAGAAGUACGAGAAUAUGGAUAAAUGCCCGGUAUGCACUGCAUUGCGGUAUAAGAUCAGAAAAGAUGACCCUGGUGAUAUUGAGGGCGAGCCACCCAGGAAGAGGGUUCCUGCCAAGGUGAUGUGGUAUGCUCCUAUAAUACCACGGUUGAAACGUCUGUUCAGAAAUAAAGAUCAUGCGAAGUUGUUGCGAUGGCACAUGGAAGAUCGUAUGAAAGACGAUAAGUUGAGGCACACCGCUGAUGGUCGGCAGUGGAGAAAAAUCGAGAGAGAGAGUUCCCGAGAUUUGCAGCUGACGCAAGGAACUUAUGGUUAGGUCUGAGUACAGAUCGCAUGAAUCCUUUUGGGGAGCAGAGUUGCAGUCACAACACCUGGCCCGUUACUCUAUGUAUCUACAACCUUCGUCCUUGGUUGUGCAUGAAGCGGAAGUUCAUUAUGAUGCCAGUGCUUAUCCAAGGUCCAAAGCAACCCGGCAACGAUAUUGAUGUGUACCUAAGGCCAUUAGUUGAUGAACUUUUACAGCUGUGGGCCAAACCAGGUGUACGUGUGUGGGACGAGCACAAACAAGAGGAAUUUGACCUUCGAGCGUUGCUUUUCGUAACCAUCAAUGAUUGGCCUGCUCUUAGUAACAUUUCAGGACAUUCAAACAAGGGAUUCAAUGCAUGCACGCACUGUUUGGAUAAGAUAGAAAGUAUAUAUCUGGACAAAUGUAGGAAGUAUGUGUACCUGUACAAUCGUCGUUUUCUUCCGCCCAAGCAUCCCUUAAAGAAAAAAGGCAAGCAUUUCAAUGGCAAGGCAGAACCCCGGGGGAAGCCUGUCAUCCGUACUGGUGCUGAAGUAUUUGAUAUGGUCAAAGAUUUAAAAGUAAUCUUUGGAAAGGGUCCUGGCAGCCAACCUGUUCCUAACGGCCCUGAUAAGCGCGUACCCAUGUGGAAGAAGAAAUCUAUAUUUUGGGAGCUACCCUACUAGGAAGUCCAUGAGGUCCGCUCGGCAAUCGACGUGAUGCACCUGACGAAGAAUCUCUGCGUGAAUAUUCUAGGCUUCCUGGGCUUGUAUGGGAAGUCAAAAGAUACACCGGAAGCACGGGAGGACCAGGAACGUCAUAAAGGAAGAGAUGGCAUGCAUCCAGGGCAGUUUCAAGGGCGUGCCAGCUACGCACUUACUAAGGAAGAGAAGGAAAUCUUCUUUGAAGUCCUUUUCAGUAUCAAGGUCCCGACUGGCUUCUCGUCGAAUAUAAAGGGAAUCGUAAAUAUGAAAGACAAAAAAUUCCAAAACCUAAAGUCUCAUGACUGCCACGUGCUUAUGACGCAAUUGCUUCCGGUUGCAUUGAGGGGAAUUCUACCGGAAAAUGCUCGCCUGGCAAUUGUGAAGGUAUGUGCAUUCCUCAAUGCAAUUUCUCAGAAGGUAAUCGAUCGAGAAAGUCUAUCAGGGUUACAGAUUGAUGUGGUCCAAUGUCUGGUCAGCUUUGAGUUGUUGUUCCCGCCAUCCUUCUUCAAUAUAAUGACACACCUCCUAGUUCACCUAGUCGAAGAGAUUAGAAUUCUCGGUCAUGUGUUUCUACACAAUAUGUUCCCCUUCGAGAGGUUCAUGGGAGUCUUAAAGAAAUAUGUUCGUAAUCGUGCUAGGCCAGAAGGAAGCAUCUCCAAGGGCUAUGGAACAGAGGAGGUCAUUGAGUUUUGUGUGGACUUUCUUCCUGACCUUAAGCCGAUUGAUGUUCCUGAAUCUUGGUAUGAGGGUAGGCUGACAGGAAAAGGCACACUAGGAAGGAAAGCAAAAUUAUGUAUGGACGGGCAUUCUUUCUCUCAAGCACACUACACAGUUCUACAUAAUUCCACCGUGGUGGCUCCGUAUAUCGUGAGACACAAGAAUAUUCUACGCUCCGAAAACCCGGGGAAGGCUGACUCUUGGAUUAAAGGGGAACACGAGAAGACUUUCGGCAGUUGGUUGCAGACACAUCUCAUGAAUGACGACACCGUUGGAGAUCAGCUAUACUGUUUGGCCAGGCCACCAUCUUCGACUAUAUGUACUUUCCAAGGGUAUGAGACAAAUGGGAAUACAUUUUACACGGUUGCCCGAGAUAAAAAGAGCACCAACCAAAAUAGUGGUGUCCGCUUUGAUGCAACAGACGAGAAUGGGCACUGUUUGGAAACAUAUUACGGGUACAUAGAGGAGAUAUGGGAAUUUGACUAUGGACCUACUUUUAAGAUCCCUUUGUUUCGAUGCAAAUGGGUGAAGCUGACAGGAGGCGGGGUAGUUGUAGACCAAAAGUACGACAUGGCAACAGUGGAUCUCAACAAUCUUGCGUACAUGGACGAACCAUUUGUCCUAGCCAAUGAUGUCGCUCAGGUUUUCUAUGUGAAGGACAUGUCUACAAAAACGAGAAGAAGAAAUCAGCAAAAGAAGAUAUCGUCCGAUGAGCCAAAACGCCACAUAGUUCUUUCAGGAAAAAGAAACAUCGUGGGAGUAGAUGAUAAGACAGACAUGUCAGAAGAUUAUAAUAAGUUUCAUGAAAUUCCGCUCUUCAAAGUGAAAACUGACCAAAGCAUCCUACUGAAUGAUGAAGAUUCUCCAUGGCUACGACCUAGAAGAAAAUAGAAAUAAUAGAUAGGAAUAUUGGUGCAAUAAUGUAAUAAUGUAUUAAACCUUUUAUGUAAUGCAUGUAUGGAAUGUACUAAAUUUCAAACACUUUUCAUUUUCAUAGUUUUAUCAAAUUCUCAAAUACACAAAAAGAAUUUUAAUAAACCUUUGUAAGAGAUGAGUUCUCGUUCGAAACCCUCAUACUUCGAGAGAGAUUGUCCAUUUUGUACACGAAGUGCAUCCAGUUUUUGUCGUAGCCCUCUCAACUUUUUAACACAUGCUAUGUGGGUGAAAUGAUGAUAGCAUGCCAACUUUCAACAUUUUCAGAGUUCAUUUGUAGUGCUUUUCAAUUUCAGGGUCAACUAGCUCAAAAAAAUAAGUAAAUGCACGAAGAAUACCAAAUGAAGUCAAAAAUUGUUGAAAUUUUGUGAUGUGCCUUUGAAUGGUGCAUUUUGAACACACAAAAAGUAUGGAGUUCAAAUAAGUUUAAAAAAAUGAAUUCCCUUUGUAAGAGAUGAGUUCUCGUUCGAAACUCUGAUACUUCGAGAGAGAUUGUUCGUUUUGUACACGAAGUGCAUCCAGUUUUUGUCGUAGCCCUCUCAACUUUUUAACACAUGCCACAUAACCUUAUAGGAGCAUACCACAUAACCUUAGCAGGAACCUUCUUCCUGGGGUAUCGUCAUCGCCCUCAACAUCAUCAGGGUCAUCCUGUCCGAUCUUGUACCGACAUGCAGUGCAUACCGGGCAUUUAUCCAUAUUCUCGUACUUCUCACCGCGGUACAGGAUGCAGUCAUUAAUGCAUGCAUGUAUAUUCUCCACAUCUAAUCCAAGAGGGCAGAUAGACUUCUUUGCUUCGUACGUAGUCUCGGGAAAUUCGUUAUCCUUUGGAAGCUUCGGCUUCAAUAUUUUCAGUAACUUCUCAAAUCCCUUGUCAGAUAAACCAGUUUCUACCUUCCAUUUCAAUAGUUCCAGUGUGGUACCAAGCUUUGUGCUGCCAUCUUCGCAAUUUGGGUACAACAACUUUUCAUGAUCCUUUAGCACGACCUCCAAUUUCAGCUUCUCCUUUUCUGUAUCGCAUUCUCUCUUUACAUCAGAAAUGACCCGACCAAGACCAUCAACGGGCUCAUCUGAUGCCGGUUGUUCUUCACCUCCUUCUUCUUCAUUGUCUUCCAUUGUAGUAUCACUGUAUUCUUCAGUGAACAUAGGAUAGUUGUCAUCACCAUCUUCUUCUUCAUUGUGUUCCAUCCUAACCCCUCUUUCUCCGUGCAUGGUCCAACAAUAAUAUGUGGGUAUGAAACCUCUCUGAAGCAAGUGGAGAUGAAUGUUUUUCGAUCUAGAGUAUUCCUUCACGUUUCGACAAACAACACAUGGACAAGGCAUAAAAUUAUCCACUUUGUUUGCCUUAGCCACAUCGAUAAAUUUGUGCAUGCCUUUUAUAAAUCCGGAACCGCGUCGUUCGCCGUACAUCCAUCACUUCCGUGCAUCGAUCUGGCAUCAUACAUGAAUAGUGAAAUGACCACCGUACAUUGACACAUGCAAUAUUUUUGUAUCAAUUACAGAUGAAAAGGAUAGGGUUGCUAACCUCGGUCGAGGAUACCAUUUUGUGUGAACUUAAGUGUGAUUCGGGCAUUAGUCGAGGUUCUUAAUGUACUCCGAAGUGUGUCGAUCACCGUACAUCCAUUGGCGAUUCAUCUCUAUUAUGAAAUUAAAUAUAUCAAAAAACCAUUGCAGAACAUAUGACCAAAUUAAUACAAGUUCAUCAUCACAUUAAAGCCAAAGAACAGUAGUGAUCAAAUGUUAUUAUUGCAAAAAAUAAAUACAUAAAGUUUUCUCAUAAAACAACAUACAACUAUGUAAAACAUUUAAAUAAAACAAAAAAUGCGAUCAAAAUCGCAACUAAGGUAACAAUUGACCAAACAGCAUAAUGAUACCAAGCCUCUUUAUCAAUGGCAUAUUUUCUAAUAUUUCUAAUCUUCAAGCGCAUUUUAUCCAUCUUCAAGCGCAUUGCAUCCAUCUUCAACCGCAUCACAUCGUUCUUCAUCUUGCGAUCAUCGAUGACAUCGGCGACAUGAAACUCCAGUUCCAUAUUCUUAUCCUCAAUUAUUUUCAAUUUUUUCUUCAAGUAUUUGUUUUCUUUUUCAACCAAAUUUAACUUCUCGAGAAGAAUUUCUAUGUGGUUUGGAAUUUCCGGUUCACAUACCUCCUAGAUUAAAAAAUAUAUGUCACAUUGGUCGUCAUAAUUGUCAUAAACACUAAAUAAAACAAAUAGUUAUAAAAGAUAAUAUAUACCACAUCCGAAUCAUAGACAGGACGAGGACCGACGGAGGCGGAUACCAAAACCAUCGCACUAUAUAAUAACAAAAAAUAAUGAAAGUGAGUAAUUUAUACAAGUAUGUAUCUAAAUCAUACAAGUAAGACUUUUUUCUUUUAAAAAGAAGAUAAGAACAAGAGGCUCACCACGGUGGUGCUCGCGACGAGAUCGGCGCGGGGCGAUCGACAAUGGUGAGGACGGGCACGGGACGACACCCUACACAUGUGCAGACUCUAAGAAGUUAAUUUGAGCAUUUGAAACCAGCUACACUAGCAGUGACAAAUGAAAGGAUGAAGUAGCUAACCUUUUAAAACACUUGUGCAGUUGGUGCACGGCCAAACCUAGACAAAUAUUAAGGAAAAUGGAGCUUGGAGGUCGAGCUUGGAGAGGAGAAAGCUUAAGUAGAGUGGCUCGGGCAUUUCAUAGAACACGUCAUGUGCAUGAACUAGAGUGGCAAGAGCAUGGCAUGGUCACACUUCAACAACCAAAAAACAGGGGAGAGGGUGGGCAGGCGCGAGGGUUUAUAUAGGCAACACUUUAGUCCCGGCUUUUGUCUAAAACCGGGACUAAUAGCCUAACCUUUAGUCCCGGUUCUUGCCACAAACCGGGACUAAUGCUCCGCGGCACGCCCCUGCUUCCCGCCUUUUGGUCUGCCGAAAAAGGGCCUUUAGUCCCGGGUCGUGGCUCCACCCGGGACUAAAGGGGGUCUUUAGUCCCGGAUCGAGCCCCGAACCGGGACUAAAGAUCCACCUAUAUAAGCGGGAGUCAGAAAAUUUCCAACCCAAAUCGCAUUUCCUUCUAUCCUUCUUCCUCGUUCUCCUGCCCAGCGCGGCACAGCGACGAACUCGGCGACGCCGUCAGGCUCCCCGCCGUCCUGCUCGCCGCCGCCUGUCGUCGCCGUCGUCCUCCUCGCCGCGCGCCGCCCUCCUCGCCGUGCGUCGCCGUCCUCCUCGCCGCGCGCCGUCGACACCUCCGGCCGGUAAGCCCCCCACCCCCUCCUCCCCAACACUCUGACCAGUAGAAGAAAAGAAGAAAAAGGAGAAGAAAGGAAGAAAAAGGAGAAGAAAAGAAGAAAAAGGAGAAGAAAGGAAGAAAAAGGAGAAGAAAAGAAGAAAAAGGAGAAGAAAAGAAGAAAAAGGGAAGAAAGGAAGAAAAAGGAGAAGAAAAAGGGAAGAAAACAAGAAAAAGAUUUUUUUUGUCAUUUAAUUCCUAUUGUUAUUAGGUUUGUGCUAGAUUAUUAGGGUUAGUAAUAUGUAGAAUUAGGAAAAAGGAAAAUAAGAAGAGGAGGAGAAGAAAAGAAGAAAAAGGAGAAUAAGAAGAGGAGGAGAGGAGAAGAAGAGGAAAAAUAGAAGAAGAGGAGAAGUAGAAGAAGAGAAAAAAAUUAGAAGAGGAGGAGAGGAGAAGUAGAAGAAGAGAAGAGGAGAAGUAGUAGAAGAAGAGGAGAAGAAGAAGUAGAAGAAGAGGAGAAAUAGAAGAAGAGGAAAAAUUAGUAUAGGGUUACAAGAAGAAGAAAUUUUUUUUGUCAUUUAAUUUUGCUAUUGUAUAGUGUAUAUGCUUAAGUGUUAAUAGUGUUUCUUAGAUUAUUGCUUAAUUUUGCUAUUGUAUAUGCUUAAGUGUUAAUAGUUUAAUUUUGCUAUUGUAUAUGCUUAAGUGUUAAUAGUUUAUUUUUAGCAAGAAAAUUAAUAGAACUAGUUUAAUUUUGAUAUUGUAUAUGCUUAAGUGUCCGAGACUAGGCUUCGCCUGGCUAGUAUUUUAGAGUUUAGGUUCUAGCCAAGACCCGGGACUAAAGAUCCUCCUAUAUAAAACGACACUUCGAAGUUUCCAACCCCUCUUAUAUAGUUUGUUAGUUUAUUAGUUAAUCAAAUGUCCGUUUUUUGCAGAACUAUGGAUCCACAUAUCAGGAACCUCGAAGAGGAAGAACUUCUCAAAGAUAUAAUCAAAGACGGCCCCGACGUUGAACCAGCUGAAUCUCCGUAGUCAUAUCUAAACCCCUCCAAAUAUGGAAUGGAGGUCGAGCGACACGAAGAUGAAGCCAAUGGGGCAGGAGAUAGGUCCAAUGACGAAGAAGGUGAUAGCUCCACUGAUGGAGAAGCCGGUGGAGAAGCCGGUGAAGAAAUAAUAAACUCCGGCGAGGUAUACAUAUGAAGUUCGACAAUCACUUGUAAUAUGUGAAAAAUAUUGGAGAUAGCUCUAUAUUGUAUGCAUAUACAUUCAUUUGACGAAUGUUUCUCCCUCUUAGGCCUCCACAUCGAGCAAAGCUACGAAACGAGGCCCGACUAGAAAGUUGGAUGCACGGACGCAUUACACCUUUGAGGUGAUAUUGCCUACGGACGAACCCAAGCUUCCUAAGAAUACUGCUGACACAUUUAAGAAGCAAUGCAGAGUUCUCGUUAGGGAUCACGUCCCGAUCAGCGUUUGGGAGUGGAACAAGCGCAAAGGGGCAGCCGAUAGUGACUAUGUCGCUGAAAGGUACAAAGAUAAUCUUUGGAAUGAUCUCAUGUCACAUUUCAACCUGCCAGAAUGUGAGAAUGAAGACGCCGCAGACAAACUGAGGGCCAAAGUCAAGCAGUGGACUUUAAAGAAGAUGGCCGAACUGUUCCGUAGCUGGAAGAAGAAGCUAUGGAAAAACUAUCUGAAGACAAAGAAAAGUGCCAGUAUUCGAGGGGUAUCUAGCCAAGCAGGCGAAUCACUCGACAAACGCGAGGCUUCGGUCCUUCUUACCCGUGGUGGCUUGGGUUUGCCAGAGACCAAGACACUUACAGAAGCCGAGAGAGAGCAAAGAAGCGGCGGCAGAGGAUGAGGAGAAUGACAAGUUCAACCAGUUGCUUGCGAGGAUUAACGAGCAACAGAAGCAGAUUGAUGAGCUUAGAGGAGUAGCGCGCCAGGAAGAUCCUGCACUUGAUAUUACCGGCGCACCAUCUAAGCGGAAAAGCAGCGUGGCUGAAUCUGAGGCCCCGCCUGACGAUGCACGAAGAAUGAUAGAGGGCGGUCCCAGCUACCCCGUGGAUGGAAUCAAGGAGUCAACAUCAUGUGAACUCCAUCAGAAAUUCAAGAACAUAUCCAUGAAGGUGGCCGUCAGACAAGCUUUACCUUCUGGUCCUGAUGCACGCUGGCAUGGCCGUGAGAUUCCAGCUGUCUUUGCUAAAGUCGGGGUGGAUGAAAUCAUGGCGGGGUUUCAUGAUAUGGAGCUCGACAUAGCUGGACCCGAAGAUGAGAGGACACUCGGAGAAGUACUGGGUGGAGUCAUCCUAUGGGACAAGAACUACAUCAAGCUUCCAGGCUCGGCCCCAAGGACAACACCGCCUUCGAGUCGUCGCAGGUCACCUACACCUCCAUUACCUCCAAGCCCUCCACAUGACGUAGUCUAGCACAACACGAGUCCAUCUCGAUCACCGCUGCCGGACUUGGGUCGUCCGUCUCCGCCACCGCCCGCUCCGGAUACUAAGCGGGAGCGUGCCACCAAGAACGCUCCGUCGACGAUUUCUAAGCGACGGAGCCCCCAAAAGCGCAAAUGGUCACCCCUCCCAAAGGUACCUCAUGCUAAUCUUCCUAUCAGACCUUAUGAUCGUACCCCCGAGGAAAAUGCCAGGAUAGCAAAGGAACAUCAUGAUGCGCAGAUGAAAAAGAAGGAACCAGAGCCUCGCCCGGAAUACACCGAGAAGCAAAUAGCAUUUGCAAAAUACUUCACGACCCUUCCAUCACAGUAUGACUUACACCAUAAGCCUGAUGACUAUACACGCACAUUGCAGAAGGAAGUGAAAAAGAGCAGAUCACGUGCAAGUGCAAGUGGGAGCAAAUCAAGUUCAACUACAAGCAAGAAAAAAUCAGACGUUUCUCAACUUGGACAACAGGCCAAACAGUCGAUCCCACCCCUCAAGGUGUUAACCGAGAAUGUCCCCCCCCCCCGGUGCAGGGGCAAGAUUUUGAAUUAGCAAAGAAGUGGGCGGCUGAAUGGGGUGUCUCGGUUGAAGAUGUUCUGGCUUCCCAAGACGACAGGUUACCCAAGGCUGUGGUAGCCCCUAAGCCACAGUUUGUCAUGAGAGAACCUUUGGUCAGCAAAGAUGAUCUCCCAAUAAAUAUGCGUUACUUGCAUACAUGGUACUUAAGUGAAUCAAAGAAUGGGAGAACGAUGAUCGUGGUGAGUGUCCCACGGGAGUACUUCGGCCGCCCCGAAGAAAUCCAUAUCAACUUUGAUGAACUCUUCCAUAUGUACAAUGGCGACGCCCUCGACAAAUCGCUUAUGAGUUGCUAUUGUCUGUAAGUUUUUCAAUUCGUUGUCUACAUAUAACUUGUUUAGUUAUUUCAAUUCAUUGUCUAUAUAUAACUUGUACUCUAUUAUGCAGAAUGAAGAUUCUGGAUUGUAAAAGUAAGAACAUCCUAAAUAUUGGGUUUAUUGACCCAGAUAAAAUACAUAUAGCGACACUAACUGAUAAACCUAAGGAGACGGAGGAAAACCUUCUAAGGUUUCUAACAGAUCAAAAAUUUUGUGACCACAUACUGUUUCCAUACAACUUCAGGUGGGGGUCUUUACUCUGUUGUGUCCAUUCACUUAUAAGUGUAAUUGAUAAGUUACUGACACACACUCACACACAUAUAUAUAUAUACAUGUGCAGCUUUCAUUGGAUUCUGUUGGACAUUCAAAUUGAUAAGGGAAGAGUUGAUGCCUUCGACCCAUUAUCGAGACCCUUGGAACAAUUCCAAAGCCUGCAGGACAUGCUCCAAGGGUAAUUUCAAUCAUUCUUGCGCUCUAUCGGUCUCUUUCGAUGAUUUUCUGAUAUAUCAAUUAAUAAAAAACUUAGCAAAUCAUUAUCCUUGUCGGGCAGGGUUUGGAAGCGGUUCAAGUGCGUGACUCCCGGUAUCGAGCCUGAGAAGCUGACCUUUAGAGCGGCUCAGGUAAGUAGUAGUAUGAUAUACUUCUAUUUUCAAUACAUUUAUGAUGCUAGAUUAUUAUUUUGAUUAUAUAUAUUCUAUUCUCGUAAAGUGCGACCAGCAGCCACGGGGGACGCAUCUAUGCAGAUACUAUGUUUGCGAGACCAUUCGCACGUUUACCUCUGAGCACAAGGAUCACAAAUUCGACGUAAGCAAUGAACAUUCACACCUCUAUUUUUUACCCGUCAUUCUUUGUUAUCAUGAUUGAUAUUCAUAUUCAUCUCCUCUUCUUAUAUAGUACACGGCCAUGAGGACGAAGGUCCUACCAGAGCAACGCGCGAUUGCUGUUGCAGAGGAGCUUGCGACCUUUCUGAAGACGGAAGCUAUAGAUGACAAAGGAUGAUUUAGUGNAUUGUUUUACCUAGGUUCACGUGCUUAGCAUUGUUUCUUCAUGGGUCACCAAACUCAUCUCUUUCCUAUUAAUUAGCUUGUCACAUCAGAUUUUUUAUCUAUGUAUCAGUUUUAACAUCUGUAUAAGGUGGAGCAUUCGGAGUAGCCUAAUAUGAUUGUCGGUACUCAAUAGUACAUGGAAUACACAGCAGUGAGUGGGCCAUGACACUUUAAAUUCGUAUUAGAUAUGCAAUCGAAAAGAUCUUAUAUUAGUUUGCAGAGGUAUUACUGAUCAAAAUGUCAGUUUUAUUGAAGGCCGGUCUCAAACAGUAUAGUGAUGUUCUGAUCAAGAUAUCAGUUUUAUUGCAGUAACAAGCUAGAGGAUGAAAAGCACAAGCCUACUUUCAAUAUCUAUACGAGAGUAGGCAACUAAGCAUAGCUAAAUUGAGUAUAUUUAGCCAGCAGCGCCAGCACACGGUGGGUUAAUUAAGCGGUGCGAACUACUUCCCGGUUACACAAAACACACCUCAUUGCCACGUAUAUUAGGGGGAUACAUUCGUACUAGCUCUUGCCGUUGGCGGGCAGGUUCCGGAUUCGUCUCGCCGGGGACAAGGCACGAACGUGCACUUUAGGCAGGCGCGCAGUCAUAGUCGUCAUCAUUGUCGUCGUCGUCCGACUCAGCCUUCCUAUGCCGCCCGCCGCAGCAGUCGUCACUCGGCGCGGCAUCGCAAACGGCAUAGGUGGCAAUGCCGCCGUCUUGGACGACGAUGGGGCUCAUGACCAUGGACGCCGGCGCCAUGACGAGGAGCUAGCUUGAGUAUGCAGGCGAAUCACAAGCUUGAGGUCUAAGCCUGGCGAUGCUAGCCGUGUUGGUGUUGUUGGCAAUAAGCCACGGUGAGCGUAGCCUGCAUGCGUGCGGGCGUGAGCUGGCCGCGUCGGAUCCGUGGCAGGUGUCCCUGUGUGUGUCUAGGCAUAGUCUGGUUAGUGUUCAACUUACAGGAUGGUCUGGCCAUGGUCCGUGUAUAGUCCGGCUAGUUUACAGGCUGUGUGCGUGCGUGAGUGUGUGUCUGUUAGCUAGAUAGCCGAGGAUGUGACCGCGUCGCCUGCACUAGAAAUGGCCGCGUUGUUCGCGUUGGAGCGCGAUGGGUGCGCUGGCUGGGAGUGCGAGACGUGGAGAGCGAGUCUCCUGGUGGAGUUCAGUUUGAUUAGACAAUGAACUUUAACACUACAAACUAAGUUGUUACAUGUUACAUAAUCUGCAUCAGCACAUGGCUCGGAUAGAUUAAACAAUUACACAAUCUGCAUCGGCACACGGCUAAACUAAAAUAUGACCAUCAGAUCAACAUAAACUAUGCACUGGACCAUGUGCUUACUAUCAUUGUUAAUACAAAAAAUACAGCUUUUGUGCAGCAUCUGACCUUAUUAGCACACACUCAUAACCUCUUGCCCAUGUCAAAUCCUUCAAAGACCACACACCUCUCAGCUGCCAGACUAUGGUGCUCGCAAGGAACCAUCGGUGUUGUCUCAACGCCCAUGUAGUCCUGGUCUUCAAUGCUAGCAGGGACCUACAACAAAAAAAUGAACAAAGAAUCCCCCAAAUCAAAUUGAAUCCCCAAGAACACAAACCCUAACUCUAAGCCUAGUUCUACAACUCACCAGGUACUUCAUGCCGUCGAAGGAGGAGCUGAUGUGCAGCAGGCUAGAGUAGUUGUUGUUGUUUUCGUUCUCGUACACCAUGGCACUAUGACGGCGGCGACGGUCGACCGCGAAUCGGAGGAGGGAGGAAGAGAGCUCGAGGAGAGCAAGAGAGUGCGUAGGGGUUCGGCUAGGUUCGAUCAAGCCCACCAAGAUCGACCGUACCGGCUUCGUCCUAGUCAGCAGAGCGGCACAUGCUAGUUGGCCAUGUAUCACUAAUAGGUGGGGCCGCACGGUCAGAUACACGCUCAAUAUAGGGUUAUACGGCUGUCAGACCUUUUUGCAACAAUUAGGUCCUAAAAUGAUACUAAAUUGCGACCAACAUGAUUUGUGGUACUGACUCGUAACAUGGUGCCGAAGUGUGAUAGCCCCCUGCAAUUAACUCGUUCUCGUAAGGGUUCCCCUGUGUCUUCUGCGAGGAUGACGUGGCGGUCGGGGUCAGGUCCGACGCAUUAACAUAAUAACAUGCUGCUACAUGACAUUGACGGGAUUACCCUCGACUCUUCGUUGAACAAACUUAGGCAUGUGUUAAUGAAGGUUUCUUAGCGCAGGUUUAUAGGCAUUUUGCUGAUGUGUCACAACAGUUAAUGAUGAGAGAAAGUAGGAUUGUAUCUUAGCUAAGAUACAACAUCUGCACGUCACCAUAUGUAAAAAUGGUUAAUAGGUCAAUCACAUCUAUGCAUCAACACCAAAUUAUUAAAUUUAGAGACAACCUCUAAAAAAUAAUACAUUGGGUUAGUAGUCUCUUAAGUUAUUAAUGCUUCUAUCAUAAUGUGCUGAGAAACCAUGCAUUGGCACAGGAUUUAUGCAACAAUAACUGAUGCAAAAAAUGGCAACAAAGGAUAGCACAAAGGAGCAUGCAAUGAUGGAGCUAUUACUUCGGUAGGUAACCAUUCCACAAGAGACACAAAUACAUACAUCAUCUCGGUUGCGUGGCAUUAAACAUUCCACCGAAUGUUGCCCGUGGCGCUUAUUUUCAUCUGUAUAAUAGCCAUGAAUAUAUCCGACACACCUAUAAUAACUCAAAUAAUCCCUCACAAAAAAAAUUAAAAUAAUAGAUAUAUGUCUAUCAUAGUGAGCCGCCCAAUUAAAGAAUGAACAUCUCACAUUGAACACUCACUGGAAUUAUAACAACACACAGUAAACAACCAUUUAGCUGGCCAAUUAAUGACUCAGUUAGAUUAAACAAUGAACUUCAACGCUGCAAACUAAGCUGUUGACAUGUUACACAAUCUCCAUCAGCGCAUGGCUCGGGUAGAUUAAACAAUUACACAAUCUGCAUCAACACAUGGCUAAACUAAAAUAUGACCAUCAGAUCUGCCAACAUAAAUUAUGCACCGGACCAUGUGCUUACUAUCAUUGUUAAUACAAAAAAUAUAGCUUUUGUGCAACAUCUGACCUUAUUAGCACACACUAAAAACCUCUUGUCCAUGUUAAAUUCUUCAAAGGCCACAUGCCUCUCAGCUGCCAGACCAUGGUGCUAACAAGGAACCAGCGGUGCUGUCUCAACGCCCAUGUAGUCCUGGUCUUCAAUGCUAGCAGGGACCUACAACAGCAAAAUGAACAAAGAAUCCCCCAAAUCAAAUCAAAUCCCCCAAGAACACAAAUCCUAACCCUAAACCUAGUUCUACAACUCACCUGGUACUUCAUGACGCCGUCGGAGGAGCUGAUGUACAACAGGCUGGAGUAUUCGUUGCUGCUCUCGUCCUCGUACACCAUGGCACAACGACGGCGGCGGCGGCAAUGGUCGACUGCGAAUCGAAGGGGGGAGGGAGAGAGCUUGAGGAGAGGAAGAGAGUGUGCCGGGGUCCGGCUCGGUUCGACCGAGCCCGCUAAGACCGACCGCGUCGGCCUCGUCCUACUCAGCAGAGCGGCACAUGCCAGUUGGCCAUGUAUCACUGAUAGGUGGGGCUGCGCGGUCAGAUCCACGAUCAAUACAGGGUUAUAUGGCUGUUAGACCUUUUUGCGACAAUUAUGCCCUAAAAUGGUACUGAACUGCGACCAACACGAUUUGUGGUACUGACUUGUAACAUGGUAUCGAAGUGUGGUAACUCCCUGCAAUUAACUCGGUCAGGUAAGGAUUCCCCUGUGUCGUUUACGAGGACGACGCGGUGGUCGGGGGUCAGGUCCGACGCUUUAACAUAAUAACAUGCCGUUACAUGGCAGUGGCUGCAAUACCCUUGACUCUCAUCCGCAAAAAAAAAGGAUUACCCUCGACUCUUCAUUGAACAAACUUAUGCAAUAAUAACUGAUGCAAAAAAUGGCAACAAAGGAGCAUGCAAUGAUGGAGCUAUUACUUCGGUGGGUAACCAUUCCACAAGAGACACAAAUACUCCAUCCCGGUUGCCUAGCCAUAAACAUACCACCGAAUGUUGCCCGUGCCGCUUGUUUUCAUCUGUAUAAUAUCCAUGAAUAUAUCCGACACACCUAUAAAUAAUAACUCAAAUAACCCCUCACAAAAAAAAACUGAAAUAAUAAAUAUAUGUCUAUGUGUUGCCUGUGGUGCUCAAUGUUUUCCCUCUUGUUCUCCCCAGCGAAGAGUUGGGCACAGAGAAGUAUGAAUGUGGGCAGAUGUAUAUGUCACCGAGUGGAGCAUAUGCUAUGUAAAUAGUAGCAUGAAGCCACGAACACUAUAUAACUGAAAUUUAUAAAAAAAACUGUUAUAUUUGAUAAUCCUGCAUUUAUAAAACGUUCUAUGUGUAUUAAGUUCUUGUUUAUUUUAAAAUGUUAUUGGUGCAUUGAACAAAUAUUCAGAUCCUAGUUUUAAAACAAUAUGUAUCUAGCCUUUUAAAAAAUACAUCAUGUUUCAAAAAGUGUUCAUAGGGAAAAGAGGAAAAGUCCAAAAACAGAAUUAGAAAAUACAGGAGAGUGAAUAGAAUAAAAAUAAUAAGAAAAGGAAAACAAUAGAAGAGGAGAAAAUGUACAUAGGAGCACAUAAACACAAAAAUAAUAAAAGAUGUUCAAUUACGUACUUUUAAAAAUUGUUCACAUAUAUUGAGACAAAAGUUAUCUACUUUAAAAUAGGUUUAUGGAACUAAAAAAUUUAUUUGCAUUUGUUUAUUUUCACGUAUUAACAAAACAUAUUCAUGUAAUAAAAAAUACGGUGCCAUUUCAAUGUAUUCUUUUGCGUAAAAUUUAGAAAGUGUCAGCACCCUUUUAGAAAGGUUUGUAUAUUUUCAAAAAUAUUUCUGUCGCUACCGGCAAUAUCAAUGCGAGUUUGAUGAGUCGAUAAACCAAUGAAAAACGCAAAUACUCCUUAGUUUGAACAAUCUUGACAAACAGACUUGAUAGACUAUCAUAACCACAGAAAAAUUCUUUUCGAAAGGCCGGGUCAGGUUCAAUCUCAGCUGGAUUAAAUCUUUGAGGAAUAUCAUUUUGCAAAUUAUUUGUAUCAGUCUCUGUACUUAAUACCGUCGAAUCAAUAGCUUCGGAACUGGUUGCAUUUACUUCAGAUUCGCAAACUUGGGGUCUAGACUGAUUUACUGGGAUAGCUUUGAAAAAAGAUUCAAUCUGCUUCAUCUUUUUAAGUCCCUGCAACAUCAUAGUUUUAACUAACUUUUAGUGUUUAACUUUCAAGAAUUAGGCCAAGACGACAACCAAUUAAGAAGACUAGGACAACGAAAGAACCUGCUCCUUGUUGCAUCUGGUGGCUGCUCGUUUGUUGUUUUGAGCAGGGAUCAUGGCGACCGCGGCGGCGACGUCGCAGGCGGCUGCGGCAUGCGGCGACGCCGCUUCCUGUGUGGACGGCGACGCGAACAGGCGGACUCGCUUAUCGUUUUCCAUCUAGUACCAUCGGCUGGACUAACCUGUGCAGUGCCGGUGACUGUGAGACGACAGUGGAGGCGGCGGCUCGUCCCCAGGGUGUGAUCGCUCGAGGCUGGGUUUAGAACAAUAAGGUCCACGAUCAAUAGAAAAUGAACUAGUCAGGAUGUGUUUUAUUGGGCUUACUUAAUUGGCCCAUCUAUAGCGAGCAGCUACUUGACGAAACAUUUUCUUCUUCCUCACAUUGGCUCGACGAUACCUCAUACCUGGGACUUCAGGAGAAGCUGCUCGCCUCCCAUGGUAGCCACCGCCCAAAAUUAGUAGGGGGUACCCUAGGUUUCAAAAAUUUAACCGGGGCCACCGUCCCUACAUGACCCUACGCUGGAGCCGCCCCUUCUUUCAUCCUCUUAAUUCUGCACCCCAGUGCACUAAUUAAGUUCAGAAAUAAAAGGAUGUCACUGAAGAGCAUUUGACAGAGCUCGCCCAUUCAUAGCUCACGCUUCUCCCCCAAAUAGAUGCUUCGAAACGUACUUGGCCCCACCUUUGGUCGAAGUUGCAGAGCCCCGGUGCAAGGUACCUCCUGAACAACAUCAACAUUCGCCGCACUGCACAGUCGUGACGUGUUCAUUCUGAAGUUGUGUCAGUAUAUGCCAUCAUCUUCAUCGUCCACGAUUUACCGCGGCAUCGAGGAUAUAUACUUUUUAUGGGAUAUUAUUAUGAUUUCCAGCCAAAUAGUCCUUCUAAUGAUCAAAAAUUCGUAGUUGAGGCCGAGCACCUCGGUGCGCUACAUCUGGUCCGUCCAGUAUCGUUGGGGAUCCGCGCGCUCCCUGUAUUACCGAGACUUGCCUCCCGUAUCGUCUGCACGAUUCCUUGUAUGACGGGAGACAGAGGAGAGAAUCCGGUGCAGAAUUUAGCCCAUAUCAUCAACAGUACGAUCUGCACAUGCAUGUGAGAAGUACCAAUGCGCAGGUCCAAAUAGUGUAUACAUCGUGGAAAUAGUGUGUGGAAUCCGGUCCAGCAGGGUGGUCAGGUCAAAUCAAUAAUACUUUCCUAUUUUUUGUUAGGCCAUUCACCAGGGAAUGCAUUUACCCCCAAGCGCCCAUCCCACCUGCGUGCAACAUCGCCUUCUUCAUCCUCCACUUGCGUACAAACAAUCAGCAAGCAUGAACUGUCGACCCUACUGCAGUUGGAAAAUGGAUUAUAAGCAAAACUAUUAUCCAUUUCACCAAAACAAAUUCCAGCUACACAUCGGCCAUUAAACAAACCACACACGUUAUAUGAAAUCAAUCCAGCAGUACACGUCAAACUAAAAUUAUGAAAUCAACCCCUCAACUAGUGUUGUUUUCCAUAAAACCAAUUCAAGAUCCAGUCAUUCACAAUCAUAUCAAAUCUAGUUAUUUGCAGGCUCACAACUAAAUUGACGGCAAACUAAAUUCUGAACCUAAAUCAAAAAUUUAUAAAGUCUGAAUUAUCAAUGGUUAAGCAUGAGUGAUUUUUAUCAUCCAAUUCAGUCCCAGUUAAGGAUUCAUGUCAGCUUCAGACCCACAACCCGUCUAGAAAAGUACUAAGACUAUUUUCUCUUUAAAGAUUCAUGUCAGCUUGAGGCCCAUGUCAGCUUCGGUUGAACACUUCAUGCCUGGACCAAGGGGCAAACAUUUGUGCCAAAUAGCGACGGCUAAACAAAUUAGCUCCUAUUGCUAGUGCAGCAUGCAAGGGGACAGCCACCUGACAGUUUAGAAUCCCCACACACGCUUGGACACACCAGAUGUAGUGCACCGAUUUGCUCGGUCACACAAACUUCGCAUUCUAAUGAUGCAGUUUGGUGGUACAGUGGAACACAGGUUUACCGGAACAGAAUGUUAUUCCUUCAUGAUCAGGUUACACAGGUUCACUGUGGCAAAGUCUCAGGACCAAGUUCAGCAAGAACUAAACGAAAUUCAGCACUUCCAUUCAAAGAAUAAAAUCAUGCCAAAAAACGAAAUUCAUCAGUUACAUUGAAAGAACGAACCCGUGUCACUCAGGUACGGUACAGCAAAUUAAAGGCCUGCAGCCCCAAAUACAGAAAUAAAUAUAACGAAAUUCGUGGUUUACAUCCCAAGAACGAGAUCAUGCCACACAUUGUCAGUACAGCGAAGAACUCGCAACAAGUUCUGGAAGUAACAAAUAGAUAAGUUGUAGGAACCUGUCCAAAGAAAAACAGAACACUUCCUUCACCAGCUCGCUACACAUCAAGGACUUGAACAUCUUCAGCAUUGACAGCCUUCCUCAUAGCUUAGUAUUUCUGAUGCUUUGACCCACCGGAGUAAACUGUGGCAUCAGUCCUUGGCUGCCACGUUUUUGUCCAGCAUAACUGUGUUGGGAAACAGACCGUAGUAGUUACAAGAAACAUACAAUACGGUUACACAAACAAGUUCCUACAAGUAUAUGUGACCUCCACUAUCUCAAAUAUAAAAUUGGGGUAUUGUUCGUCACAAUAAGAGAUCAAGGCACGCAACAACUAUCUGUUUAUGCAAGCACACACGUAGGGAAAAUAGGUUUAGAUCGCUGCCUAUAUUAUAAACUCUAAAAGGACAAUUAUGAGAAUCUAAGCAACAUAAAUAAGUUUAGAUUGAUAAUUUGUCUGCCUGCAAUCCGUGCAUCCAUGGACAUCUACUAAAGCACUUUUGGAAUAUGUAGAGGAGAUUUAAGCAUUUCUGGUGCUUAACAGCAUACGCAUAAUGGCAUACAAAGCUUGAAAUAUAUGCAUCAGAUGAGGCAGAAAACUAUGAUUUGUGAAUACUGAUUAUGGUUCAGUAAAUCAAAGGAACAAAACGACAUGUCCAACUAGUGUAUAUAUGUAGUGUUUGUACCUUGUGCCUUCACCACUGGCAUCUAACUGGUAGACAAAGUGUAGAUGUCCAGGUCUUCACCAUGAAGCCGCUGGUGCUGGUUUUGAAGCCCGGGCACCCAGCCGGAAGAGAUCUCUUGCAUAUCCUCGCCCAGCCCCAGCUGCUGCAAACUUACCAACCCCUCAACAUGGCUUAAGUUUGGACAACCACGUACACGCAGUUCUGUCACUUGAGGGAGGUUGGAGAUCCUCUGCAGGCCUUCACAUUUCUUAAUGACAAGGAGUUCAGAGAGCAACAGGAGGUCCUCCACGGCCUUCAAGCUGUUUGUACCAACUAAUCUGAGCUCCUUCAAGCUAGUUGUCUCCUUUCCAAGUUGUCGCGGGAGAGCCCUCAACUUCGGGCAACCCUCGAGUGCCAACAGUACCAAACUAGGCAGCACUGGAAGCCUUGCAGAUUGAGCAUCCUCUUUUCCAAUUUCAGCAGCUCCAUCCUCUCCCCAUGCACCAGCAGCAACUUCUUCCUCAAAAGAAGACCACACCUCCCAGUUGGGCAUAUCCCUGAAGAUCAACCAUUCAAGUUUAGGAAAAGCAACCAGCUCAUUGCAUACAGGAUCACCUCUCUUGCAGCCAAAAAAUUCAGAUCCAACCUUGGUAACAGCAUGUGCUCCAUCAAUCCUCAGAUAUUUCAAGUUUGGCAACUGCCAAAUCGGUGGAAGAUGCACCCAUGAUCGUACAUCUUCGAGUUUCAAUUCUAUUAAAGAAGACAAAUAGGUGAUAUCAAACCAGGUGGGAUACCGCUGACCAAAGAAUUUAAUGAUAUAUAGGUCUUCCAGGUUAGGUGGAGGUAUUAGUUGCUCAAUGACCUUCUCAUCAUUGCUGACAUCUUCUUCUGAAUAUGAUCCCUCUCCACGUCCAGUCCACUUUAGUAAUAGUUGUUUUAGAUGCUUUUUGUCUGUCAGCAGUGCAUCUGUACUGCAAUGAGCUGCUCUAUCCAAAUUAACAAGAGAAAGAUACCUCAUCUGCGACAAAGAAGACAACUCUUCCAACAUCCAUCCAUCUUGUACAACGGCAUUAUCACUUCCAUCACCAACAGGAUAACAUCUGAAACAAGUAAGGAACUUCAAUUUGCCUAUGCCUUUUGGAACCUGAUUUAUUUUUGUGCUAAAAAGAUCAAGACAUCUUAAACUGCACAACAAUGUCACUGCCAAAGGAAGAUUGUGCAGGUCAUUACACCAUCUCAAGCUCAGUGCUUGAAGGUUCUUUAGGGAGCCAAUGGAUUCCGGAAGACAAGAUAUGCCAGUAUGAUCUAGAUUAAGUAGACGUAGAUGUAUCAAUUUUCCUAUAUAGUCUGGGAUGCUUUGUACAAGUGAGUAAUUCAGUACCAAAACACGAAGAAGCAGAAAUCUCUUGAACAAUGUAUCCCCACUUCUCCAUGGACCCUUAACAGUUAGGAAUGUCCUCACCUUAACCUCCAUCUGAUCCACUCUAGGUAACACCAACAUAUCCUUCUUAAUUACGGCAGUAAUACGUCUCAGUUUUGACAUAUUUCCACUCCUUAAUGUUUCAACAUCUCCAAUAAAACAUUCUUCUCUUGAUAUGUUCAGUGCAAGUUGCCUUAAGAGGUCAUGCAUUUUGCAGCGAGACAUGUUAAAAUAUAAGAUAUCUGGUUGGAGGAGAUUCCGGUGGAUUAGCUCGUGGUAGUACUCUUCUGCUAUGUCUUCUAGUAGUUGACCUUGCUGCUCCUCGAUGAAGCCUUCAGCAAUCCAUAACCUGGUAAUGUCUCCACGCAGCAUCAUAGAAUCUUCAGCAUACAGAGCACAAUAAAGGAAACACUGUUUCAGACGAUGCGGCAACUCAUCAUAGCUUAGAUACAGAGCUCCUUCUAUUUCAUCAGAGAGCAUGCUCUGAGAACCAGCAUAUUUGCCCAAAUAAUUUUUCCACUCAUUCUCUGUUAGAUCUCUGCUUGCCAAAGCACUAGCGGUAACCUUGAUUGCAAGAGGGAGGUGACCACAUUUACGAACAAUCUCAAUCCCCGUGUUUCUUAAAUUCUGCACUUCUUUCUCUUCCUCAAUGUUCAUGCUCUUCCAAAGUAGCUCCCAUCCCACCUCUACUGACAUGAGAUCAACUUGAUGGGUAUGUUGUACACCUAUUUUCCUUGUAAUUUGAUCAUCUCGUGUGGUUACCAAUAUUACUCCGGCUGUUGUUUCAUGUAAUGCAGGUCUUAAUAAAUCCGUCCACACAUUGGAAUGCCACACGUCAUCUAGAACCAGAAAGAAACUCUUUCCUUCAAUUGUUUCUGCAAGCUUCCUCUGCAGCUCUGUUAUGGUUUCACCUUGCUCAUGAUGCACACCAAUAUUCCAAAGAACCUCUUUAAGAAGAGUUAUUUCGUUGUAGUCUUGUGAAACACAAAUCCAUGCGUGCAACUUGAAGCUUCCUUUUACUUUCUGAUCGUUGUAUAUUUUUUGAGCUAGUGUUGUCUUACCAACUCCUCCUGUUCCAACAAUAGCAAGCUUGUAAGACUUGCUUUCCUUGUGUGCAAGAACUAAGUCCACCAGCUUCCUGGUAGCAUAUUUGAUCUCCUUCCCCACAAGGUUGGGCUCAACAAGGUUGGAGCUUCUUAUCAGUUUGGAUGUUGGACCAUUUCUAGAAGACUGUAUACUAGUGUUGAAUGUUAAAAAUAUCUUGUCAUUUGCAAUGUUCUCAAUCUUUUUGUUGAGGCUUCUAAUCCGAACAGCAACAUCACGACGUGACCAGAUGUUACAAAAACAAGAGGAAACUGAGAGGCCUUUGCAUGCAGCUGAUUUGCUUGAUGAUGAUGAACGAUCAUCAGGCAGUAGUUUGCUUGCUUUACACGUAGCCACGUCCAGGAUUUCAUCAACAUCAUAUAUAACAUCUCUAAGUUGACCAAGCCAAUUGUUUACGGCUAGCUCUUUUGUCCUCCUUUUCUCAGCAUCAUAUAUGCAACAUUUUAUCAGUUCUACUCGUCGCAGGAUUUCUCUGAGCUCUUCUUCCACCCCAAGGAUUAGUAUGACCUCAUCUGUAAUGAUAUUUUGCAACUUACUGGCACAUGAUCCAAGCAAAGAUUCAAGUAUGGCUGCCAUGGAUCAGACAAACUCGUCAAGGAAGAUCUGCCAAAAACACCAUGGUGACUUGAUUCUGAGAAUGGCAGAAACUGGAAGCUGAAAAUGUAGCAUGCUUUCAAAAAUGAGAUAAGGGUCUACAGAUACACUAGAAGAUAUCACUACUUCGUUGCUAUUUACAUUUAGAAUAGAUUUUGCAUAAUGAAAGCUACGUAUGCAACGUACAUACAGAUUCAGCACCUUGAGUAGCACCAUGUAUCAAGGACUAAGUUCUAGAGCUGCCACUGGGUCUUUUAUUUUAUUGUUUGUGCUUGCAAAAUUACAUGUGCGUUAGCUUUUCAUGCAAAGUAUUCAUCGGUUUGUCUUGCCAGUUAAGGACGCCGUCCAAUGGCAGCUGCAUAGCAAUCUGCAUAUGGACUGAAUCAAAAGAAAUGUUGCACCGAGUUAUAUUCCUAGGUAACCUCAACCUAGGAAUGCCUGUUUCACUUCCUUGACAGAGCCAACUGAGAUGCUCUGUCUCGAUGUUGACCUAACAUGGAUUGAUUCUAAAUUAUGAAUCAAAAAUCCUGAUCUCGCAAAGGAUCCACAAUAGCUGUGUGUACUCGAGGACUCUUAGGGAAAGAAAAGGACUUUUCUCUCUCAGCAGUUAGACCGGCUAUGGGUGGGUUGGUUAUAUACUGCGCCUUCCUUCUUCAAACCUUUUGGUAUGUAUUGCCCCCUAACUAUAGAUCAGAUCCACCAGUUUAUUCAAUUGGAGUAUUGAAAGUUAAGUCGAUUGCAAGUCUUUACCUUACAAACCACUCUUCGGUCAAGGAAAAACCAUCAAUAAUUAUAAUCAAUAGUGAUCAUAAUAAAUCUUGAUAAAGCAGUUUGCUUCGAUUACCAGUCGAUCUCAUUAGAAGAUUAUCGGUCAAUCACCACUAGAAAACCAUGCUGCUGCUACACCUGUAGUAUAUAGAUAAUACAAGAUUAUGGACCAAGUAAUGAACAGAAGGAGUAUCUCCCACCGCGUUACAGAUCAAGAAGUUCAAGACACUGAGAUCAGAUAUGUACCUCAACACGGGCCGGUAAGUCCACAGGAUCUCUUCAAUCAAUGGUGACCACUGGACCAACGGGGAAGGAACGGCGAACUUGAGCGGAUCAAGACAACGACCACUGGACCAACAGGGAAGGAACGGCGAACUUGAGCGGAUCAAGACAACAUUUCCUAUGCGGGAGGAGGCGACCUCAGAGCAAGCACACAGGAGGAGGCGACCUCAGCGAGGAAUUCCUUCGAUCUGAAGCAAGAAUUAGUCGCAUAAAGGCAGGCUUUGAUGAUGGCUGGAAGAGAAAAGUGGUAAAGAAGGCUAAUGAUGCUUAUCUUAAAUUUGUUUACUUGGACAUAGAACCCAGUAAUUAUUCCUUCCUUCCCACCAUUGCAGCAAAAGGCAAAAGCAAAAGCACUCAAGGUGGCUCAUUUUUUAUUUCUUGACGAUUGAACCUGAUGCCUUACCUGAUCCAGUAGCACUGUAGCAGCAUAUAUGUACUGCAAAGACAAGCAACAGCAGAGGCCCCAUCUCCUCUGCUUCCAUUAUUAAUUCAUGUGUCAGGAUAUUUAACCAAACAACAUCAGCCCAUCAUUUUCAGCAACCAGCCAUGAAAUACAUAUACGGUCAGCAAGAGCAGGGUCUGCACAUGCCACAAUUGCCAGUAAUAAAGAUCCCCCAUAAGAGAUUUGUGAUACAUCUUAAGAACGACUAUGUUGUAUCCAUCACAGUUAAUCCAAGCAGUCAAGGAGGUUCAACUUGGGGUUACUACAGAGGUAACUAGAGCACACUUGACAACAAAAUUUCAAGAUUACUUGCACUAGCUUUGCUAGUUAUCGUCCUUAAUUCUCUUGAGCAGCUUGGCAGCCCACCGGCGCAGCCUUUUGUUCAGGGUGAAGCCAACCACGACGCCAACAACAAAGCUGAGGGCGCCAAACUUCGCGCAAGCCGACAGAGACACCAUCCGGCUGCAAUACCAAAGGAUCGUACGUCAGUUGCAAACUUGCAAGGAGCAUAACUUGAGUCAGGGAUUACAGAUUUACAGUACAACAUGUGCACGUUUACAUCACCAAAAAAUGUUGCGGCUGCAGCCUAAAUCUAGAAAAGAAGACUAGAGAGUCGAUGCCAAAUGUGGAAACAUGCAUUUGCCAUUCAGAUUUCACUAUAUAGGCACAGAGUCUAUUUGGCGGACGACUGCAGCUUUGGUUGGCAGAUGCAUACCCCAACCCUCCACAUUGUCUGUGUUCCAUCUUCAGCAUUCAAUUUCAUGUCACAAAAUUUGUAAGCAUGCUAUCUACUGGAACUUGCGAUUGAUUUUUCCAGUCUUUAAAGUUUAAACUGGGAGGUUCUGAUAGAACUUCGAACUAGUGCAAAUAAAUACUUUCAAUUUCAACUAAGAGGGGGCAAACCUUUCACCGAAAACUUGUACAAAAAAAUGAAAUAGAAACCGAACUUUAACCUACAAGUAUCAAGCAUCUUUCAAUCAGCUACUGACCAAAUAGAUAAAUAAACAGGAACCAUAUAUCAAAAUUCCAAUUAGGACAAAAAAAACGACUAGGUCAGGUUUCUUCAGAUUAGGGUGCUAAUUUAACAUAGGGAUCGGUGUACUUCAAGCCCCUGCAGCCACUGCUGAAGGGUGGCAACCUCAGUUGGGGAGCGCCAUAGACUGCAGUGGCAGCACGGCCUAAAGCAGGAGGAUGAGCAUGGGAGAGUGAGGCAGAGAGGCCCGGGGAUUUGCUCAAGCAGGAGGCACAGGGGAAGUCAGAGGAUACAGUUUUACAAGUGGGAUACGGAAAAUUCAGCAAUAAUCAUGUACUCCCUCCGUUCCUUAAUAUAAUUUUUUUUAGAGAUAUCACUAGGAGACUACAUACAGUUGCAAUUUUCCGAAAUCAACGUAGAUAAGCAUGUACGCUGGCAACCAAACUUCUGAUGUUUAGAAGUUCCACAAAUACUACAUGUACAGCAUACAUAUUACAUUGCCCAGCCUAAUUCUUCUUCUCAGGUUUACGGCUUGGUAUCAGUUAAGACACAGAACGAUAUGUAGCACCAUAUGGAACAGGUUACGUCGUAGAAAUCGAAAAUACGGACAUAAAAGUAAACAUAUAAGUCGAAUAAUUGGGCUGUCCUACCAUACACAUGACGACAUAACUGAAGCUCUCCCCAGCCAAACAUUCUCUACAGACCAAAUCCGACUCGUUUAGUCAAGCUUCCAGCUCUGAUGUGUUGCAGGGAUUUCCUGCAUCUGCGUCAGCUACUACUACCACAGUGCAGAACAGCAAAGCAUGCUUGAUAUCCCCCAAACUACUGGCAGCAUACCGCGAAAUCCGCCCCCAAAUCGAAGCAAUCUACCGGGCGAGCGAGCGAAAACAGGGCGCGUCGAUCGAAUCUCGAACCAGAGGAGGAGGAUGAGGACGGUGAGGGGGUGCUCGGACAUACCCUGCCUCCCUGGGCACGAGGAGCUGGUCGGAGAAGGCGGAGCGCGAGGAGGAGGAGGAGUUGGCGGCGUCCUGCGCCGCCGCCUGCAGCCUCCCCACCGCCGACGAACCUGAAGGCAUCUCCGCGGAUCCCGACCUCUUCCUGGCCUCGCCGGGGGUUCGAGCAAGCUAGGGUUUAGAGAGGCAGGGAUUUUUCCUCCCUCUUUUCUCGGAUGGGGGCGGUAAAUAAGAGAAGUGUUUUUUUUUCUUUUUCCGUCUUUUCUUGUCUUGCAGAGGAAGAAGAAGAAAUACGGGCCGGAGAAGGAGCGAAGGAAGGCGGGGUCGACUUGGGGAUGGGCCUGGCCGGGACGGCACUGGGCUCUGGGUUUUGCGCCGUCCGUGUCCAAUUUCCCUGUGAUUUUUUUUUUAACUGAUGACGAAAAAGGGUUUUCCCGCUUUGUAUUACAAAGCAACCAGGCAGAACGUCCAACGAUACGUGUUGGGGUGGAAACAACAUAGUCACGUUAAAAAAAAUGAAAAAGAAAAUACAAUGGAAACAAAUGCCGAUACCGGCGGAUCGACAGAAAACGCAAAAGACUCGCGACCGCUGCGUCCACCAGAAGUCUCCCACGAGGCUCCAGCACUUCAAAGCGCUGGUACCCAUCAAUACCUCCAAGAAGGAAUGCGACGAUGACGACGCUACUGCCAAGGGUUUCCUCCGAUACGCGCUGAGGCACGAGGAAGGGUAGCCCCGACGCCCUCCAGGAAGGUUCCACGACACCCAAAGGCGUCACUGCGUCAGCGUCGACCGGACCGACAGGGGAUUCCUCCGAUCCCAACCUGCACCUCAGGCGCUCCGAAGCCUGCCACCAAACCGACCAUCACCCUGCACCAACACGGUCUUGAGGCCCCCUCGUCAUCUCACCACGGCACCGUAAGAAGAGACCUCCACAACGACGAAGAGGAGCCAGGACUAGGAGCAGUACCACCGCCGGCACGCGCGAGGGCUCAACCUCCACCAUCAACGGCGGUAGCCGACCGGACGCAAUAGCAGAAGCAUACCAGGCCAAGCUGGGACCCCCCCCCCCCCGUAAMGCUCCGUCAUCACACUACAACAGGCACGCCUUCGACGACACCGCCCCAMGUCCAAGCUGCUCCUCCUCACCACCACGUAGAAGACAACGCACCCACGUCGUGUGCCGGCCCGCUAGGACCCAAAUGGGCCCCCACAGGGCCCAGCUCUAGGACGGGGACGCGUCGCCGACCACCCCGCACCACCACGCCACCCUGCCGCCAAGGAGCAGCGCUGCCACCUCAUCCAGCAUCGGACAUCGAUUGAAUCUCGAAUCAUAGGAGGAGGAUGAAGACGGGGAGGGGAAGCUCGGACAAAUCCUGCCUCCCUGGGCACAAGGAGCUGGUCAGAGAAGGCGGCGGAGGCGGAGCGCGAGGAGGAGGAGGAGGAGGAGUUGGCGGCGUCCUGCGUCGCCGCCUGCAGCCUCCCCACCGCCGACGAAGCAGAAGGUAUCUUCGCGGAUGCUGACUCCUCUGCUCUCAGGCCUCGCCGGGGGUCGAGCUAGCUAGGGUUUAGCGGCGGAGCCUGGCGAGGGAGGCAAGGAAUUUUCUUCUCCCUCUUUUCUCGGAUGGGGGAGGUAAUUAGAGUGGUGGAUAUUUUUUUUUCCUUUGUCUUUUUCUUUUCUUGUAGGAGAAGAAGAAGAAACGACGGGUCGGAGAAGGAAGGAAAGAUGAGGUCGAUUCGGGUAUGGGCCGGGCCGUGCCGGUGCUGGGUUUGGCAAUAGGCCGUGUCCAUUUUCUCUGUGAUUCAUUUUUGGGGCCGAAAAUUUAACAAUUAAGAAUUCGAAUUGUUUGGGGUUUGAAUCCUUCAUCAAGAAGAAAUAAAAUCGAACAUCAAUAUAGACGGAGCGUCGCUCAGCGAUAUCUUAUUGCAAGACGCGUUCAAUACAACCAACACGUGAGCCACGGGGCAUGUCAGGGCCACAUAGGCUGACACGCCAAACUCCCCCAAGCCCAAGGACAUGUGCUAAAAAAUAUAAUUUCUCUAUUAAACAGAUGUCAGAUUUUAAAGCAUGCAUAUCUCACGCACGCGAUGAUAAACUAUAUUAUGGCGAGCAUGACAAUUUCUUCGGCGAGCAUCUCACAUUGAUGCUUAAAAUCUGGCGUCAUAUUUUUAACAUUUUUUAAAUUAGUCAAUUGAUGGUUAGAGCACCAUCUCACGUAGCUCAAUAGGGUGAUAUAGAGAGAUUCGAAAGUGAGGCAACGUAAGUGUAUGCUCGCGCACGGUCAUUGAAAUGGAAAUCCCGUCACUAUCCCCGAGCCCAUCGCGCGUCGUCGUCCCCGAGCCCAUCAUCGUCGCCGUCGUCGUCGCCGUCGCCCCCGAGCCCAUCGUCGUCGUUGUCGUCGCCCGUCGUCGCCAUCGCCGUAGCCCCCGAGACCAUCACAGUCGUCGUCGUCGCCCGUCGCCCGUCGUCAUUCUAAAACCCGCCGUCGUCGCCCAUCAACGCACCGGUAGCACGUCCAUCUCCAUCUCCCUAUAUUGUGAAUCCAUGUGUGAAGAGACGUAGUCUAAUUGCGAAUCCAUGUGUGUGUAUUUCAUUCUUAUUAGAAUAUGUUGGGUACAUUUUUGAACUCCCCAAUGUGACACAAGUUAUAGAAAUUAUACAAAUAUUUAGAUUAGAUUAAGUUAAAAUAGCAAAUAAAGUUAUAAAAAAAAUAGAUUAGAUUAAGUUAUAAAUUAAGUUUCUAUGUUUAGUUUUUAUCUUAUUUUUAUUAGUUUUAAUAAAAAUUAUUUUAUCGAAAAAGGGCUUCCCCCACUUUGUAAUAUUUGCACAAACAAUGGAUAAUCCAAGAGACAUGGACCAAGAACAAAUUUUGGGGGAUAUAAUCCAUGGCGACAGUAAUGUCGAUUUUUUUUCCUCAGCGACAUCAAUGGUCUGAAAGGAGAGAAUUACGGCUCCGGUGAUCGAACAAUGGAGGAGGAAGGACAUUAUCAUGAUGGCUUCGGUGAAUACCGAAUCCCGGAGGAAGGAGACCAUGAUGACGGCUCCGGUGACUGAAUGGAGGAGGGAGAUAUUGAAAAGUCCGGAUCGAGCCAAACUUCGGUAAUGAGACGAGGCCCGAAGAGAAGGUUUGAGCAAGGAUCAAAAGUUCACGAUCACAGCACUCGCGGACGAUGGCCUACCGAUUGAACCCAAGCGGACCAAGGACGCAUUUUCUUCUCAGUGCAGAGCUAUUGUCAAGGACAACAUCCCAAUCAGCAUCAAGCAAUGGAAUAAGCCUAAGGGCGACGACGUCCCUAAAGGUGAUUAUGUCACUGAUAGGAAGAAAGAUGAUCUUUGGACCGCGCUGAAGGAAAAUUUCACCCUACCACCAGAGGAGGAUCCAAAUAAGCCAGUUAUAGAGCCACUGGUCAAGGCGUGUGCUCUUAAGAAGAUGACAGAUCUAUUUAGAAGGUGGAAGAAUGAGUUGAAAUCAAAGUUUGUCGACAAAGGGAAGACUCCAGAAUUCGUCGGUCGAUUUGAGAAGAUGAAAGAUCACUGACCCGCAUUUGUGGCCUACAAGACAUCGGACAAGAGUAAGAAAAUAUCAGAGACAAACAAGAACAAUGUUGCAAAGAAGCAGUAUCACCAUCACACGGGGCCAGGUGGCUACCUCAAAGGCUGUCCGUUGUGGGACAAAGCUGAGAAUGACGUGAUUGCUAAAGGGGUCCAACCACAGACAUGGAACUGGCCCGACCGUUCAAGGAAUUGGUUUUUCGGGGUUGGGGGAACUUUGGACCCUGAAACAGGGAAGUGUCGUUGGACGGACGAGCAACUUGCAACACCCAUCAACAAGCUUCACAAGUGUAUCGCCGCAGCGCAGGAAGGGACGUUCUUUCCCGACAAAGAGAAGGACGAGCUGACUGAGGCCCUAGGGAAUGCUGAGCACCCUGGACGAACACGAGGCACACCAGGCUCCAUUCCGUGGAAGGUUGGGUUUCCCGACCCAGCCGGUUACAGAAGCCGAGAGAGAAAGAGGAAAGCGAAGCUGAGCAACAUGCAGAAGAUCAAUGCAAGACUACAAAUUCUAGAGGAACUUCAAAGCCAGCGAACUGCCGACCAACCAUCUCAGCGACACGAAACUACCCCAAAAGUUACCCCACCAUCUCAGCGGAGAAGCAGCGUGGCUUCCACGGAGCUCGUUUAGUCUGACUUCACGGCUCCUAGCUAUCCCGUGGAUACUAUCACAGAGUAUCAACCUUGCGAUCUUUGGACGAAAUGCCGAAACCUCACUUUUAAGGUUGCUAUCGGCUAUGUUGCACCUCCUCAACCCAACGGAACUUUUCACUGCCUUCCGAUUCCACGUGGCUUUGCUAUUGUGAUGGUGGAUGAAGUAAAGGAGGGAUUUGAGCAGCUCAAGCUUGACCAGCCUACAGGUGAAGGGGAGAAUAAGCUGGUUCAUGCUGUGAGGAGUAUAUGUCGUCUAUGGCCGAAGGAGUACAUCAAGCUUCCAAACUGGACGCCUCCUCCUCCUCCUCCUCUGGUGAGUGAUUAGGGCACUCCUCAUCCUCCUCCGACGUGUGAGGGCUCUCCGCCUCCUUCUUGGACUCCCCCUCCAGCGCGUCGAAGCAGUCCGCCUCCUACUUCAGCUCCUCCUCCGGCGCAUCGGAGCACUCCGCCUCCUUCUUCGGCUCCUCCUCCGGCGCGUCGGAGCACUCCGCCUCCUUCUUCGGCUCCUCUGGCGCGUCGGAGCAGUCCUCCUCCUUCGGCUCCUCCUCAGGCGCGUCGGACCAAUCUGCCUCCUCCGCAACGGCGGAAGACAGACGUCGUCGCUGCUUCGCCGAAAUUACACAAGUAAGAAAUAUGUCGCCUCCUCCUCCUUCUCUCAAGCGGAAGAUAGACUCCGCCGCCGCUUUGGCGGCUAGCGGUGAUGCAAGGUUAGCAAAAUGAAGAAGUAGGAAAACAAUUCCCCAGCUCGGCCAACAGAAGAAGCAAUCAUGCCCCCCGCUCAAGGUGUCUAGUGAUAUCAUCGUCGCUAAUGAUCCGAGGUUGCUGCCCGGUACCAAUCCUGGUGAUUACAUGAAAGAUUCAGUAAUUUUUUAUAUAGCUGAGGUAACAAAUAAAGAAAAAUAUGAAUACGUGCAUGUGAAGCCUCUCAUCAAACUUGGUCAUCCUCCUCUAACACCGAGGAUGCACGAAUUGCAUGAGUGGUAUAUGAACAUCUUCACGGAGUCUGGAAAAGACGCUAUCGAUAUGGUAGUGAAAAAAGAUAACGAUUUCAUUGGAACUUCAGUGAUGUUUGUUCAAUUUGAGGAGUUAUUUCAGUUAUACAAUCAACUGACCCUCGACAAACAACUCCUGAGUUCCUACUGCUUGUAAGUAUUACUUCUAUAGUUAAGUCUCUAGCUCGGCUCGUUUAUGGCAUGUAUAUAUAAUUAUCCUCACUAUAUAUAUUAUGCAGAUUGAAGAUCGUCGAAUUAAAAAAAGCAGGAAUCUUUGACGUUGGGUUCAUUAGCCCAGAAGCCGUAAAUGUAUUGUCGGUACGAAAUGAAACCAAAAAGACCGAGGUUAGCUUGCUAAACUCGUUGCAUGGAAAUCAAAACAAAAGGGAAAUACUCUUUCUGUACAACUUCAAGUGAGUGUUGCUGUCUUCUCUGUAUACUCGGUUUCGCUUACUCAAGGUUAAGUAAAUGUAAUUGAUGAGUUAUAUAUGCGUGCGCAGUUACCACUUUAUUCUGCUACCCAUUAAGCUUGACGGGGCAAAAGUAACUGUCUUAGACUCGAGACGUAAAGAUCCCGAGGAUUAUGCGGACAUGACCGCAAUACUCAAGAAGUAAGUUCAGUCAAUACCAGGACCAUACCGGCAUGCAAAUUUUGUUAAUUUCCUGAUAUCAAGUAAUCACUUUCUUUGCCUCGCAAGGUUUGGAAGAAGUUCACCUUAAAGUCUCCCGAUCUAAACAAAGAGUUGCAAUUUACGCACACCCAGUAAGUAGUACUAGCUAGUUCCGCGCAUCUCUAAUUAAUUUAAAUUUUCAUCAAUAUAUCAUUACCAUGCUUGCUUAUCAGUUUGAUUAAACUCUAUUCUCGUAAAGUGCUUGUACCAGGUAGCUGGGACUGAAAAAUGUGCAUACCACGUAUGCGAGUUCAUUCGCCUCUGGCCUUUGGGCGGGGCAUCUCUAACAAACAAUUUGAAGUACGCAAAUAAUAUUCACAAUUUUAUUUUAUAUAUUACCAUCAAUUGUGUUGAGUUUUAUUCAUAUAUAUGCAUGUAUUGAUCCCCUUUUCUAAAUUAGAUCUGGAAGAAGCUGGAUGAACCCCUAUCAAAUGAUGGCAUACGAGCAAUUCAAGAGGAAUUGACGGGAUUCUUUCUUGUCCACGUCAUACCUAAAGACGGAGAAUACCAUAUGAGCUAUUUGUGAUUGGAUCUUAGGUAGAUGAUGUUAAGCAUUGUAAAAGACGUUAUACUGUAAAAUAUGUUAGGGACUGUAAAAGGUUUUCUUCAUUUUCUUAUUAGCUAGCGUCAUGUUCUCUCUAUAUGUAUAAUAGUUAGCGUCGACCAAGCACGGAGAAAGAGAUGACACUUCUCUCUAUUAGCUAGCUAACACAAUAUGAAACCACUAAAUUAACCCUCCAAAAAACCCCCCCGCCCGACCCCUCCUAAACCAAAACCUAAAAAACCCAAAAAACCCGAAACCUACGACCCGUACCGACGACGUCGACUCGGACGUACGGUCGUACGUCGUACUCCGUAGUUUCCGGGUUACGGUUCCGGGUUUGGUACGUACCCGGAACCCGGUAAACCGGUAAACCCGGACCGGUUCCCCGUACCGGUCCCCGGGUCCCGGGUCCCCCGACCCGGUACCGCCGGGACCCGUCCCGGGUACGGGUACGGUACCCCGUACCCGGGUUCCCCGUACCCGGUUUACGGGUAACGGUACCGGUAAACCGGUACGUAAACCNAGGGCUAAUGAGCCUCUGAAACCGGGACAAAUGGGCCUUUUUCUACUAGUGAUGUGUGACAAGUACAAAAAUCAACUCACUUGAUGCACACCGCACCCACUUUUUUCAUGUAUAGUCAUGGUGAUGCAUACGACCAGGUUUAUUAAUAAUUUAAUAAAGGUCUGAUAAAAUUGUACAUCAAGUCACUCAAAAUCAUCACUUACCCUUACAAACUUGAUAAUUCGAAGUGUUCUUACUCCUCAUAUCUAAAGCCGAUGGCGACGUCGAUCCAUAUAAUGUAUCGAAAACAACCAUUGGUGCAGCAAAUCUAAAAUAUACACCACAUGUACACGUUUUAGAAGUCAUCAUCAUCAUUGAGCCACUGUCCCAUCUUCAGGAUAGAUAUCCGCAUCAUCCUUGCCAGUCCGGCCAUCCGUCGACGCCACCGCAGCGUCCAACGACGCCACCGCCCUGCACUCGUCCAUUCUGAUGCAGAGACUCUGAAAGAUCUGUCAUGCGUAGCACCUACCGAACAUGCAUAGCAUAGCAUAGCACCUGUCGACCAGACAUGACUCGAUCUCCACCAAAGCUCCAUUCUAGACGAAGCCACUCCGCCUCCUACCUAUGCCUUCCAGCGUUGCUUCACAAAUGAUGCUCCCAAGAGAGAAACAACACCGUAGUGCCGCCAUCGCCUAAUCUAGAAAACCAGAUCCUAGGGUUUCCCCCGGAACAACACGAUUGGGUCGACAAUAGUUAUACGAUGAUGCCUACAUCAAGGUAGCGGCGCAGAACACCAACAUCGCUUGCCGUCGGCUCGGUUUUCACCGGUAACUAUGUCUCUCCGACUCGUAGCCGAGACUAGAUGAUGGAUCUCAAGAUCCGAUCACCCAACCUCACGUUGAUCACCUACAACAGAGGAGAUGACCACCAUUGCCGGCUGCACCGACCAGAACGGAUUUGACCGAAAAUGCCGCUGAGUAGUCCAUCAGACCAUCCACGCCGCCGCCGAUCCGAAGCCAGACUGUGCGCCGCCGCGGCAUAGCCAGCCGCCGCCCCUCGAACCAGGCCAGGCGCCGCACGUCGCCGCUCGUAACCAGGUUGCCCUACGCACAUGCAACCGCUAUCGUCCAAGGCAUUGCUGGCCACCUCCACCGUCGCGCUGCAGCCAUUGCCACCACUCCACUAGAUCGGUCGCGCCUCCACGCGUGUAAGGACCCCCGCACCAUCCCUGAGACAUGGGAGAAAGGGAGUCCCUCGCCGCCGUCGUCGGCCCUGGGGCAUAGCCCGGCAACGUCCCCCCACGUCGACGGAGGAGAGGGAGGAGAAGGGAGUGUGCGCCUCCCGGUGGCUAGGGUUUGAAUGCCGCCCGAGUCACCCUAGCGGGGACGAUGCCGUGGUGUAGAUCCGCAGCCAAGGCCAGGAGUGCUUCCUAACUAGAGGAACAGAAGUUGAAGUUCACAAACCACACUAACACCAGCCUAGAGAAACCAGGAGGACAGGGUGAGUUUCGUAUGGCCGGAAAUGUACAAAAGGAGUCCCUCGUUCAGGAUUCGGUAUUGUCAAUUUUUUCAUUCCUUAUUAGUCGAUUUUCUUUCUUCCUUCCACUAUUACAUAACCUGCCUUUGUGGUGAUAGAAAUACCACUGACUUCUGUGACUUUGUUGGACAAUCGUUGUCAACUUUUAGUGCUCCUUUGAUUCACAGUAUUCCAGAAACAUAGGAAUAGGAAAAACAUAGGAUUGCAAUGUCAUAGCCAUAUGAAUCCUACAGGGUUUUGGUUUGUUUGAUUGUUUCACAAAAAAGUCAGGAUAUUUUUCAAGAGAUUUGAGUGGAAAAUAAAAUUUAUGUGGAUUGUCGUUACAAGAGAAUCCUUAGGCCUCGUUUGGUUAAGGGGAAUUUGGGAGGUUUUGAGAGGGAGGGAUUCCAGGGGAUUGGGUGAAUCCCUUUCUUCCACCCAAUCCUCUCAAAUCCCCGGGGCUUUGCUUCCACUAGUCCCUCCAGGAGGGUUUUGAAACACAUGGAUAUGAAGGGAUUGAAGGGGAACAGAGGGGAUUGGGCUAAGCAAACCCCUCCUAUCAAAUGGACGCCCGAGGAUUUGUGGGGUUUCUGGCCCUCCCGGGGAUUUUCCUCUCUAAACCUCCUCAAUCCCCCUUAACCAAAUGAGGCCUUAGAAAAAAUUAUUGUAGAAUACAAUCCUAUGUAUCGAACGACGAAUGAUUGGGGAGGCUCCCGGGACGCGUGUCUCGGGAGGAGAUCUCGCCGCCGCCGCCAGAGACCCCACCUCGCCGCCGCCUGAGGGCAUGGAAGGGCGGGGCGGCGGUGGCAGGGCGACUUCUCCUCUUCGCUUGGUGGCGGGGUGGCGCGGGACGUCGCAUCCAGGCAGAGGCGCGGCAUGUGCGGGGGGCGCAGCGGCGCGACGACUGGCCUCCAGGCGACGACAACGUCGCCUAGUCGUGGUGGUUGUGCGGGUGGCUCCGUGUUUGCGAGCGUGGCCGGGGUGGCACUGGCGGCCAAGGCUGGGUAUGCCUGCAUCUAGCUCCUAGUGUGCUUUCGGGAGGCUUGGGCUCGAUGGCGGCCGCGCCUGGUCGGCUCGCGUGGGAGCUCGGCUGGUGGUGGAUUUGGUUGCCGCUGCACCUCGUGGUCGGUUCUGCAGAAGAUGGUGGUGGAUGGCGCCGGAUCUGAGAGGUGAUCCUGGCGGACGGUGGCACGGGUUGGUGGCGGUGGUGGCGGUAUGUGCCAGACGGAUUUUGUGUCUUCUGGUGGGCGGCACGUGUUGUGGCACCGGCCCGGCGCGGAUGGUGCUCUGGCCGUGGGCGGCGGCGCGGGGAGGUCUGGUGCAUGGGCGAUGGCUUCCCUGUUGCGCGGCACUGCACGGUAGCUCAGCGGCUCUGCCAAUGGCGAUAGUCGGCUUCUACUCUAGCGUCGUAUCGUCUUCGGUUGGACCGUGUCGACCUUCGCUUAAUCUCCUCGUCAUCCGAGCUCUAUUUCUUUCGAAGGGUUGGCCCUCUCCCAGCGCGGUCCAUCACUCUCCUCGCGCCCGGUGCGGCAGGACCGACCUCGUCUCGUGCAUGGUGCAGUAGGACCGAGCUCGUCUCACACACGGUGUCGUAGGGCCGAGCUCGUCUCGCACACGGUGCUACAAGAUGAGCCGAUGGAGGCUAUUUUUGGCCGGUCUAGUGGGUGUCGGUGCUGGGGCUGCCCAGGGGUAGGAAAGACAGGACCUUUCCACUCGUCUCUUUUGUUGGGGCAGUGGUGGAUCUCGGGUGAGGUGGUGUUAAGGUCUUGAAUACCAGGGCGGCGGCCCUGGAGGUGGUUGCGCGGUGCUCAUGGGCAGAGCCCGUGGCUUGCUGCUACUUGGUGGCCAUGUCCAUGUGGGCGCUGUGGUAGCCGGGGUGUGGCGAUCAGUGGUCGUGAGUGUUGGCCAAGGUGAAAACAUGUCCUAUCUUUGGACGGACCGAUGGCGGUGAAGCUUGUUCCCUUCUUGAAGGCGUCGUUGCGGCUCUCAUCGCCCGUCGUGCUCCUCCAGAGGAAACUUUGAUCCUUCGAUCAGGCGGUGACGGCGCUCCGGGGUCGUAUCCUUCCUGAACGCACUCAUUCAUUCGCGGUGGCGUGUUCCCGGUUGAGACCCCGGUUCGUCGUAUGCGGCUUCAUUUCUUCGUGGUGGCAUGUUCCCGGUUGAGCCCCCGGUUCGUCGUAUGCGGCUUCGUUUCUUCGUGGUGGCAUGUUCCCGGUUGAGCCCCGGGUUGCUCUUGUAGUGCUAGGGAUAGUGUUGCAGCGUUCAUUGCCUAUAUGUCAUGCCUUGGGUGUGUGCAUGUGUUGGGGUGGCGUGCAUUUGUACCGAGAUGUUGUUGUUUGCUGUUUUAUAUAUAAAACGGGGCGAAAGCCUCUCGGCCUUCACUUACCACUGAGGAAACAGAAACGCUCGCGACGCCUCCAGGGGGGCGACUCGGGCGCCCUAGCCGCCGCCGACCUCGACCUCCCUCCUCCCCUGCUUCCCCAUCGCCGCCGGAGGAGGCCGGCGAGCGAAGCUCGCCCGGCGGACGGUGGACGGCGGGCCUUCCUCCCUUCUUCACGAGGGGAUUCUCUGGCUGAGAUGCGACGGCGUCCCUGGGUGUACGACAUGGAGGCGGAGUUGGCGCUCUCGGGCGGCGGCCCGAUGGGAUCCUGGCGGCGCUCCGGGGGCUGCCGGCAGAUCUGGGGUUCACAACCCCAGAUCGGUUCUCCUUCUCGGAUGAUGCUGGAUCUGAACAAGGUGGUGGUGCCAUCCCGUUCGUCAGGGAUGACGGUCAGGUGGUGGGUCCUUGUGGUGUUGCGGUGGCGGCGGAUCUUGGGAUCCCGCUCCCGGGGACGUCGCAGGAUGUGGUGGCCCGUGCAGGAGAGAUGGGUUCUUCGAACAGAUCUGGGUAAAAGCUUGCUUUCGGCUACUGCCAAAGCCGGCGAUGGCGGCAUUGUCUACGUUGUUUCCUUCCUGAAGGCAUCGCCGAGGAGAAGUUCAAGGCCACUCUUUGCUACCUCUGGGGGAAACUCUAGAUUAGUAGAUCGGAUGACGACGACACUCUCGUGUUGUUUCCCUCUUGGGGGCGUCAUUCAUGGAGGUACGCACGGGCUCGAGGGAUCAUUGGUCGGCAUCAACGGUGGAGCGGCGUUCCUUGUGACACAUCGACGUCGUGGAGUCUCGGCGGCGAGGCGCAGCAAAGUCUCGGAGACGGAUGCGUGAUGAUGAGCGCGCGUAGGGAGGAGGCGCUGUCUGGCGCCGUGGGGGCAUCGACGGCAGGCCUUGCAAGGUCGAUGCGUCAGUAACUCUUCUGAAUAUGGAUUGAUGGAAAGCGGCGGCGACGACCUAUGAGGGUGCGUUGGACCGGUUUGUGCCCCUGACCCGGUAUGUGGCUCGGUCGGGGCCUCCGACUUUAGAUGUUAGGCUAGGUGAGAGGUCUGGGUAUGUGGCUCACACUUUCUACACCCCUUCAUCAUUGGAUAGAGUAGCGACAGAUAUUGCCAAGAGGGCGGCUUCAGAUAUAUUGAUGUAUUGCUUUGUAAGAUCUUUGUGAAUAAUUAAUAAUAUGGCUGCAUGCAUCUUCCAGAUGCACAGGCCGGGGGUCAUCCUCCUUUUCUAAAAAUAAUAAUAAUAAUAAUAAUAAUAAAUCGAACGAGAAAAUAUCCUAAAGGGUUCCAAUCCUUUGAAUCAAUGAGCCCCGUAAGAUAUUGAUAGAUUAAAGACAAUCAGUUGUAGUUAAAUCAAUAGAAACAUAGAAGCGUUGAAACAAAUUCAAGAUGGUAGGCUACAUUCGGAUGCCCCAAAAUAUACCGAUUAUUACCAAAUGUACAAAUUCAAAGGCAUUUGGGAGUUGAAACAACAACUCACAAGCUACCACUUUGGCUUGAUUAAACCGUCAUAUACCUGUCUUUGUUGUGAAACUUCAAAUAUCAUAGGUGCCUUCAUUGUUAGACUCACUUGGCUUCCAUGUGGAUAAUGCAUAGACUAUCCUCCCCUUCCAUCCCAAUACUAGGAAUUGGUCUUCUUCAUCGACAAAGAGAUCUUUGUGAUAAAUCUGUCUGACAAUGUGAUGUAUUCCUUUAACAAUUGUUGGAUUCAGUGGAAGCUGCUCAAACUUGGCCCUGAGGCUUCGUACCUUCCAUUUCUUGUAACUCUCGGGCCUCUCAAUCCUUUCCGAUCCUUCACAUGCAAUGACAUUGAGAAUUUCAUAUUUAUAUAUAUCCCUCUCUAGGAUCAAUCUUGUCUCGUUAUCUCGUGGAGUCGUUUUAUCAAGCAUAUCAAACAGUGAAGCAUAGUGGUACAUGACUUCUUUAAAACGUGAUAAAAAGAAUGGGGUGUUGUAAGAUCCGUUAACAACUCCAUGUAUGAAAACUUUUGGCUUCAUCAUCUUUAUGGUAUUGAGCACUCUGUUCCUGGCGCUGUUGAUGGAUAUUGUUUCAUCAGGAAUAUUCUUCAUUCGGUUUAUACAAUUGACUAUGAGCACUUCACCUUUGUUAAUGUUCAAAUCUUCAAUGGAGAUGGAUUCCCAUUUUGAUGAGAUCUGCCGGUAUUCAAGAGGUACUUUGAACAUGCUGGCAUAUUCAACUAAUCGCAGUUGUGUGUAGUUCUUCCUUCCAUGUGGCUGGAAACCUGGCAGGGGCAGUUCUAUACCUGUAAUCCGAAGCUUAGGUGGCCCACCUUCUCUAUCUGCAAAUUGUUUCAAUAAUGAUGGCCACUGAAAGCCAAAGCAAAUGCCAAAAUCAACAAUGUGCACUUGUGAUUUUCCCUUUGAGACAUCAAGGAUGGUUUUGUUCGAGAAAUAAUAUGAUGAUCUCAAGUAAUGGGAUACUGUGAAACAAAGAUGGAAUAGCUUUAGAAUAUAUGCUGCAUUCCUUGGUGUAGCCAUGAAGUUUCGGUUUAUCUGACUCCCAUUUCCAGACAAUCUUAUCUCCAGGCAAUCUGCUAGGUAAAACGCUAACCUCUGAGUAUCAUCCCCACUUGGUGAAGAAUGCUGUCUUAUGCUUUUAAGUAUGUCACUUGCUAAGUUAUGGUUGUUCACAGAUACUGCUCGUGCACAAUGGAUAAGGAGAGUUCUUAGAUCCACCACCUCUUUCUUCUUUGUUUUACCUCCCUUCUUUUGCCUAGCUGCCUUUCUUCCUUGUUCUUUUUGUGCAUACCUGGUGGAUGUACCUGCCAUGGUUCGUUGCAAAAUAAUACCUUCAUCUAUGGGCUUCUGCUCAGAGCAGAGUAGGACCUUAUCGAAGGCGUCAUUUCGCGUUGGCUCAUCGGAGAAAAGAGCAAUCUGCUUGUUUCUCCUUCCUUCUAACAAAUCAAGCUCUUCUAUACCCGGAAAAACUUUUCGGCCUCGAUCAUGAAAUGGUGCAUGCCUCAUUGUUUCUCUGCUAUUCAUAUGAGGUGAAUGGCUAUCUGGACUCGUAUUUUUGGCAAUGGAAAGGCCAUUGAUGUUCAAACCAAUUUCCACUCUUUCAGAACCUAGAGGGAAUUGUUUUGCCUCUCCAAGAAUUGCAGAUAAAGUACAUGGAGCCUGUGAUGCUUGUGAGUUUUCAUUGGGGUGAUAAUCGUCGGAGCUGAUAUAUACAGAGCAAUUGCAGCAUAAUUGUCCAUGAAGCCUGCUGACGUUGCCAUUUAGGUUCUCUAGGUGACCACAUCCACAACGUGGUAGUAAGUCAGGCAAAAGUGGAUACUUUUGUCCUAAAAGUUCAUAGAAGGGUUCCUCCAUGGUUCUAAUGACAGUCUCGCCAUGAGGUGCUCUGACUUUGUCAUCAAUGUCCUGCAUCAACAUCUGUUCUAUGUAGCUGAGAGUUACAUCAGAGUCGGUCUUUGGGUGCUCCUCACAGCUCACAUUGCAGAAUUGGGGACCAAUCUUGUUGGAAGCAAUUGAUAGUGCAGGAUAGUAGCUCAUAGGGGCUGGUUGAUGCGAAAUAAACUCCGAAUCAUUGUACUUGACGGUACUUGCUUCUAUGAGCUCCUGAGAACAGCAUGCGCCACAGCAAGUCAUGUUUGCCAUGAUGCCGUGAAAAUCAGCCGAGCUGGGCUUGUCACUGGUACCCAUGGUGGUUGAUACAAUUUUUGCAGUGUCUAUGGCUGCACUUUGCUCCACAUUUUCCUGGAUUAAAUGAAGUGUGAACAGCAGAAGAACAAAAGGAGGAAGCUGGAAUACACGAGAUAUUCCUCUAGUACAUCAAGCUGAAAUUAAUAUGAAAGACAUUGUGUGGUCAUGUGGUGUUAUGCUUUGUGAGCAGUCUCCAUGUGGUUUGUUUGUACCGGUCUUCAUCCGAUUUUUCGUUAAUUAAUUGAGCAAUUCUCUUGUGCUUUAUUAAUUGACGAGGCAAAUCUUUUGUUUCCGUUUCAAUUUUGAAAUAAUAAUAAUAUAGGAGACAUUGACAUCUUUCCUAGGAUUUAUUGAAGUGAUACCAAGAUUUUAUUAACAAACACGUGGGUGAGGGGGGGGGGGGGMCGUAUAUCAUUCAGAAGCGCCAUUUCUGCCGGGACUCACAGUGGGUGAUAGCCAAUUUCAGAACUUAAAAAGGAUGCAUAUACGAGUUAGUAUGCUACUAGAAACCACGGUAACAGAUCAUUAUUAUUUUUUAUUUUCAAGAUCACAGUAACAGUUCAUGGCUAUGGAAAAAUCAUAACCAGACAUCACGCCUAGCUGCUUAAGAAGUAUCUCCGAUAAUGGACAUGUUAAGACAUUAUCAGCAAAAAUGAAAAGAGUGACUUACCAUUGAUUAUUGCCUGCAGGGAUGACACAAAAUUCCGCAGGCUGCCAGAAUUCGCUGGACUGGUCGCCUUAUGAGAUUGUGGACUUGAAAUGAAUCGAAAGCCAGGGGCGUGUCGGAAGGAGGAUGGAACGGGCUAAGCGGCACUAUUUCAAGUGUGCUGAGGGAAGCAACAAGCAAGAAGAGGAUGUCUGAUGUUUUAUGUGAGCUGAUGGUGAGUUCGCCGAGGUAUGGACGUUGAUAUAGUGAUGGAAUUCAUCGUUGUGAUGACCUGUACCGAUGCCGGAGGCAGAAACAAACAAGAUCUGCAGAUAGGCUAGCUAGGCGGCAUUAUGGAGGCCAAUCGACUGUGUCAAACGCCAAUUAGGCUAAUGGAUUUGUUUAUUGCAGUUGUGGAAGCUGGAGCCUUUGGAUCCUCAGCGAGGCUCGAAGUAUGCUAAAUAUGGUUCCUACAGCUCCUAUGCAAAACAUUGUGGUCGUGUGCAAGUAAGCAGUGGCGUGGAUCCGGUCCAUUGGGGCCAACAUUGAAAAUGAUCAUAUAAAUUUAGUUAUUUUUAUUUGAUUGCUCAAAAUAAAUAUUUCAAUUUUUUGAACAUUUUCCUAAGAUAAUAAUAAGGCUAUUGAAGAAAAAAAAACUCUAGCUCCACCAAACUAUUUCGAUGAUCAUGUCGAUUUGUCCGCUGUCCAAUGGUUGUCACCACUCACCACUCACCAAUCUUGUUGUGCUCAGACAGCAGCCCCUGACGCCCUUCCACCCGCUUCGGAGCUGCAGAUCACAACUUGAUUUUAACAUGGGUUUGAAGGAGGAGUAAGCCACAUGUGCAGAGAAGAAUACUUGAUGUGCACUAUAUAUAUCGCUUGUUGAUGCUCAUGGAUGAAUUUCUUUUUAUCAUGCUUACAUUCGGAUUUGUUCGGACUUGUUUUUCAACAUGAAAACCCAUGAUCUAGUUUUCGAUGGUUUGAUCCGACGAUGAGCCCCUUGAUUGUCAUUCCAUUACUGAAGGCUUGCUGCUGAAGAGUCCUUCUCAUUAUUCUGGUGAUGUUAAAACAUUGUUGAAACGGAUAUGAUUGCUCUUGUAGAUUAUUGAUCAUUGAUACUGAACAGUGAUUAUGUAUGCUUAGUAUGUAUGUGCAAAGAUGGCUUAUGUAUGGUCGAAAAGAUGACUAUCAUACAAACAUAACACAAAAAUAAUUAUUUAGGGACAGUUCAGGAAAAAACAUCCUUCAAAUAAUUCAUGUAACUUCUACUCCCUCCGUUCCUAAAUAUACGUCUUUCUAGAGGUUUCACUAAUGGACUACAUACGGAUGUAUAUAGACAUACUUUAGAGUAUAGAUUCACUCAUUUUGCUCCGCAUGUAGACACCUAUUGAAAUAUCUUAAAAGACUUAUAUUUAGCUAUGGAGGGAGUAGGUUGCAUUUGCUUUUUGCCCCUUUGCAAAUUAUUCAAAAACGUUGUACAUACAAUGCUUUUUGCAGACGGUACUUUAGGCUCAGGUUGCAAAGAAGGUCAGAAGUGCCCUUUGAAGCUCCCAAAACCUUGUGCGUUUGUUGCUGGUAUGGGUAAUAAGGAGACGAUGUUUGCUCAGUUCCCGAACAGCGCCCAUAAUGCUCAGUUGGUUCCAAGCUCACGCCCCAUUGCACUGGUAAAGGUUGUUGGCACGGCUGCUACAACAAAACAGGUCCAUGAUCAGGUGGCGCGUAUGUGCCCGUUUACGUCUUGGGUCUGAGAGGGUGUCCCUAAUGGGGAUAGUUCAUUCACAAUCGGUUUUCCGUCGAUGGAGGUGCUCUCGAGAUUUGAUGGCGUUGAUCUUGGCAUUCCGGUGCAGGAUGGUAGGCUUGCUUUCAGUCAAUGGAAGCCAGAGGAGAUUGGUCCUAAGCUGGAGUUACACUAGGCUUGGAUACACGUCACAGGGGUGCCCCAUUCUAUGCGAGGUUUUCCGGGCAUUUGGGCCGUUGGGACUCUGGUUGGCACUACGAUUGAUGUCGAUCUUCUGUCCCUCCGGCGUAGAGGAGUGGUGCAUAUUCUCGUGGAAAUGGCUGCUGACGGUUGCUUCAGAAAGGUAGAUGAGUUGGGACCGUCUGAUAUUCAGACGGACGAUAUCUUAUUGCUGAAGUGAUACGAGUUCACUUUCUGUCCGGAGCCAGAAGGCCUUGUGCCGGAAUCAGACUUUGCACCCCCUGUUUCGGAUACCAAAAGAAAAAAUGGAGCAACGGAUGGAAACAUGGAGGAAAAUCAUAGAGAUCACCAUGGGCAUGGAGGUGCUUCAGCGCAAGAUAAUGACGGGGUUACGGGUAUGUGAGUUGGCCCCAGUCCAUCCACUCAGGAUGGUCAGUCUCAGCGUUCUUUGGUGGCUCGCCUCCUCUCCUCAGUGGUAUUGCCCUUACACCUUUUAAUCCCAGUCCUAAAACCCCACGAGGUAGGGAGAUUGUUCGUGAGCUGAGAAGGUCUGGUGGCUGCGCAUGUAAAUCCUGUUCCUGACGAUAAUCCAUUAAUUGGACUCGGAUCGGAUGGGCUACGUACUCCUUUGGAGACAAAGCUGGGUGGCAGUCAAUUAGCUGCAGCAAGCAGCGUUCACGAUACGAACGCGCCGGUUGCCCUGGCUGGUUCGCAAGACUGUGGCUGUGGCUGACGCGCACGAGACUGUGGCUGGCGGCACGGCUGCGAUAGCAGCUGCUGGAAAUUCUGUAAGCUUUUUGAGAUAUUGAUCUACUUAUUUCGAAUUUCAACUAGUAUAUUUUGAGAUUGAUGAACUUUUCUCUGAAAAUUGAUGAACCUUUUCUAAAAUAUUAAGAUUUAUGAAUUGUUUUGAAUAUCGAUGAGCUUUUUUGGAAUUUGAUGAGUAUUUUUUUUAAAUGGAUGACUUUUUAUCAAAAUUGAUGGACUAUUUAAAGAUUUAUGGCUUUUUUUUCUCAGUUCAAUGAACUUUUUCUAAAAUACGUGAACUUUUUUGAAUUAAUAUGAACUUUUUCCUAAUUUAAUGUCCUUUUAGAAAAAAAGUAAUGAACUUUUUCCAAAUUGGAUGAUUUUUUUUCAAUUUCAAUAACAUUUUUUAAAAUUAAUAAUUUUUUUUCAAAAAUCGUGAACUUUUUUAAAGAUAUGAUUUUUUCCUGAUGGAUCAACCUUUUUCUAUAUAUCUGUAAACUUUUUUUGAUUUUCAAUUUGAAUGUUUUUUUACUUAAUCAACAGAAAAAAAAACAGAUUAAAAAACUGGGCAACACGCUAGUGGGCCAGCCCAUACCAGGGACGCUAUAGGCGCCAGAUUGUUAACGGCGCCUGCAGCGACUCGCAAAUUUGCCUGCCCGGUCUAAAGAACAAAUAAUAGAAAACCAUGCCCUCGCCGCAGUCGCAGCAAACCUCGGCGAUGGCGGCGACGGCGGCCGACGAGGCGUGGUGCCGGGAGACCGUCCCCCAGGUGGUGGAGCUGGUGAGCCCGCGCCUCCCCUCCCGUUCUUCCUUGGAGAGCUGAUCUGGAGUCCGUUUAAGCUCCGGAGAGUGGAGACAUCGUCGUCACCAACCCUUCUUCAUCAACCAUUCCAUGAUGCUCAUCACUGGGCGUGAGCAAUUCCUGUGUAGGCUUGCUGGUCGGAGAUGGGUGUGGAUGUAAGUGAUCAUAUAAUCGAGUUAAAUUGAUAGUGCUUGAUCCCUAGUAUUCAUUAUGUUCUGAGAUUGAUGUUGAUAUGACUUUGCCAUGCUUAAUAAUAGUCACUAGGGCCCGAGUGCCGUGAUUUCAGAUCUGAACAUAUUAUAUUAUCUCUGAAUAUAAGAUUGAUUAGGAUCCUAUGUUGCAAGUUGUAUGCACCUAUUACAUGUCUUGAUCCGCAUACCCAAAGUGACAAUAAUUAGAUUCUUUCCGGUAAUUGUCGUAGUUUAAGGAGUUAAUGCAUUCACUAAGUGUUAAUCCUUUGUUCUAGUUCUUUAUUAAAAGAAGACCUUAAUAUCCGUUAGUUUUCAAUAGGACCCAGCUGCCACGGAAGGGUACGAUAAAAGAUGUCAUGCAAGUUCUUAUCGCAAGCACGUAUGAUUAUAUACAGAAUAUAUGCCUACAUCUUAUUGAUGAAUUGGAGCUAGUUCUGUGUCUCUCUAGUGUGUAACUGUUACAUGAUCGAUGUCAUCCCUAUCUUUCCAUCUUGCACCGGCCGUGGCCUACAUUUUACAUAUACUAAGUCUUGCUAAGUUACUACUGUUGUUGUUACUGUCACACAUGCUACUUAAUUGCUACUGUCACUACUGUUACCAAAACUGCUGCUAUCACUGUUACUGCUACUACUAACUUUUUCUGCAGAUAGAUAUCCGAGGUGCGGUUAAAUUGACAACUCAACUAUCAAGGCCAAUACAUAUUCUUUAGCUAUCCUUGUGUCGAAUCAAUAAAUUUAGAUGGAAUACUAGACUGUCGUGAUCCUUUAUACUUACAGGUUAUCAAAAGAAACAUGGACAGAGAGGCCGGCCCAGAACGAGUCGAGGGGUAUGCGUCGCAUCGACAGUUUGACGCAGAAUGCGUUAAAUAGCAUAUUCCAUUUUUAGAUACAAGAAGAUUACAUUGAAAGGGCACGUUGGGCUGAUGAAAGGAGCAAACAGGUCGAACGGGCUUUUUUUCUAUCGCUUUUGGCCGGCCCUGAUCUAAAUCCACAUGUGGGCCUCUCGUGGAUCACGUUUCGGGCAAGGAGAAAAAGAAGUAAAAAACCACGCUUUCCCCGCAGCCGCAGCGAACCUCGGCGAUGGCGGCGGCGGCCGACGAGGCGUGGUGCCGGGAGACCGUCCCCCGGGUGAUGGCGCUGGUGAGCCCGCGCCUCCCGCAGCGCGACGCCUGCGCCCUGCUCUCCGUCAGCCCCUGGUGCCACCGCGCCCUCGCCGCCAACCCCAAGCUCUGGGAGGUGCGUGCGCAUCACAUCCGGCCGCCCCCGCCCGCCUGCACCCCUCCUCGGCCAUCUCCUCCUCCUGCCGCGCUUUCUCUCGCCUCGGUUUAUAUCUAGCCGUCGUCUCCCCUUCGCCGCGCGCGCUCCCGAUUUGGGCGGAAAAAAAAGUUUAUUUGAUGCUGCUUGACGCAGUAUAACUUCUCUAGUCUGCGAUGCACAAAUGUCUCGCUUACCAAAUUGAUGUACUACUUAUCAGGUACUCGACCUGCACGAGAUGAAGAAAGCUGGCGAGCGGCUCAUUUCGGCGCUUUCACUGGUAAUCAUCACCAUAAUCCUAUCUCCAAGUCUUCCUUCCAGACAAUAUUUUUGUUCUGUUUCUAUGGACAUUCCUUGUAUCUUUACCGAGUGUAACAUCGACCAGCUCUUGCCGUGUACACCGUGGUACACUGUUCCAAUUCCAAAUUUCAUUCCUGUCUGACCUGACUAGCUAUUUUUGUGACGUGGUCUGCCGUUCGAUCCCUGUUUAGGCACGGUAUCGUCAUCUCAAAGUCGUGAACCUUGAAUUCGCUCAAGAUAUCGAGGACCGGCAUUUUCUCCAUCUGAAAGAAACGGUGAAAUUUUCUCUGCUUUGUACUACCUUUUAGAUAGUUUCUACUAUCUAUGACUAGAAAUUGCAACUGGUUUAACACGCGUUUAUUUGCAGGGUGCUGUCUUACUAGAAGAGUUGGAACUCCUGAACCUAAAUGCAUGUCAGAAGAUCUCUGAUACAGGAAUUGAAGCUGCUACCAGUAUUUGUCCUAAUCUUCAGGCCCUGUCGAUCUAUUGGAUUGUUGGGUACGUAAUUCGCUGUAGGUUUCCUUUUACUUUACAUAACUUGCACUUCUAAUCGCAGGACUUUUGGUUGCGCAGAUUGACAGACGAAAGCAUUGGACAUGUUGUGAAGAACUGCAAGCAGAUAAUCGACUUGAAUCUGAGUGGCUGUAAGGUAUUGCUACUGUACCAUGUUUUUUCAGCUUAUGGUGUUUUUAGUUUAUCAAACAAUGAGGUUCUCUAUGGCCGCGCCAGGCUAAGCAGUUGAUUUUAAAUUUAUGCAGUCAUAUUUUUUUGCUAUAUCCAUCUCCAAAAAAUAUUAUGCAUAAUCAAUACUGAAUACUUUGGAUAGGUUGUGAUCUUUAUUAUUUUCUUUUGGAAUAUACAACAUUAAUCUUCUUUUACUUGAAUCAGGAGGGCAUAUUUAAUACAUUCCUGAUUCUUGCUUUAUUUGUUACAUUCCUGUUUCAUGCUUUGUUUAUUACAUUACCUUUUCAUGCUUACUUGUUGUUUGGAACAAUAGAAUCUACCUUGGAAUCUGCAAAUCUCUUAGAAUGUACUAAGAGAUUCCAGAUUUAUUGGGUGACUCCUAUACUUAUGCCUAUGCCGCAAAUGUGGUAGGCGGAUACAUGUAUGAUCUGGACAUAUGGAUGCAAUACACUAUUUUGCAGUAUCUAAAAGGCAGUCCUGGAAGGGGCUUUUGUUUAAAAAGAAUGACGAUCUCUUAAUAUGGAUGCUUAUAGUGGUGCCUAUUGGGUGAGUUGUCUUGAUGACAGAAGAUCGACUUUAGGCUAUUGUGCAUUGGAUGGAAUGAAACAUGGUGUCGUGGCGAAGCAAGAAGCAAUUAGUUGUGUCCAAAUCAACAGCCGAAGCAGAGUAUAGAGCUAUGUUAUUAGUUGUAUCUAAAAGAAAUUCUCUAUCCGAAUGAAGGUGCUGGGAAAAGGUCCUUUGAAGGUGUGGUGUAAUAAUAAAUCAGCUAUCAGCAUAACCAAUAAUCAUCCAACAAACAGAACCAAGCAUGUGGCGAUAGAUCCUUUGUUUAUUAAGGAGAAGUUAUAUAAUGUUAUAAUUCAAUUAAAUCAUGUAAUAUCAGGGAGUCAAGUAGCAUAUGGUCUAACUAAGGGUUUUGGAGUCAAGCAACGUAAUUUAGCUGUAACAAAAGAUGGGAACGAUAUAUAUCUAUCACCCAUCUUGACUGGGAGUGUUGGGCUGAACAUAACAGGGUGAUAAUGAAGCAUUAGCAGAUUGCAUCUUACAUAUCCAGCUCUACUUUUUCAUGGCUUUUCACGCCACUGAUUGGAUAUAUAUUACAUGCAUUACAGAAUAUCUCAGAUAGAGGAAUACAGCUAGUUGCCGAUAAUUAUCAAGGACUACAGAAGUUAGACAUAACCAGGUACAAUUUUUUUUUGUGUGGAGUAAUGGGAUUGGUCCCUGAUUUCAAGUUUCAAAAACCAAAGUAGUUUCAGCAAGGAUUAGAUGCCAGGACCACAUGUGUCAUUUCAUUCUGAACUUUCAUCUAGUGUCCACUUGUAUCUUUAAUGUUCUACAACCUUGGCGAGCUUGGGCAGGAAACAGAAUUUGCAACCUAAAUAUCCUGUGUGAUGUAUUCAUAGGUGCAUUAAGUUGACAGAUGAUGCACUGCAAAAGGUUCUUGAGAAAUGCUCUGCUCUUGAAAGCUUGAACAUGUAUGCACUUUCAAGGUAAUACUGAAAAUAUCUAAGAUAGAUAAUUAUGUGUUGCAGUGAACUUGAGCAUCUAACAACCUUACUUCACAUCAUGCAGUUUUACCGACAAGGCUUAUUCAAAAAUAGGAUAUUUAGCCAACCUUACAUUUCUAGACCUAUGUGGGGCCCAGGUAACUAUUUAUUGAAUCUACUUUGAGUUUUGAACUACCAAACUAUUUUGUUCACUAAUUCAGCGUUCCCAGAACCUAACUGACGACGGUCUUAGCAGUAUAUCAAGAUGUGGACGUUUGACAUAUCUAAAUUUAUCUUGGUAAUACAAGAGCAAACUUUACUUUUCUCUAAAUAAAUUAAUAAUUGAACUUGCUGUGAUUUAUCUCUGGAAUCACUACUCACAGGUGCGUACGUGUUACUGAUGUUGGGGUGGUAGCUAUCGCACAAGGUUGUCGGUCCCUUCAACUACUAAGGUAAUGUGGUAAUUUUGUUCUAAAGAUAGUGUGUUCGUUGUGGACUGGUGGCUUAUGCACGUUCUGUUUUGUUUAUGUAGUUUAUUUGGAAUACUUGGAGUAACUGAUGCUUGCCUGGAGGUUUUGUCAAAAUCUUGCUUAAAUAGUCUCACGACUCUGGAUGUUAAUGGCUGUACUGGUAUUAAGGUGAGGACUUGAAACCUAUUACUCUAAUUUAAAGUAAUUUUCCUCAACCAGUCCUCUGCUUUCUAAGUCAAAGCUCUGCUUGCCAUAACACCAUUCAAUUCAAAAUAACGUUAAUUAUCCAAUUGGCCUAUGGCACAAGCCAUGACCAUACAAAUAAGAGUGAACUUAUUUGGCUGUAUCAGCCUACAAUUUAGCAAAAGAAAUAGAAUUUAAUUUCUUUCUGCAUUUUCUACAUCUUGUUUCUAAUUGGCUCAUAUGCCUUGUGCUGUCUGAAUGACAUUAGGCCCAUAGGCUUGAUGGUUAAUCCCUUAAUCUUAGGGUGUGUUUGGGACAGCCCCACUUGAUAGAUUCUGUGCUGGAGCAGGUCAAGCCAUGCCAAACACCCGAACUCCAUUUUUUGGGUGGAGUUAAGCUGAAGGGGCCUCUAGACUGUAGCAUUUCAGUGAAGCUGCAAAGACCCAUCUCUCUUCUGCACCUCCAAUUAUAAGUUCGCCCCUGAAGUUGAGAGUAAAUAACCCACCGGAUGCCAUUGGACAUAACCCCCCGUGUCAACCGAGCACUCCCUGAGACCAUUCGUACCUAGCUCGUUCCCCAAUGCUUCUCCUCUUCCUUUUAACUGUCCUUGUCAUCCUCCGCAUCCUCACCGGCAACCACCCCAUCCACCAGAUUCAUCCGGAAGUGGCGCCUAAAAGAUUGUUGCAUCAACCUGCAGAUCUCCCCGCUGUUGUCUUUCUCUAGAAUAGACUUGGAGACACCACACUGACCCUAUGAACUCAGGGGUUUGCUGCGAGCUCCGCGGUAUGAGCACUGGCGGAGCCACCUCCCGGCUACCCGGGGCAGCUGCCAGGUCUCAGCCUUGCAUUCCUGUUUGAACAGUAACAGUAAGGGUGGACCUAUUGUAGGGGCAAACAACUGGGAUACAGGAAUGCCGUGUACUUUACCCCGGCUUGCCGGCCGAGCUGGCUCCGCCACUGGGUAUGAGGUGGCGGUGGAUCUAGGAACCAAUGGAAGAUCCAGCGAGUUCUCAUGUUCUUGAUAUUUUUUGUCUAGGGAGCGGUAUCCAUCUCAUGGUUGAGUUGUGAGUUCGUGAAAUCCCUGUUGGUCUUCUCCAUGCAUCAGUAUGGCAAGUAGUAUUGCGUCGCAGCGAUAUCAGUUGGUCUGCAGGCCAAAGCUUUCAAUUUGCUUCUGAGCAUUCAGUGCUUCUAACUGAUAAUAAUUAUUCAUGGCACGGAGGGAUCGAUUAUAGCUAUCUCGGACUAUUUCCUUGGUGGUGCCUUGUACCAAACCACGGUUCUAACUGAAUUAGCUUGUAGAAAUUGUAGUUCAUCGGAGAUGGCUUGCAGCAAAUAGCAUGCUGAAGCUGUCCAUGUGAUUUUUUUAGGGUGAUGCCGAUUUGAGUCGGUUGUUGUGUUGUAGGUUUACUUGGUUAGAACUCAGAAAGAUAAAUGCUUCGGUUAGUCACUUCCAUGGGCACUGAAAUAUUAUGUGCUCAUGUGAUAACCUGCUAAUUUGUUUCAUGUGAUCCAGGCAAUAACGUGUAUAAGAGUUGAAAAAAUAACAAGGGUAUUUUGGUCCUUGCAUAACGAAGGACCAUGAUAUGAAUUUGUAGAUAAUCCUGUUGCCAAACACACCCAUCUUGUAGACAUUAAACUCCUUUCAAGAGGAUGAGUAAGCUGACUGGGGGAAACAAAAAUGAAUCAAACUCAAAAAUAAAUAAAAGCCAGUUAUUGUGCAGACAACCCCAUCCUUCAAUAUUUUAACAGGUUUUCUAGUCUAAGUUAUCAUCACGUUUUGCCGCAUCAUUUCUGCAAAUGAAUUGUUCGAUUGACGAGUACCCUGUUCGACAGAAGAGGAGCCGGAACGACCUGAUCCAGUUGUUCCCACUAUUGAGUUGCUUCAAGGUGCACAGCUAGCAGCAACGGCUUGGACGUUUGUAGAAUGAUAUCACUACCCUAGUUGGCAUUCGGAAAAGCACCGUGGAAGUCUCCGGCCCUGGAAAAACAGAGCAAAUAUUUUGUUGCCUGUUGGUUCCUUGUUUGCAUGUUGAUGUGAGAGAGAUCACAGGGCCUGUAUAAUCGAUUUUCGUAAUAUGUGUGGCGUUUCUCAGUUUUGUUGUUACAAAAAAUUGAAAACCAUGAUGUACUUAUUUUCUACAUGAAAAAAAACAUCCUUUCUUUAUUCGAGGUUUUGCAUUGUUUAGCUGACCCGUAAUAUGUUUGCAUGGGAUAGAGGCAAAAACAGUGGGUAAUUCUUGUUGCGUGGGAAAGUUUUAUUAGCUUUGAAGCUUGGGAGUUUGGCUUUGAACUUGUCAAUGAUAAAAUUUCAAGCUGUGGCCAAGUCCUUCUGCUGAGAGGGCAAGAGCCAAGAGGGUUCCCAGAUUGGUAGUGCUUUCAUCUAUAGCUCGAAAAUGGAAAAUAUAUUUUUCUCGUGGUUUACAUCGGUUUCCAUCGAAUGUUGGUUUCCGAAUGAUAUUCUUCCUUUUCGAUAGCCUCUCUGAUAUGUGGUAGAAUCUUCUUGUGCCAAAGAUAAUGGCAGAUUUGUUUCAGUCAGGAGUUUGAUCAGAGUUACCACAUGUCAUCCCUAUAAUCCACAAAAAGAAUGAUCCCAUCAAGCAAUGAAGAGAAAAGUUACUUGGCAAGCAUGAAGGGAGACGUCUUACAAAAUCUAGUCAUGCAGCAGCUUCGCCCGAUUGCAACUUGUAACAAGAAUGGUUGGUGGUCAAUUGAUUUGGUAGAUCUCCUACCAACAUUCAAAAAAAAAAAAAAACGAAUGGUUGGUGGCGCCCACCGACCCAUGUGCCCAGCGUGACGACUGACGACGCCAUCCAGCGCUGCCGCAGCCGGCAGCCCUUUCCCGGAUCGACGGGCAGCAUGUUUGUUGCGCCGGACCACCACGUGACGUACCUGCGCCAGCCGCGGCGUAUAUGACGUUCAUUGACCACUGGCCUUCUAACAGCAACGGCGCCACCACCACGGGAGCAGUUGGUCCUCCAUGGGGUGGGCGAUCGCGCUGCACGGCGGCGCCGGGGACAUCCCGCGGACGCUGCCGCCGGAGCGCAGGGAGCCCCGCCUCGCCACGCUCCGCCGCUGCCUCGACCUCGGCGCCGCCGCGCUCCGGGCCGGCCGCUCCGCCCUCGACGUCGUCGAGCUCGUCGUACGUUACGCAUCCCGUCUCCUUCUUCCUCUCUCUCCAUCUUUUGUCAUAAGACCAUCUCCGUCCGGGGGCAGGUGAGGGAGCUGGAGGACUGCCCGCACUUCAACGCCGGCAAGGGGUCGGUGCUCACGACCGACGGCACGGUGGAGAUGGAGGCCUCCGUCAUGGACGGCGCCGGCAUGCGCUGCGGCGCCGUCUCGGGCCUCUCCACCGUCGUCAACCCCAUCUCGCUCGCCAGGCUCGUCAUGGACAAGACGCCCCACAUCUACCUCGCCUUCGACGGCGCAGAGGCCUUCGCCAGGGACCAGGUGCCAAGCUGCUAUCCGUCACUAAUAAAUCUCAAUCUUGCUUUUAAUCAGUGAUGAGUGAGGAAUACUAGUAUUUCAUAAUCAAACAAACUGUUUAUCAAAAAAGAGUUUGUCAUAUAUAGUUCAUUCAUCUCAAAUUUCUCAGGGUGUGGAGACUAAACUGAUGAAAUUCAGUAGACACUGCAAUAUUUACCUGACGGCCAAAGUAGUGCACAAGAAUUCACAAGUUCUAAACCAUCUGGUUAAAUACCAGCGAAUGUUUCAACCCCUUGGACGGAAUGAUAAUUAAUCAAAAUUACUGAAACUCAAUGAAUUUGAUGAUUCCAGUUGUUGCCCAACUGUUUCUGAAACUGAUAGUGAAAACCUUUUCUGUAUGUGUUCUCAGGGUGUGGAGGUUAGAGACCAAAACCACUUUAUUACAGAGGAAAACAUCGACAGGCUCAGAAACGCCAAAGAGGCCAACAGGGUGCAGGUAUGUAUAUUACUGUCUGUAUCUGUCACACUGCUUUCUUGUUCAUUUUGAUAUCAUAUCCUUCCCCACUUGAAAGUUGAAACAAACAAAAGUUACCAUAUCCACUUUAACAUUUUUCAACAGAAAAAUCAUAUCAAAACAGAAUUAACCAGGUUUGUUUUUGUUCAGCCAGUUGUUGAUUCUCGCAACCUUCCUGUUGCUUUCUUCACAGAUCGACUACACACAGUACAACUACACGCAGCCAAUCUGCGCUCCCAACGACAACGACGACGACAACAGCCGGACCGGCACGGUGGGCUGCGUGGCCGUCGACGCGUCGGGCAGCCUGGCGUCGGCGACGUCCACGGGUGGGCUGGUGAACAAGAUGGCCGGCAGGAUCGGCGACACCCCGGUCAUCGGCGCCGGCACCUACGCCAACGCCCUCUGCGCCGUGUCCACCACCGGCAAGGGCGAGGACAUCAUCAGGCACACCGUGGCGCGCGACGUGGUGGCGGUGAUGGAGCACCGGGGCCUCCCGCUGGAGGAGGCCGCCGCGCGCGUCGUGGCCGGCGUGCCCCGCGGCUCCGUGGGGCUGGUGGCCGUGUCGGCCGCCGGGGAGGUGACCAUGGCGUACAACACGACGGGGAUGUUCAGGGCGUGCGCCACCGAGGAUGGGUACUCCGAGGUCGCCAUAUGGCCUGCAUCUGCAUGAUCCUGGUUAAUGGGGAGAGCUAGCGUUGGAGAGUAAACUAUCAGCUGAUUAUAUAUGUGUGUCUGUCUUCUUUCUCUAGUGUCCGCUGCAGGUGCUCAUCUCUGCUUUGCGACUACGAGGCAAAGAACUCAGAUUAGUUUGACGUUUCAGUAUGUUGUGUAAGGAUUGAACUAAUUUGGUUUCAAAAAAUUAUCGCAAGUUUGUUUACGAUUAGUGGAGCCGGAGCUAGGCACUAAUCUUCUUGUCCCUCCGUUCGGGUUUAUUAGGCCUACUCACAUUUAGUGUCAAAGUUUGGUCAUAAAAUUAACUGAGAAAAAAUAAAUUAUGUCAAAAAAAUUAUAUGGUGGAAAUCCUCAUUCCAGUACAAAUAUAAUGGUAUAGUACUUAUAACAUAUAAAUCAUAUAUUGUUAGUUAUAGCGGUCCUAAUAUUCUAUCAUUAAUGAAACCGGAGCUAGGUCCUAAUAUUCUACCAUCCAUUUGAAUUUAUUAGGCCUACUCACAUUUAGUGUCAAAGUUUGGCCAUACAAUUAACUAAGAAAACAUAAAUUAUGCCACACAAUUUAUAUGGUGGAAAUCCUUAUUCGAAUGCAAAUCUAAUGGUAUAAUAUUUAUAACAUAUAAAUCAUAUAUUGUUAGUUAUAGGUAUGAUCAAAUUUUGUCCCAAAAUACGUGGGGGCCAAUAAACUUGAAAGAAGGAAAUACUUCCUCCGUCCAAAAAUAAGUAUCGCAAAUUUAUAACUAAACCAGUACAAAAUUUAUACUAAGUCACCGACACUUAUUUUGAGACGGAUGGAGUACAAAGUAUGACGAUAAUUCAACUCUGCCCGCCUUCGACCUAUGUAGAGGAGCGACAGAACCCACCCCCACUCCUAAUUUCAGGCAAUUUGUCAAAUACAAAAGUGUGUCAUCGAAGGCCCACCAACUUUGCAUUAUGAACUAAGGGAUAGGCAAGGGACAAAUUACCUAAAUAAAUAAUUUGGACAAGUCGAUCUUUCUAAGUGCAGGUAAAUCAAAAUUGUCUCGCACUAAUGUGUUCGUCGAUUUUUUAGAGGACUAUUCGGCCCUUCACAAUCAUAAAAUAGGGGCCCGUCAAAUACUUGGGCUUGGUCUGAAAUAUAACAUAAAUUGACCCAAUACCUGCUAAGACAUAAUUAAAAAUAUAUUUUCAAUGCACGAAUGAUUUAGUGGCACUGGUAUGACACUUCAAGAAAAAUAAAAUAUAAUUAAUUAAUGACAAAAUUUGCAAACAAUUUACACAUAAAUCAAAAUUUUAUGAUAUGAAUGAAUAAUCAUAUAAUAGUGAAAUUUUAUGAAAAAUAUGUUUUUAUAAUAAGAAUUAAUUAGUGGCACUGACAUUACAAUUAAAAGAGAAAAAGAUAGAGCUACAAACCAAAAAAAAACAAUAAUUGAAUUAGUGAUCUUCGUAUUACCCUAUAAGAAGCAAAAAAGAAUAUUUAAAAAAACAUGCACACAGCUUUGCAAUAAAAUUUCAACUUAUGUAAUAUGCAAAAAAAUAAACAUAUUAUAUAUUGUAUAGAAAAUAGCCAAACAGAAAAAAAGAAGGACUGCUGAAAAAGUAAAAGGAAAGAAAAACAUAAAGAAAAAAACAUCAGUUUAUGGGCUUUAAGCCUAAUAAGAAAAUCGAUUGAACCAAAAUAAGGUCAAGAUAAAAACUAAAAAAACAAGUGAAAAAGAAGACAUCACUAAUCUUGCGGUCAAAAAAUUGGCUUACCCAUUUUAAAAAAUAGGAAACUUACACAUAUAGCUGAAGUAAUGAACAAAGAGCCUCCAACUGGCACACAAAUCAUGAAGUUCCUUCUCUUGCCAUAUAUCGGGGGAGGCUACUAUAGGAUAUGCCCUUCAGGUGAGAUCGUAGAAUCAACCUCAAAAUUUCAUAUUUAGACAAUUAGAAAAAUUCCAAAAAUAAUUUGCAACAUACUAGCGGGCUAAGUCUACAACACUAAAAAAAACUCAGCUUCUAACUUGACCUAUAGCUAGAGAUUUGAAAAAGACAAAUUCGACUGUAAAUAAUAUCAGCUUUGGAUGAAUAGUAUUUGACACUAUUCACAUCCGAUUUUUUUUUUCUCUAAUUGUAGCUCGAAUUAGGAGCGGAAUUUUUUUGAUAUUGUACAUCAAACAUGAACGUGUGUCUCCAAAUAUUUUCAGAAAUUUUGAACAUUUUUUGUAUCUUCAGAAAGAUUGAUCUCAUUGAUCUCACCUAAGAGCGGAUCAUAUGCUACUCUCCCCCGCCAUACAUAUCAGAACCCUGUUAUUGCCAGUACUAGUAAACUGUUGAAUCUUAUCCUUCAUUUUUACACAUAUGAGAGGUUUUUAUAAAUAUAUAACCUGAUAUGUUUCCUCAUCAGUUAGACACAUCGUAUAGAAUCAAAAAGAAGGAAAAGACACAGAUCAUAAAGCAUCGCUGUCUCCUUCCACCCAAAAAAAGAAAUGUCUCAGUGCAACCAGAGCCACAAGGUGGUCACCUUGGUACACACACUGCAUUAUCCUCUACUUCUAUUUCAUGAUAAAAGCCACGAGAGCAUAGAGCGAUGGGUCGGUGUAGACUUGUACUCCAUCCGUUUCAAAAUAAAUAAUUUAAAAAUAACUCAAAUUUACAUUAACUUUAGUAUAAAGUUGAGCCAUUUUUGAGUCAUUUAUUUUGAUACGGAGGGAGUAUAAAGGAGUAUAAAGGAGGAGGCUGGCAUCUGGCUAAAGUUUGAUUCCGUAUCCCGCUGCUCUAGAGUAAGAGUAAGUUUGCCUUGGCAGUUCGUGCUCUACACACACGCAUGCACGCACUAGAUUUAUUUGUGUGUCUGUCUCUGUCUAGCUUUGCAUCGACUCUUUCUCUUCUCAUCCUUUAUGUACGUACUGCUUGGUUUUGUUUUCAUGUCAGGAUCGAGUAGCUGCUAGCUAGCUGGCUAGGGUGCAAUAUCGACGGCCAAGUUCAAGACCUCGGCCGGCAACCCGAUGGCUUGGGUUCCUCGGAGCUGGACUACCAGGACGACGUCGACGGCCGCAUUCAGGCGGUGCGCCGGCCUGGGGGCAGCAAGGCUACCAUCGCCUAGUACACAGCACCUCCGGCCAUCUCGGGCGCCGAGAACACGGCCGUCGGCGACGUCGAGCUCACGGGCCAGUACAGCGGGAGCGGACAGAGCGCUCGGGACGGCGCUUGCCAGUGCGUGGAGGAGAACCACCACGCCAUCGCAAGCCUGUAACGCGCACCCGCGUGGCGCCGUGGUGGCCGCCGCAGUGGAGGUGGUGGUGGUGGACACGGCGCGUGAAUGUGACGUCGACGACGACUGCGACGCCGGCUCGCCUCCCGUCGUCCACGUCUACGGCUCCGUCACCGCGAAAACCAGAUCGGCUUCCGGCGACCGGUGGGUGGAGGAGCACAGCCUGUUCCACAGGGCGAAAGGCCAACUGGCCCGCGUGCCCAGAGUCGACGCGGCCAUACCGCUGCAGUCGACGGCGGCGCUCGUCUCGGCGCCGCUUGGGUCCGAGCUUCAAGUCUCGGCGGAGCUGCUGGACGCCAGCGCCUCGUGGCAGAACCCCGACCAGGAACUCGCGCGUGGCUCCGUGGUCUUCGCCCCGCGCCUCGCCGGGACCGACACCGCGGAGAUCGCCGGCGCCGACGGCAAGGUCAGGGUGGACGUCACUUGGUCGACCCAGUAAAGUAGUACUCGAAACAUCUCGCUAGCUCGGUUUUUAAGUUUUGUAUACUUCCCUUCGUUCUUAAAUACCCUCUCUCAAAAUAAAGCUUAGUACUCCCUUCUUUUCGGUUUAUAGAACUCAUCUCAAAAUUUUCAGAUUUCUAUUUUAUUAGGCUUAUUUUGAAUCUAAGUGAGUUAAAGUGUUUUGAGUCUCACGUCAUAUUCAAUUCAUAGAGUUUAGAGAAAGGAGAUGAAUGGCUAUGCAUGCAUCGUUUUCUAUAUCCAUCAUGCAAGUCCAAUGAAAGAAAUGAUGCUACAUUUAUUGCCUUGAAAAUUACAUAUGUGAGAAAUAUUUCAUUGGCUAGUUUAAACUAGUGUCAUCCACUCACAAUUCAUCUUGGUUGAUGAGAUUUCAGAUUUGAGCCCUAUAAACCGGAAAAGAGGAAGUACAACUUUGUACUAGCUUUAAUACAAAGCUGAGACAGUUAUUUUAGGACAGAGGGAAUAUAACUCUUUCGGGAUAUAUAUAUGGGAGUGCCUCGAGCUCAGCUAGCUGAUUUUCUUUAUGGUCUCAAUCAUCUGAUGUGGAUUCUCCCUUGUCCCGGCCCGUUUUUCUCCCUCGCAGCUUUUUUCUUUCCUGUUUGGGCUUUGGCCCGGUCUGUCUUCUUUCUCUAGUGUCUGCUGCAGGUGAUCAUCUCUGCUUUGCCACUACGAGGCAAAGAACUCAUAUUAGUUCGACGUUUCAGUAUGUUGUGUAAGGAUUGGACUAAUUUGGUUUCAAAAAAUUAUCGCAAUUUUGUUUAUCAUUAAUGGAGCUGGAGCUAGGCACUAAUCUUCUUUUUCCUCCGUUCGGGUUUAUUAGGCCUACUCACGUUUAGUGUCAAAGUUUGGCCAUAAAAUUACCUAAGAAAACAUAAAUUAUGUCACACAAAUUACAUGGUGGAAAUCCUUAUUCGAAUACCAAUCUAAUGCUAUAUUAUUUAUAACAUAUCAAUCAUAUAUUGUUAGUUAUAGGGGCAUCGAAUUUUGUCCCGAAAUAGGUGGGGCCCAAUAAACUUGAACGGAGGAAAUAAAAAAUAUGGCCUUGGACCUAUGUAGAUAAAACUCAGCUCAUAACUUGAUCUAUAGCUAGAUAUUCAAAAAGACAAAUUCGACUGCAAAUAAUGUCACCUUUAGGGUGAAUAGUAUUCCUUCCGUCCUAAAUUAAGUGACUCAACUUUAUACUAACUUUGCACUAAAAUUAGUAUAAAGUUGAGUCACUUAAUUUGGACGGAGGGAGUAUUUGACACUGUUUACAUCCGAUUUUGUCUUUUUGUUUCUCUAAGUCACUACUAGUAUUUUCAACUAUGCCUACAGCCAGAUGCCGUCGGCAUAGAGCUAUGCCGACGGCUGCCGUCGGCAUAUUCCCGUCGACGUAUAAUACAUCAGCGUAGAUGCCUCGGCGUCGGCAUAGAAAGGCCAUCGACAUAGGUAUCUAUACCAAUUAAAUUGCAAGGUAUCGUGACAUAAUCAGGCUGAUAAAUUUGGGUUCAAUGUGUACAUACUCACAAGACCAUAUGUCUCCAUAUGCAUGUUUUUUUGUUAAGCUUGUAAAUACGUGUAUCACAGCUUCUACCAAUAAUUAAAGUUCCAACAGUAAAUGACCAUACUAUUUUAUUCUCAUGUAUCUUUUUAAUUGGGCCAUUCAUAUACACGAGCGUAUUACAUUCCAAUUUACAAGAAACAAGAAGAUAUUUGCUAGUGUAUUUGCAAGUACACAUACAAUAUCCACGAAGAGAAACAAAAUUUAUUAAAUCACAUAUAUCUCCAUGUCCUUCUCUUGCAUGUUGUUUGAGUCCUUCAUGUUGUCACACAAAGCCUUCGUUGUAACCACAACAUCUUUUAGUAAAUGUGGUGGCUCAAUGUGCUAUAGAACAUUCUUCGUACUUAUCCAUCUAAAAAAAAACACACAAAAAAACAACUCAGUAUAAAAAGGAUGCAUAUUGUAUCCGAAUUGAUCAUAGAUCUAAAUUAACAAGCACGUGGCUGAGAUAUGUAGAUGAGAGAAAUUUUGUGGUUUUCAAACUAAGCUACAAGUAUUGGGCUUCACAAAAAAACAAUCAGUAGGACCAAACUGAACAACCACAUACAUACCUCGUGGAUCCAUGAAUAUGAUAAAAACUUGCGCUGGUAGUUUUCAUGGUCAUGUGCAUGGAAAUGCAAAAGUAUGAAAAAGCAAUGAAGAUACCUGCAGUUCGAAAAGAAAUAGGUAAAUUACUAUUGAUGUAAUGGAGAAAAAACCCAACCUACGAGUGCCAUCGGCGACGACGGCGGCAACAAUGGCAACCAUGGCACGUCAAGUGUGCUGAUAGCCAUGAUUGUAUCUGCACUUACUUGUGACGAAGAUGAAUGAUGGAGGGACGAUCACCGGGGUAUGCUCGUGUAGAAGACAGGCGAGAGAAAAAUGAAUCACGUAGGUAUACAAAUGCGUGAUGGAGUGCUUUGAUGGUAUAUAGUUAAUUGCUCAGACAAAUUAUGUCAAGUACGUGGCCAUUUUCUGGUAACAAUUAAAUUAGUUGGCAUCUUUCUUAUUUGGAAAGAAUCGAAUUAAAAAGAACAUAGGUGAUAGCAAUCAAUAACCUUAAUUGGGAGGCAUGCAACAUUAAAGAAUGGCUAAUGAAUGAUGUUAACGGGUGUAGCAAUCGAUAACCCCAUAUGCAUUGUUGAGAUCAUAGAUUGAUCCAGCGGCUGACCCUCUAGGUGCCCCAAACAUUUUACCUAUAUCUAGGUGUCCAGGCACCUAGGUGCCUGUGCACCUCGAUCGGGUCCAUCCCGUCAGUGCAGUUUCUAUAAAUUUUGAUUUGUUUCCUAAUAUUUGCAUGCAAGACUUUCCAUGUAUGAGAUAGAAUCAAGUGUUUUAAAUUCCAUGAAUUAGUACAUCUCCUUUUAUUGCUUUCCUUCUCUCAUACAUUUUCAUGCAUAUGUUGUACACCAUGUAUGUACAGCUAUAUAGUGAAUUUUUUUUGGUAUGAUACCUUCUUUGUGACUAUAUGUAUAAUACCUAUGUAUUAUUGGGUAUAUACUCAUAAAUUGUACACCAAGGUAUGUACAUAUAAAAAGUAUGAUGCGCAUACACAUACCUAACAAUUUAUAGAGUACUCUUACUUUUGCAUAUCCGUAAAUGUAUUGGAUACUAUGAAUUUCACAUAAUUUAUCAAGUAUGUACCCAUAAAUGAUGACAUACCCUAACAUAAUAUACUCUUUUUGAAGACAUACCCGUAAAUGGUAUACCAAAAAUAAAAUACACGUAUAUGACUUAAACACAUACCCGUAAAUGAUAUUGGUAAAAUACCCGUAAAUAAUAUACUAAAAUAAAAUACACAUAUUGUGUUCUAUAAAAAUUACACAUACUGUGUUCUAAAAACUAAAAUGAUGUAGUUUCAUAGAUCAAGCAUUUCCUUUUAGUGCUUUUCCCUCUCAUUCCUUUCCAUAUAAAAGUUUUAGAUCACGUAUUUGUGAAUAUAUACCAAAAAAGAAUAUGUAUGGUGACACACAUUUACGUGGAUGUAUAUCCAUCAAAUAAUUGGGUAUCAUACCCACUUAUUUGUGACUAUGUACUUCACAAAAUAAUUAGGUAUAUAUAUACCUACAUAUUAUUAGGGUAUACUCAUAUAUUUCACGUCGGGGUAUGUAGUUAUAGUAAAAUAUGCAAGAAAAAAUAGGAAUAAUACCUAUAUAUUAUUGGGGUAUGUAGUCAUAUGUUUUUUGCUUGGGUAUGUAGUUGUAGAGAAUAGGUAUGUAGCUAUAGAGUAAUAUUGGGGAAUUACAUAUAUUUCAAUCUCGCAUACCCACUUAUUUUUGAACUAUGUACCUAAAAACAAUUAGGUAUAAUACCUACGUAUUAUUGCGGUAUGUAUUCAUAUUUUUCACGCCGGGGUAUGUAGGUGUAGGAAAAUAUAUAAAAACAAUUAGGAAACAUACCUACGAAUUAUUGAGGUAUGCACUCGUAUAUUUCACGCUGAGAUAUGUAGUUGUAGAGAAAUAUCCAGAUAAAAUUCUUAUAAGUAUAUACUCAGUUAAAAAAAUCUCAAUGUACGCAGUGCUACAAAUUUCUUACUAUAUUUCACACAGAAAUAGUUUGGAAACUCUUUAUUACUUGAUCUCAUGAAUGGACAAUUGAUAACGCACAUUAAAUAAUCAGAUUUGGAUGUUUCCAUAUAAGACACGCCAUGCAACCAUCUAUGAAAGGUAAUUUAUUAACACAAUUAACACGUGUCAGAGCCAUGCAAACAGGUAUGGAAAGUUUUUUUUGUUAAUGGAUGAAAUCCAAUAAGUUAUAUAUCCAUCAUCUGAACAAAAUCACGAUGCAAACGAACGACAUCUAAGCAAGAUGCCUGGACACCUAGGUGCCCCAAACGGUCAUAUAUAUAUCUCCUCUAAUAAUAAAGCACACACUGCUUCUGGCGUCCGUUGCGGCAUUUUUGCAAAAACACCCCUGCAGUUUCCUCUAAUUAACCUGCGAUACGUUUUUAAGUGAGACCGAACCGUUUUUUUAUAUUUUACACAAAAAACCCCCUUACUUUCGUGCUAAAUAACCCAUGGUCCAAAUUAUAUUCAGAGAGAAUCAUUUUUUAAACUUUUUAUGUACACCCCUUACAUAUGCGUUAAUAACCUCAAAGUCCAUUCAGAAUAAAUAUGUAUUUACAAAUAACAAUAUCUUUUAAACCGUAAAUUCAGCUUAAACAUGUUAUAUAUGAAACUUAAUUAGAAAAAUGUGUAGAGUUUGAAUAUGUUGUUAUUUUACAUAUUAAAUAUUAAAAAAAAACUAUUAGAUACAAUGCUAAUCAAUAUUUGUCUUUAUUUCGUACCAACUAUUUGUAUUGUAACAUGUUAACUUAAGCAUCAAUAUUUGGAAAAUGUUACAAUCUUUGGACAUGAUAUACUUGCACUAGGUUCUUUCUUUAUACAUAUUUUAUAAUCUAAGACUUUACGUACGUGCUUUUUUUUGACAGUAUUCAUGCGCGUUUUUUCCAAUGGAUUACAUUUUUUUAUUAAGGGCCCAUGUCACGGGCUUUGCCCUAGGGCCCUUCAAAACAUAGGGUCGGCCCUGGACGUGAUAUGUUUGAUUCCACCGAGCAACAAUUAAUGUAAGCACGAUAAAAGAAAAUCUAUCAAUGACCACGAGCAAGCAACAGUGCACGUCAAGCACUCUUCUCUGUCACACAUGUGGCCUGCUUCUCCUUCAAAAUCAAGCUGUGAUCUGCAGCACGGAAGCGAGUGGAAGGGUGACGAAGUCCGGUCGAGCGCGACGAGGCUGGUGACAACCCUCAGACGACAGCGGACCGAACGACGCUGCCACCAAGCAACCAGUUCCACACGUACGACAACAGGCCAUGAAAUUACAUGCAUAGGAGCCGCGUACAAAACUAUUUUUAGCAUCCUUGGAGCCAAGAGGGCCCAAAGAGACAGAUACCUGGCUGAGGAUCCAAGCCUCCAGCUUCCACAACUGCACUAAACAAAUCUCCUUCCUUCACUCCUAAUUGGAGUUAGACACGGUUUACUAGCCUCCGAAAUGCCGCCUGCUGGCCUAUCUGCAAAUCUCGUUUGUUCUUUUUUGCCUCCGGCAUCCGUACAGGUCAUCAAAGCGAUGAAUUCCAUCACUACUAUCAACUCCCAUACCUCGGCGAACUCACCAGCGGCUCACAUAAUAAAAGAUAAAACAGACAUGCCGCUUCUUUCUUCCCUCGGCACAACUGAGACAGUACAGCUUAGCCAUCCCUCAGCUUAGCCAGUUUUGGGCUGCACAUUCUUUCCGCCGACAGGCCUAGUUGCCCCUCGGCUUGCUGUUAAUUUGAGUCUACAAUCUCAGGGGGCAACGAGUCCCGCGAGUUCACCUGGUGGUGAGUCCUGAUGGUGAGUCCCUUCUCUCUUCUGUUCAAUCAGGUGUACACCAAAUGCCUUGAUUUAGCGUGCAGCAAAUGUUUUUCUCUAAGAAUUUACCGGAUUGACAAUUUGACAGUGUGCUAAUUAAGAGUAUUCUAGUAGUACGAUGACUUAAUUUGUUCUGUAAGACCCGUUCUUCUCAUUAUUGCUGCUCAGUUUCCAUUGCCCGAGAUAAAAUAAGUAGGUGUGUUGUCUGCUAAUGAUUUUUCCAUAAACAUGAACUGAAGAUACUGUUAUUUCUAACACGGUAGCCUGUAUGCCCAUCUUGUUCAACUUCUAAAAAUUUGCCAUCACCGUAAUAAAUCCCACUAAAGAUGUCAAUGCCUUUGAUAUUAAGAUCCGCUAGCUUGAUGUACUGGAGGAGUAUUUUGUGUAUUCCAACUUCCUCCUUUUGUUUUGCUCUUCACUCACUGUGUCAACUGUUCAAAAUGCAAUUGAUCAGGGGAAUCUGGUGCAAAGUUUAAUCCGACAUGCUGAAAAGAUAGUAUGAAUGGACGUAUGAUACAGUCAGUCAUGGGUAGCGGUGACAAGUCCAGCUCUGCUGAUUUUCACGGCAUCAUGGCAAACACGGCUGGCUGUGGCGCCUAUUGUUCUCAGGACUUCAUCGAGUCAAGCACUGCCAAGUACAAUGAUUCAGAAUUAUUUUCAUAUCCACCAAUCCCUGUGAGCUGCUAUCCUCCGCUGUCAAUUGUUUCCAACAAGGUUGGUCACGUUCCAUGGAGCACAUCCUCUUCUUAUAAGGUCUACAGUCCCCAACUCUUCAGUGUCAGCUGCGAUGAAACAUCAGCUGGUUGGCGCCUAAUCAGUGUGGCGGAGCACCAAAAGACCGACUCAGAUAUAACUCUCAGCCACAUAGAACAAAUGUUGAUGCAAGACACCGAUGACAAGGUCAGACCACCUCAUGGCGAGACUGCCAUUAGAACCAUGGAGGAGCCCUUCUAUGAACUUCUUGGACAAAAGUAUCCAGUUUUGCCAGAAUUGCUACCACUUUGUGCAUGCCAUCGCCUGAAGAAUCUCAAUGGAAGUGUCAGCAGGAUUACUGGGCAGUUGUGCAGUAAUUGCUCUGUAAAUGUCAGCUCACAUAAUUAUCACUCCAAUGUAGACUCACAAGCUUUCCAGGCUCCAUGGACUUUAUCCGCCAUUGUUGGAGAGGCAAAACAAUUCCCUCUGGGUGCUGAAAGAAUGGAAAUUGGUUUGAAUAUCAGUGGCCUUUCAAUUGCCAAAAAGCCUGGCCGAGAUAAUCAAUCACUUCAUAUGAUUGAUAAAGACACAAUCAAGGAUGCAUCCUUUGAAGUACGAGGCCGAAAAGUUUUCCGGGGCACAGAAGAGCUUGAUUUGUUAGAAGGAAGGAGGAACAAGCAGAUUGCUAUUUUCCCCGAUGAGCCGAUCCGAAAUGAGGCGUUCGACAAGGUUCUACUUUGCUCCGAGCAUAAUAAGCCCGUGGACGAAGAUAUUAUUUUGCAGCAAGACAUGGCUGACAAAUCCACCAAGUAUCCACAGAAAGACCAAGGAAGAAAACCAGCUAGAAGAAUGACGAGAGGUAAAACACGAAAGAAGAAAGAGGUGGUAGAUCUCAGAAGCCUCCUUAUCCAUUGCGCAGAAGCAGUAUCUGUGAACAACCGUACCUUAGCAAGUGACAUACUUAAAAGCAUAAGACAACAUUGCUCACCAAGUGGGGAUGAUACCCAGAGGCUAGCCUUUUACCUGGCAGAUUGCCUGGAGAUAAGAUUGUCUGGAAGUGGGAGUCAGAUAAACCAGAAGGUCAUCACAACACCAACAAAUGCAGCACAUAUUCUAAAGCUAUUCCAUCUGUGUUUCACAGUUUGUCCUUACUUGAGGUCAUCAUAUUAUCUCUCAAACAAGACAAUCCUUGAUGUCUCAAAGGGAAAACCACGAGUGCACAUUAUUGAUUUUGGCAUUUUCUAUGGUUUUCAGUGGCCUUCAUUAUUGAAACAAUUUGCAGACAGAGAAGGUGGGCCGCCUAAGCUUCGUAUUACAGGAAUAGAGCUGCCCAUGCCAGGUUUCCGGCCAGAUGAAAUGAAUAAGAACACACGGCUACGGUUAACUGAAUAUGCCAACAUAUUCCAAGUACCUCUUGAAUACCGACAGAUUUCAUCAAAAUGGGAAUCCAUCUCCAUCGAAGAAUUGAACAUUGACAAAGAUGAAGUGCUCGUAGUCAAUUGCAUACUCCGAAUGAAGAAUGUUGGUGAUGAGACAAUGUCCAUCAAUAGCGCCAGGAAUAGGGUGCUCAAUACCAUAAGGAUGAUGAAGCCGGAAGUUUUCAUACACGGAGUUGUUAACGGAUCUUACAACACCCCCUUCUUUUUAUCACGGUUUAAAGAAGUCAUGUACCACUACACUUCAAUGUUUGAUAUGCUUGAGAAAACUACUCCACGAGAUAACGAGACAAGAACGGUCCUAGAGAGGGAUAUAUACAAAUAUGCAAUUCUUAAUGCCAUUGCAUGUGAAGGAUCAGAAAGGAUUGAGAGGCCAGAGAGUUAUAAGAAAUGGAAUGUACGAAGCAUCAGGGCCAGGUUUGAGCAGCUUCCACUGAAUCCAACCAUUGUUAAAGGGAUACAAUAUAUGGUGAGACAGAUUUAUCACAAGGAUUUUUUCGUUGACGAAGAAGACCAAUGCCUGGUGUUGGGAUGGAAGGGAAGGAUACUCUACGCAUUAUCCACAUGGAAGCCAAGUGAAUCUGUCGAUGAGGGUGAUUACGACUGAAGAUAUUUGCCGUUUCACAACAAAAGACAGAGGUUCGGCAAUUUAAUCCACCAAAGUGGCUGCUUGUGAGGUGUUGUCUUGUCUCCCAAAUGCCUUUGGAUUUGUACACUUGGUAAUAACAGCUACAUUUUGGCAUAACUGAAUGCAGCCUAGUAUCUUGAAUUUGUUUCAACAAAGCCUUCUUUCUUUCUAGGAUCUCCUUGGAAUUGCAUUUUUCUUUUCUUUAACUACAGAUGAUUACCUCCAAUGCACUAAUAUCUUAAAACUUUCAUAUCGAUUGUCCAACAAACCGACAGCAGUUACCGGUAUCUCUUUCACCACAAAAGAAAGGCACAGCUAACAGUGGAAAGCAAAGAAACAAAUCAAGAAAGGAAUGAAAGAAUAACUAGCUUGAUGAUAGUACCUGCUGAAAGGCUGGAAUCCUGAAGGAGGGAUUUCUUUUGCACGAUUCCAGGCUAACCGAUGACAGUGCACCCUGUCCUCUUGGCUUUCCUAGGCUGGUUGCGGUGUCGAGCUUUGGCUUCUAUUGUUUGCGAACACCACUGCCAGCAUCCACGGCAUCACUGCGUGCAAAGGAAAGUGAGAGCGCCGCACUUGCAUUUUGUCGAACACCUGCAGAGCAUCCUCCUACUCCGGCGUAUGAAAGUGAGGGUUGCCGCGGUCCGACGACCCUCCGACACAGGUUCGAGCCCGUCGCCUUCGUCCAAGGCUCAAAGCCGGCGCCCUGCGUCAAGUUCUUGUCUCCCAGCCGUCGUCGCCGAACGACUUGACGCCGAUCUUGGAGGCGUUCUUGGACGCACAAAACUUUGCCUGUCGCUUGGACACCAACGACCAAGUUGUACUACGAAGGCAUCCUAGUUACGCCUGGUGGCAACGACGGCGUACGCGUGCCGGCGUGCGCCGCCGUCUCGAGUCUCCAGGUCCGCGCGACGGCGAAGGGAGCCGAAGUUCUCUUCCGCAGAGCAAGGCGUCCCGAGAUUUUUUAUUUUUUUUCCCGCAGAGUAGGGGUCUGUUUGGCUUGUGCGAAGUUUUUUUUUUUAAAAAAAAAAGAGCAAACAAAGCAAAACAAAAAAAGAAAAAAUUGGCUUGUGCUAAGUUUCCUUCAGAUCUUGGCUGAGGUUUUGCUUGUCCAUGAGCUGACCAAGAUUGACUAAAAAAAUUGACCAGAGUUUGCAACAACAAAAAAAGGUUGUCAUUAACAUGCUAAAAAGAUUGGCAAUCAUCUAUACAAACACUCUCUUUGUAGACUAAUAUUAGCAAAAGGGUCCGUGCGUUGCAACAGGAAAAAAAUAUCACAUACUUUUAAUGUAUAAAAGGUGAUUCAUAAUUUGAGUAUUUGUAGUUAUGACCCAAACAAAGAUGAUCUUAGCCUAAAAAGUAGUUCAAGAUUUCACAUGUCUUCUAUUAUAAUACGGCUUGCAUGUAUAUUUAAUACGUACGAAUAAACAGUCAAAUCUUUACCUAAUAAUAAAGAGGCUAUUGUUUCCGUCGGAAAACCCACCGAGGCAUUUUUAUAAAAAGACCCCCUUAUUUAUUUUCUCGUAAUUAAACCCGAGGUCCCUUCUUUAAGUGGGAGUCAGGAAAAAACGUUUCGUUCGGGAUCGCCUCCUCUCCCUCUCGCCCACAAAGUCGCCGCCGCCACUACCCGACCUCCGGCACCGCGCAGCACGCCAUCGAGCUUCCCACGGUCCUCGCUCCCUCCCCUCCGGCCAGAUUCCCGCUCCAGUCCCUCUACCGCCCGCUCACAACCCACGACGUCCCUCCUUCCAUCUUGGUCACCCUGAGCCUCCUCGUCGCCACCUGGAAGAGCACCCCGAUGCGUUCGUCCCCGCCUAUAGCCCUGGUUCCAGCGGGAUGACUUGGGGGAGGAGAAAACUGCCAACAGAUUUGUUCCGGGAGCCAAAGGAAUUACCCCCUCGCCGUGCGUGUGACCACCAAAUUCCGUUGGUGCCAGGUGCAGUGCCAGUCAAUGUCCGGCCAUAUAGAUAUGCACCCCACCAGAAAACAGAGAUCGAGAAGCAAAUCUGUGAGAUGAUGAACAAUGGCAUUAUUCGUCGCAGCGCGAGCCCCUUCGCUUCUCCAGUGCUUAAUGUCCUCCCGAGUGGUGCUGCAGAUGACAAUGAUGCAAACACAAAUGACGAUUCAGAUAUUCAUGGUAAGAUUUCUGCACUCAUCUGUCCAUUAAAUGUCAUACAAACUUUCUUCUUUUCUCAUUACUUUCUAUUUUCAUCUCAAAAAACUUCUUUGUGUUGAUAAAAUCCUUUUGCAGAGCAACAUCGGGUAUUUGAUAAUGCAAACACUGAUUUAAUUACCCCGAAAGUGGAUAAUGGAACCAUUCCAGUAUCUAGACAAUUUCACACUGUUAAUGAAAAUUUUGCUGAACAUGGAGACGACUCCAUGGGAGAACAAUUGAUGCAGUCACCUGCUGCGGCGUCAACAUAUAUCAGAAAUUGACAAAAGAGAGAACACAUAAAGUAAUAGUAGGCGAAGGGUGCUAUUUCGAGAAAACAUACCAAUUGAUUCCAAGCUCUGUGUCAUGACAGUCUUGCAUCCGGCUCACAUGGUACGUCAUGUUCCUAAACCACUCUUAACAUUGUUUGACAGACAACAUCUCGAAGCAUGGAUAUGGUUCGGAUUUAUGAUCCUAUGUUUAUCUUGCGUUUCUCGAUUCAUACUCUUCUCAUGGGUUAUAUUGAACCUGCUGAAUUCUCUCGAGUUGGCCUGCUUGCCAUUACGGUUGGUUGCAUAUCAUCUCGUGAUGAAGAAUUGCGAAAGCUGGGUUACGAAUCUCUAAAUGCAUUCAAAAACUCACUUGAGGUAAUGCUCUGCUAUUUUUGAGAUCCUUAUAUUUUAUUAGGUGACUUGUUUAUUGAUUGUAAGUAUCUUAUAUUUUGAUACAGAGGGAGUAUUUGUUUAGUUGCCAGCUAUAGCAUCGGUAGAAAAUUUGGGUUGGGUUUCCAGAACAUGGAUAAUAUGAAUUUCAUAAUCUAUAACUUCUAACUUCUAUAAACAAAAUCAUGUUCUUGCAUCAAUAUGUCCAUGUUCCAGCAGUACUUUACAUUUUCUUGGUGCAUUCGAACUGGUGUGAAAGAUUAUCCUUAUCAACAUUCUGAGAGCAAUUUGAUGCUGAAUCUGCAGAACAAAUUUUGUGCCCGUAAUUUUAUUUGGGAUGUCCAUUUUAUAUUAUGUUGUACACCUGUGACAUGUGCAGGUUUCUCAGAAAAGCAAGGACAAAUAGCAGCUCCAGCUUCUUUUGACAUAUCUACAGAAUGGGAUAUCCAAACCAUGGCAGAGGAUACCUUCCAUUAUUGCUAUUUUUGCCGCAGAAACAUCAUUAACCCAGCUGGAUAGUUCGCAUACUCAGUUCAAUACCAUAAUGCCCUGUUUGGUUGCGCAGAAUUCGCCGCGGAAUUGAAUUGGCAAUGGAAUUCCAAAUCAACGAUUUCAAUGGAAUUCCAGUUUUGCUGUUUGGAUGCACAUGGUAUUCGUCCCUAGAAUCAAGGCUGAAAUGGAAUUCCAAAUCUUGUUUGGAUACAUCAUGUGGAAUUGAAUUUUUUUGGACUUUGAACAAUAUAACAUGGAUGAUAAAUAUGUCUCCAACACAUAGCACAAGCGGGUAGUUUUUGUCUUACAAAUAGGACAAAGUACGUAGUUUAUGUCUUACAAGUAGCAGAAAGGGGGUAGUUUAAGUCUUACAAAGUACAUAAAUAAUAGUUCAUAAGAACAACCGCAAGGGUAGCAAUCAUCGAGGCAAGGUCAAGAGCCACGGCUUCCUCAAGUCCCGGGGUAGUGCCAUGAGUGACUCAAAGGUGCGCUCAUUGGCUGUGAGCUUCCCAUAAGCUCUCAGCAGAUCAUCACCCUCCAAACCAGGUAUCUCCUUUAGUGCAGCAAGGAUUUCAGAUGGAGGAGUCACCUUUUGUGCAUCUGUUGUCUUCAAAGCCUCGUCAAAGGUGCAUCUCAGCUCUCCCACCAUGCUAAGGAUAGCAUCAGCAGCGCGUGCCCUCUUCUUGGGCGGCUCAGGAGUUUCUUCAUCAUCAUCCCCAACCUGAGCAACUGAUGAGGAUUGUGGUUGAGCACACUCAGCUCCUGUCUUUGCACCUGCACCUGUCGCAUGGUCUUUUGAAUAUAUAGUAGAUAUAGCUUGCCAAUUCUUCACUUCCUUGUUCCUGUAGUAAGCUGCAUCCUUGUUUGCCUACAUAAGACACAUAUAUUAGAGAUGAUGUUCAAGUUGCGAAAGAAAGCAAUGUCAUAAAAUUGAAGAGUUCCGUACCUCCACAUAUCGAAGCCACACUUCAUCACUUUCAACCAUCACCAUGUUAUUGUCCCAAUCCCAUCCAAAGCCACUCUGAGCAAGCAUCUUGCUAAUGAUAUCAUACUGUCUGUCAAAUGUCUUAAUUCUUGCUAUUAUCUUGUCCUUGUUGAUGACAACGUCACAUGUCUCCUUCACAUGCUUUAUGCAAGCAUUGUACACAUGCGGCUUCCAACCAUUUUGAGCAUGGUCACCCCUGUUGUGAUGCUCAACAAGCAUGGCCAAUAAUGCAGUGUCCAUCUCAGGAGUCCACACAAGGUAAUCCCUACUGGGUUUCUUACCUUUUGCUCCAGCCAUGAUUCUACGAGUGACAUACAUAGAAAAAUAAGGACAAAGAGCAAGUUGUAGAUAGUAAAAACAUAUGUAUAUAUUAAUUCAUAGAUGAUGCAUGUACAAAAGACACCACGACAAGAAGCUAUUAUAUCAGGCAAAAGAGGUAGGAUCACACAAAAGUGUACCAUCAACUAGCGUACUUAUCUACUCCAUUGCUAGUUCAGCAUGCGUCACAAGGUACUCAGCAAACAUCUCGUCAGCAAAGUCCUGCCUAAACAUGUUCCAUGCAUCGCUUUGUUGCACACUUCUAAUGACAGCUGCAUCAUCUACAGGUUCAGGAACCAUAGCUGCUAGUUCAGCGUCGACCUCCUGCAGCAAUAGAUCAUCCCUCAUAUGUUGUGUAUCCCUUGCAUAGUUGUGUAACACACAACACGCAUUAAUAAUUCGAAUCUGCAAAUAUUUUGUUCAUAGUUAGCAUUUGUUAUUACAUAUUAAUUAUUUAAUUGUUAACACACAACAUGUAUUACCUGGUCAUGUAUGCCAAAGAAAGAACAAGAACGGAGGAUGGCCCAUUUUUUCUUCAACAACCCAAAACAUCUCUCCACUACGUUUCUAGCACGAGCAUGCCGCAAAUUGUACAACUCCUUCUCAGUUUGGGGGCGUUGAUUACUUGCAACCCACUCUUUCAAGUGGUACCUAGUGGAUCGGAACGGAGAUAGAAAUCCCGGUCCAUUUGUGUACCCAGCAUCAACUAGGUAGUACUUACCUAUAUGUCAAGCAAAUAAGUUAGUUAUGAAUUACAUAUGAGAAAAAGAAAGCCAAGAGAAAGAGUGGUACCCUGUGGUACAACAAAUGCAUCUUGGCGGUCAAUUCUCAUAGCAUCUUUCAACGCGCGCGAGUCGGAUACCGAGCCCUCCCAACCAGGUAGAACAUAGAGGAAUUUCAUGUUCCAAUCAACCACACCUAACAUGUUAGUGGUGAUUUCUUGUUUUCUGUUCCUAUACCUCCCUUUGUCAGCCGCCCGAACAAACACAGGAAUAUGACACCCAUCUAGAGCUCCAAGUGCAUUGAGAAACCACUUCCAUUUGUAAUCAUCCGGAGGAGUGGCAGAAGGCUCAGGGAGCUUGAUGAACUCUCCAGUUAGAGAUAGGAUGGCAGCUAACACAUUUUUGAAGUGCCUACUAGUGGUCUCCAAAGACCGCUCAAACCUAAUCAUUCUCAUUUUAGUUCCAUGCCCAACAACUUGUAAGAACAUAGCAAUAUUUUCUUCUACUGUGACAAACUUGCUAUCUUUUAGACCACACUUCUCACGCAACAUAGCACAAAGAUUAUGAAAAUUUCUUUUGGUUAACCGUAGCUCAUCAUAGCAUCUUGUCUCCGACCCAUUAUAUGUUUUUUUCAAUACAUACUUCCUAUAUGCAACCUUCUCCUCGAACUCAGUGAAGGCUCCUAGAUCCCUCGGUGCCCUUUGAGUACUAACAUAAGCUAAAGCAAGCAUAGACACCUCAAAAAACAUCUUUGUCAACACUAGCCUUUUUCUUUUUCUUCUUCUGUUCUCUUCGGUAACAUAAUCGACCAACUCUUGAUUAGACAUGAUGAUGCUACAUGAUGAACAAGCAUAUAAGCAAGCAUAGCACAUACAUUUUAAAUCAAACAUUCAUCAAACAGAACCUGUUCUCAGAUUUUAUUCUCAGAUUUCUCAGAUACCCAAUUUUAUUCUCAGAUUUCUGUUGCAUUUUCGUUCUCAUAUUCACCUACUAAUGAACUAGCAAUAGCACAAAAUAGGCAUACAUGCAUAAAUGAACUAGCAGGGUAUAACUAGCCAAUACGCAAUUUUAUUCUCAGAUUUCUAUUGCAUUUUCGUUCUCAUAUUCACUACUAAUGAACUAGCAAUAGCACAAAAUAGGCAUACAUGCACAAGCCCAAAACAAUAAAACAGAGCAGGGGUGCGGUGCAGGGGCGCGGUGCGGCCGUGCGGCGUCGGCGGGGCCAGAGCGCGGGGUGGCCGCGGGUCAGCGAGGGGGGAAGGGAUGUGGACCACGCCGCAGCAUCCAUGGCUGCCGUCGGUCACCAUCCCCCCGGUCAAUCCUCGAUCUAGGGUUCCCGGGCGGCCAGGGGUAGGGGCGAGAUGGGCGAGGGAGGCGGCGAGGAGAAGGUGGGCGGGGAAGAGGAGGAAGGGCUGGAGAUGGAGGCUCACCUGCUCGGGCCGCCGGCGAGGACUCCCGCCUCGUCUGUGCUCGCGAGGGAGGCGGCGCCUCGUCUGUGCUCGCGAGGGAGGCGGCGAGGAGAAGUUGGGCAGCAGGUCGGGGGAGAAACGGUUCGCACCGCCAGAUUCCGCGAGAUUCCCACCUCCAGAGCUCGGAAACGGUUCGCACGCGGGGCGGGUCUGCUCGGAAUUGGGCCUGGGUUUCCAGAUGCAAAUUUCUAGUACAACCAAACAAAAGAAUUAGGGGCCCAAUUCUAGAUUCCUUAAUUCCAUGCUCAAUUCUAUGCAACCAAACAGGGUAUAAGCAAAUUUUUGAUGAAUUCAGCCUCUGUCGACAUGCAGGUGGGUCAGUUAUUUUUAUUUACACAUGUGAACUAUCCUGAGCUAUGGAUAUCAUAUUGUGUUUAUUCUUAUCACUUUUUUUUUUGCAGAGUAUUCCAUUAUUUCCAACAUUGUUGAAGAGUAGUUCUGUGCAUUUCAAAGCUGAUUGAUUGUGGAUGCUUCGCUUAUUAUAUGCUGGAUCAAAUCUAGCUGAUGAUGCUACGAUUGUGUUUACUGUAUCCAGACUCUGCAGGGUGAGGGGCGUGUUCAUCCCCUUCCUCUGUGGAGAUGGCUACGGUUCGGCGGCGCGGGAGGAUGGAGGACGCGAGCUGGCCUGGCAGCUUCGCCUCGAUUCAGAGGAAGCGGGUCUCCUUCCUCGGUGCUGCUCGAUGCAACGGCGACCAUGCUCGGGGCUGCAGGUCUCCUUCCUCGGUGCUGCUCGAUGCAACGGCGACCAUGCUCGGGGCUGCAGGUGUUGGUGAUGCAUGGCGGCGUGCACUCGACAGAUACACAAGGUCGGGCGUUAGAGCAGAGCAGAGUCGGGAGCGCACGACGUGCACUCGACAGACACACCGCCACCGGCUGGAUCGCGUGGCCCCCCUUCCCCACACCGUCUCAACCACGCCCCUCGCCGGCCCCGGCGCACUCCAGGAGGCGUAGUGUAUCGUCGGUGCAUAGAGGUGUGAGGUCGCCAAGGGGGGAAUCAUGGGCGGGAGGGGGAUCCUUACCGCGCGCAUCCUUGCUAGCUCGAUCCGGCGCCAUGGUCCCUGGGGAUGCAUGUAGAGUGAAGGACAGGAGGAGGGAAUAGAAAGUACGCAGCGCCGUGGGUGUGUGGCUGGAGCAUGGGCGCGUGUGUGGCUGGAGAGAGCACGGAGGGAACGGGUGUGGGGAACGUCGCAUGGGAAACAAAAAUUUUCCUACGCGCACGAAGACCUAUCAUGGUGAUGUCCAUCUACGAGAGGGGAUGAGUGAUCUACGUACCCUUGUAGAUCGUACAGCAGAAGCGUUAGAGAACGCGGUUGAUGUAGUGGAACGUCCUCACGCCCCUCGAUCCGCCCCGCGAACAAUCCCGCGAUCAGUCCCACGAUCUAGUACCGAACGGACGGCACCUCCGCGUUCAGCACACGUACAGCUCGACGAUGAUCUCGGCCUUCUUGAUCCAGCAAGAGAGACGGAGAGGUAGAAGAGUUCUUCGGCAGCGUGACGGCGCUCCGGAGGUUGGUGAUGAUCUUGUCUCGGCAGGGCUCCGCCCGAGCUCCGCAGAAACGCGAUCUAGAGGAAAAACUAUGGAGGUAUGUGGUCGGGCAGCCGUGAGAAAGUCGUCUCAAAUCAGCCCUAAUUGCUCCAUAUAUAUAGGAGGAGGGANNNNNNNNNNNNNNNNNNNNNNNNNNNNNNNNNNNNNNNNNNNNNNNNNNNNNNNNNNNNNNNNNNNNNNNNNNNNNNNNNNNNNNNNNNNNNNNNNNNNNNNNNNNNNNNNNNNNNNNNNNNNNNNNUCCCUCCUCCUAUAUAUAUGGAGCAAUUAGGGCUGAUUUGAGACGACUUUCUCACGGCUGCCCGACCACAUACCUCCAUAGUUUUUCCUCUAGAUCGCGUUUCUGCGGAGCUCGGGCGGAGCCCUGCUGAGACAAGAUCAUCACCAACCUCCGGAGCGCCGUCACGCUGCCGGAGAACUCUUCUACCUCUCCGUCUCUCUUGCUGGAUCAAGAAGGCCGAGAUCAUCGUCGAGCUAUACGUGUGCUGAACGCGGAGGUGCCGUCCGUUCGGUACUAGAUCGUGGGACUGAUCGCAGGAUUGUUCGCGGGGCGGAUCGAGGGACGUGAGGACGUUCCACUACAUCAACCGCGUUCUCUAACGCUUCUGCUGUACGAUCUACAAGGGUACGUAGAUCACUCAUCCCCUCUCGUAGAUGGACAUCACCAUGAUAGGUCUUCGUGCGCGUAGGAAAUUUUUUGUUUCCCAUGCGACGUUCCCCACAGUGGCAUCAUGAGCUAGGUUCAUGCGUAGAUGUCUUAUCGAGUAGAACACAAAAGUUUUUGUGGGCGGUGAUGUGCGUUUUGCUGCCCUCCUUAGUCUUUUCUUGAUUCUGCGGUAUUGUAGGAUUGAAGCGGCUUGGACCGACAUUACUCGUACGCUUACGAGAGACUGGUUUCAUCGUUACGAGUAACCCCCUUUGCUCAAAGAUGACUGGCAAGUGACGGUUUCUCCAACUUUAGUUGGACCGGAUUUGACCGAGGAGGUCCUUGGAUGAGGUUAAAUAACAACUCAUAUAUCUCCGUUGUGGUGUUUGCGUAAGUAAGAUGCGAUCCUACUAGAUACCCUUGGUCACCACGUAAAACAUGCAACAACAAAAUUAGAGGACGUCUAACUUGUUUUUGCAGGGUAUGAUUGUGAUGUGAUAUGGCCAAUGAUGUGAUGUGAUAUAUUGGAUGUAUGAGAUGAUCAUGUUGUAAUAGAAAUAUCGACUUGCACGUCGAUGGUACGGCAACCGGCAGGAGCCAUAGGGUUGUCUUUAUACUAACGUUUGUGCUUGCAGAUGUGUUUACUAUUUUGCUAGGAUGUAGCUUUAGUAGUAAUAGCAUAAGUAGCACGACAACCCCGAUGGCAACACGUUGAUGGAUGAUCAUGGUGUGGCGCCGGUGACAAGAAGAUCGUGCCGGUGCUUUGGUGAUGGAGAUCAAGAAGCACGUGAUGAUGGCCAUAUCAUGUCACUUAUGAAUUGCAUGUGAUGUUAAUCCUUUUAUGCACCUUAUUUUGCUUAGAACGACGGUAGCAUUAUGAGGUGAUCUCUCACUAAAAUUUCAAGACGAAAUUGUGUUCUCCCCGACUGUGCACCGUUGCUACAGUUCGUCGUUUCGAGACACCACGUGAUGAUCGGGUGUGAUAGACUCAACGUUCACAUACAACGGGUGCAAAACAGUUGCGCACGCGGAACACUCGGGUUAAGCUUGACGAGCCUAGCAUGUGCAGACAUGGCCUCGGAACACAUGAGACCGAAAGGUCGAUCAUGAAUCAUAUAGUUGAUAUGAUUAGCAUAGGGAUGCUUACCACUGAAACUAUACUCAACUCACGUGAUGAUCCGACUUGGGAUAGUGUAAGUGGAUCAUGAACCACUCAAAUGACUAGAGAGAUGUACUUUUUGAGUGGGAGUUUAGCAUAUAAUUUGAUUAAGUUAAACUCUAAUUAUCUUGAACAUAGUCUAAGUCCACUUUGAAUAUAUUUGUGUUGUAGAUCAUGGCUCACGCGAGUGUCAUCCUGAAUUUUAAUACGUUCCUAGAGAAAGCUAAGUUGAAAGAUGAUGGAAGCAACUUUGUAGACUGGGCUCGUAAUCUUAAGCUAAUCUUACAAGCUGGGAAGAAGGAUUAUGUCCUUAAUGCUGCGCUAGGAGAUGAACCACCCGCUACGGCUGAUCAGGAUUUUAAGAAUGCUUGGUUAGCACGUAAGGAGGACUACUCAAUAGUUCAAUGUGCAGUCUUGUAUGGCUUAGAACCGGGACUUCAACGUCGCUUUGAGCGUCAUGGAGCAUUUGAGAUGUUCCACGAGUUGAAGUUUAUCUUUCAGAAGAACGCCCGGAUCGAGAGGUAUGAGACCUCCGAUAAAUUCUAUGCUUGCAAGAUAGAGGAAAACUCGUCUGUCAGUGAACAUGUGCUCAAAAUGUCUGGGUACUCAAACCGUCUAGCUGAACUAGGGAUUGAACUCCCGCAAGAAGCUAUCACUGACAGAAUCCUUCAAUCACUGCCGCCAAGCUAUAAAGGCUUUGUGUUGAACUACAACAUGCAAGGGAUGAACAAGUCUCCCGGCGAGUUGUUUGCGAUGCUGAAAGUCGCAGAGUCUGAACUCCGUAAAGAGCAUCAAGUGUUGAUGGUGAGCAAGACCACUAGUUUCAAGAGAAACGGCAAAGGCAAGAAGGGAAAUUCGAAGAAGAACGGCAAGCCUGUUGCCAAUCCGCCGAAGAAACCCAAGGCUGGACCUAAGCCUGAAACAGAGUGCUUCUAUUGCAAGGGUAUGGGUCACUGGAAGCGCAAUUGCUCCAAGUAUCUGGCAGAUAAGAAGGCGGGCAAAGAAAAAUCAGGUAUAUUUGAUAUACAUGUUAUUGAUGUGUACUUAACCGGCUCUCGUAGUAGUGCCUGGGUAUUCGAUACCGGUUCUGUUGCUCACAUUUGCAACUCGAAACAGGAACUCCGGAAUAUACGAAGGCUGGCGAAAGACGAAGUGACGAUGCGCGUAGGAAAUGGUUCCAAGGUUGAUGCAAUCGCCGUCGGCACAGUGUCACUUCAGCUACCAUCGGGAUUAGUGAUGAACUUAAAUCAUUGUUAUUUAGUGCCUGCGUUGAGCAUGAACAUUAUAUCUGGAUCUUGUUUAUUGCGAGACGGUUACUCUUUUAAGUCUGAGAAUAAUGGUUGUUCUAUUUCUAUGAGUAACAUCUUUUAUGGUCAUGCACCGAAUGUGAGAGGAUUUUUCAUAUUGAAUCUUGAUAGCGAUACGCAUGUACAUAACAUUGAGACCAAAAGAGUUAGAGUAAACAAUGAUAGCGCCAUAUUUUUGUGGCACUGCCGCUUGGGUCAUAUUGGUGUAAAGCGCAUGAAGAAACUCCAUGCUGAUGGACUUUUGGAGUCACUUGACUUUGAUUCACUUGACACGUGCGAACCAUGCCUCAUGGGCAAGAUGACUAAGACUCCGUUCUCCGGAACAAUGGAGCGUGCAAGUGACUUGUUGGAAAUCAUACAUACCGAUGUGUGUGGUCCAAUGAGCGUAGAGGCACGCGGCGGAUAUCGUUAUUUCCUCACCUUCACUGACGAUUUAAGUAGAUAUGGUUAUGUCUACUUGAUGAAGCACAAGUCUGAAACAUUUGAAAAGUUCAAGCAAUUUCAGAGUGAAGUGGAAAAUCAUCGUAACAAGAAGAUCAAGUUCCUACGGUCUGAUCGUGGGGGUGAAUAUCUGAGUUUCGAGUUUGGUGCUCACUUAAGAAAAUGUGGAAUUGUUUCGCAGUUAACACCGCCUGGAACACCACAGCGUAAUGGUGUGUCCGAACGUCGUAAUCGUACUUUGUUAGAGAUGGUGCGAUCUAUGAUGUCUCUUACUGAUUUGCCGUUAUCUUUUUGGGGUUAUGCAUUAGAAACAGCUGCAUUCACUUUAAAUAGGGCACCAUCAAAAUCCGUUGAGACGACACCAUACGAACUGUGGUAUGGCAAAAGGCCAAAGUUGUCGUUUCUUAAAGUUUGGGGAUGUGAUGCUUAUGUCAAAAAGCUUCAGCCUGAAAAGCUGGAACCCAAAGCGGAAAAAUGCGUCUUCAUAGGUUACCCAAAAGAGACAGUUGGGUACACCUUCUAUCUCAAAUCCGAAGGCGAAGUGUUUGUUGCUAAGAACGGAACUUUUCUCGAGAAGGAGUUUCUCUCGAGAGAAUUGAGUGGGAGGAAGAUAGAACUUGACGAGGUUGUCAAACCUCUCAUCCCUCUGGAUGGUGGCGCGGGGCAAGGGGAAACCUCUGUCAUUGCGACGCUGGUUGAGGAGGAAGUUAAUGAUGAUGAUCAUGAAACUCCAGUUCAAGUUUCUGUUGAACCACGCAGGUCGACGAGAUCACGUGCUGCUCCAGAGUGGUAUGGUAAUCCCGUCUUAUCAAUCAUGUUGUUAGACAACAAUGAACCUGCGAAUUAUGAAGAAGCAAUGGUGGGCCCAGAUUCCAACAAAUGGCUAGAAGCCAUGAAAUCCGAGAUAGGAUCCAUGUAUGAGAACAAAGUGUGGACUUUGGAGAUACUUCCUGAGGGCCGCAAGGCUAUUCAGAACAAAUGGAUCUUUAAGAAGAAGACGGACGCUGACGGUAAUGUGACCGUUUAUAAAGCUCGACUUGUGGCAAAGGGUUUUUCACAAGUUCCAGGAGUUGACUACGAUGAGACCUUCUCACCCGUAGCGAUGCUUAAGUCCGUCAGAAUCAUGUUAGCAAUAGCUGCAUUUUUCGAUUAUGAAAUCUGGCAGAUGGAUGUCAAAACGGCGUUCCUUAACGGUUUCCUUAAGGAAGAGUUGUGUAUGAUGCAACCCGAAGGUUUUGUCGAUCCUAAAAAUGCUGACAAAGUGUGCAAGCUCCAGCGAUCCAUUUAUGGACUGGUGCAAGCAUCUCGGAGUUGGAACAAACGCUUUGAUGAGGUGAUCAAAGCAUUUGGGUUUGUACAAGUGGUUGGAGAAUCUUGUAUUUACAAGAAAGUGAGUGGGAGCUCUGUGGCGUUUCUAAUAUUAUAUGUGGAUGACAUAUUACUGAUUGGAAACAACGUAGAGCUUUUGGAGAGCAUAAAAGGUUACUUGAAUAAAAGUUUCUCUAUGAAGGACCUAGGAGAAGCUGCUUACAUUCUAGGCAUUAAGAUCUAUAGGGAUAGAUCAAAACGCUUGAUAGGACUUUCACAAAGCACAUACCUUGAUAAAGUUUUGAAAAGGUUCAAAAUGGAACAGUCCAAGAAAGGGUUCUUGCCAGUUUUACAAGGUACGAGAUUGAGUAAGACUCAGUGCCCAGCAACUGAUGAAGAUAGAGAGCAUAUGCGCUCCGUCCCCUAUGCUUCAGCCAUAUGUUCUAUCAUGUAUGCGAUGCUGUGCACUAGACCGGAUGUUAGCCUGGCCAUAAGUAUGGCAGGUAGGUUCCAGAGUAAUCCAGGAGUGGAUCACUGGACAGCGGUCAAGAAUAUCCUGAAGUACCUGAAAAGGACUAAGGAGAUGUUUCUCGUGUAUGGAGGUGACGAAGAGCUCGCCGUAAAAGGUUACGUCGAUGCAAGCUUUGACACAGAUCCGGACGACUCUAAGUCGCAAACCGGAUACGUAUUUAUUCUUAAUGGGGGUGCAGUAAGCUGGUGCAGUUCCAAGCAAAGCGUCGUAGCAGAUUCUACAUGUGAAGCAGAGUACAUGGCUGCCUCGGAGGCGGCUAAGGAGGGUGUCUGGAUGAAGCAGUUCAUGACGGAUCUUGGAGUGGUGCCAAGUGCACUGGAUCCAAUAAACUUGUUCUGUGACAACACUAGUGCCAUUGCCUUAGCAAAGGAACCAAGGUUUCACAAGAAGACCAGACACAUCAAACGACGCUUCAACCUCAUCCGCGACUACGUCGAGGAGGAGGACGUAAAUAUAUGCAAAGUGCACACGGAUCUGAAUGUAGCAGACCCGCUGACUAAACAUCUUCCACGGCCAAAACAUGAUCGACACCAGAACUGUAUGGGUGUUAGAUUUAUUACAAUGUAAUUCACAUGGUGAUGUGAGGGCUAGAUUAUUGACUCUAGUGCAAGUGGGAGACUGUUGGAAUUAUGCCCUAGAGGCAAUAAUAAAUGUAUAGUUAUUAUUAUAAUUCCUGUAUCAAGAUAAUAGUUUAUUAUCCAUGCUAUAAUUGUAUUGAAUGAAGACUCAUUUACAUGUGUGGAUACAUAGACGAAACACCGUCCCUAGCAUGCCUCUAGUUGGCUAGCCAGUUGAUCGAUGAUAGUCAGUGUCUUCUGAUUAUGAACAAGGUGUUGUUGCUUGAUAACUGGAUCACGUCAUUGGGAGAAUCACGUGAUGGACUAGACCCAAACUAAUAGACGUAGCAUGUUGAUCGUGUCAUUUUGUUGCUACUGUUUUCUGCGUGUCAAGUAUUUAUUCCUAUGACCAUGAGAUCAUAUAACUCACUGACACCGGAGGAAUGCUUUGUGUGUAUCAAACGUCGCAACGUAACUGGGUGACUAUAAAGAUGCUCUACAGGUAUCUCCGAAGGUGUUAGUUGAGUUAGUAUGGAUCAAGACUGGGAUUUGUCACUCCGUAUGACGGAGAGGUAUCUCGGGGCCCACUCGGUAAUACAACAUCACACACAAGCCUUGCAAGCAAUGUAACUUAGUGUAAGUUGCUGGAUCUUGUAUUACGGAACGAGUAAAGAGACUUGCCGGUAAACGAGAUUGAAAUAGGUAUGCGGAUACUGACGAUCGAAUCUCGGGCAAGUAACAUACCGAAGGACAAAGGGAAUGACAUACGGGAUUAUACGAAUCCUUGGCACUGAGGUUCAAACGAUAAGAUCUUCGUAGAAUAUGUAGGAUCCAAUAUGGGCAUCCAGGUCCCGCUAUUGGAUAUUGACCGAGGAGUCUCUCGGGUCAUGUCUACAUAGUUCUCGAACCCGCAGGGUCUGCACACUUAAGGUUCGACGUUGUUUUAUGCGUAUUUGAGUUAUAUGGUUGGUUACCGAAUGUUGUUCGGAGUCCCGGAUGAGAUCACGGACGUCACGAGGGUUUCCGGAAUGGUCCGGAAACGAAGAUUGAUAUAUAGGAUGACCUCAUUUGAUUACCGGAAGGUUUUCGGAGUUACCGGGAAUGUACCGGGAAUGACGAANNNNNNNNNNNNNNNNNNNNNNNNNNNNNNNNNNNNNNNNNNNNNNNNNNNNNNNNNNNNNNNNNNNNNNNNNNNNNNNNNNNNNNNNNNNNNNNNNNNNAUCUUUUUUCAAAGCUAUCCCAGUAAAUCAGUCUAGACCCCAAGUUUGCGAAUCUGAAGUAAAUGCAACCAGUUCAGUAGCUAUAGAUGGGUCAAUUAAGUAAGCCCAAUGAAAUUAAGUAAGCUCAAUAAAACACAUCCUGACUAGUACAUUUUCUAUUGAUCGUGGACUUGAUCAUUCAGAACCCACCCUCGAGCGAUCACACCCUGGGGACGAGCUGCCGCCUCCACUGUCGUCUCACAGUUGCCAACGCUGCACAGGUUAGUCCAGCCGAUGGUACUAGAUGGAAAACGAUAAGCGAGUCCGCCUGUUCGCGUCGCCGUCCACACAGGAAGCGGCGUCGCCGCAUGCCGCAGCCGCCUGCGACGUCGCCGCAUGCUGCAGCCGCCUGCGACGUCGCCGCCGCGGUCGCCAUGGUCCCUGCUCAAAACAACAAACGAGCAGCCACCAGAUGCAACAAGGAGCAGGUUCUUUCGUUGUCCUAGUCUUCUUAAUUGUUUGUCGUCUUGGCCUAAUUCUUGAAAGUUAAACACUAAAAGUUAGUUAAAACUAUGAUGUUGCAGGGACUUAAAAAGAUGAAGCAGAUUGAAUCUUUUUUCAAAGCUAUCCCAGUAAAUCAGUCUAGACCCCAAGUUUGCGAAUCUGAAGUAAAUGCAACCAGUUCCGAAGCUAUUGAUUCGACGGUAUUAAGUACAGAGACUGAUACAAAUAAUUUGCAAAAUGAUAUUCCUCAAAGAUUUAAUCCAGCUGAGAUUGAACCUGACCCGGCCUUUCGAAAAGAAUUUUUCUGUGGUUAUGAUAGUCUAUCAAGUCUGUUUGUCAAGAUUGUUCAAACUAAGGAGUAUUUGCGUUUUUCAUUGGUUUAUCGACUCAUCAAACUCGCAUUGAUAUUGCCGGUAGCGACAGAAAUAUUUUUGAAAAUAUACAAACCUUUCUAAAAGGGUGCUGACACUUUCUAAAUUUUACGCAAAAGAAUACAUUGAAAUGGCACCGUAUUUUUUAUUACAUGAAUAUGUUUUGUUAAUACGUGAAAAUAAACAAAUGCAAAUAAAUUUUUUAGUUCCAUAAACCUAUUUUAAAGUAGAUAACUUUUGUCUCAAUAUAUGUGAACAAUUUUUAAAAGUACGUAAUUGAACAUCUUUUAUUAUUUUUGUGUUUAUGUGCUCCUAUGUACAUUUUCUCCUCUUCUAUUGUUUUCCUUUUCUUAUUAUUUUUAUUCUAUUCACUCUCCUGUAUUUUCUAAUUCUGUUUUUGGACUUUUCCUCUUUUCCCUAUGAACACUUUUUGAAACAUGAUGUAUUUUUUAAAAGGCUAGAUACAUAUUGUUUUAAAACUAGGAUCUGAAUAUUUGUUCAAUGCACCAAUAACAUUUUAAAAUAAACAAGAACUUAAUACACAUAGAACGUUUUAUAAAUGCAGGAUUAUCAAAUAUAACAGUUUUUUUUAUAAAUUUCAGUUAUAUAGUGUUCGUGGCUUCAUGCUACUAUUUACAUAGCAUAUGCUCCACUCGGUGACAUAUACAUCUGCCCACAUUCAUACUUCUCUGUGCCCAACUCUUCGCUGGGGAGAACAAGAGGGAAAACAUUGAGCACCACAGGCAACACAUAGACAUAUAUUUAUUAUUUCAGUUUUUUUUUGUGAGGGGUUAUUUGAGUUAUUAUUUAUAGGUGUGUCGGAUAUAUUCAUGGAUAUUAUACAGAUGAAAACAAGCGGCACGGGCAACAUUCGGUGGUAUGUUUAUGGCUAGGCAACCGGGAUGGAGUAUUUGUGUCUCUUGUGGAAUGGUUACCCACCGAAGUAAUAGCUCCAUCAUUGCAUGCUNNNNNNNNNNUGCAUCAGUUAUUAUUGCAUAAGUUUGUUCAAUGAAGAGUCGAGGGUAAUCCUUUUUUUUUGCGGAUGAGAGUCAAGGGUAUUGCAGCCACUGCCAUGUAACGGCAUGUUAUUAUGUUAAAGCGUCGGACCUGACCCCCGACCACCGCGUCGUCCUCGUAAACGACACAGGGGAAUCCUUACCUGACCGAGUUAAUUGCAGGGAGUUACNNNNNNNNNNCAAGCGUCACGGGCAACAUUCGGUGGUAUGUUUAUGGCUACAUCAUUGCAAGCUCCUUGUGGAAUGGUUACCCACCGAAGUAAUAGCUCCAUCAUUGCAUGCUCCUUUGUUGCCAUUUUUGCAUCAGUUAUUAUUGCAUAAGUUUGUUCAAUAAAGAGUCGAGGGUAAUCCUUUUUUUUUUGCGGAUGAGAGUCGAGGGUAUUGCAGCCACUGCCAUGUAACGGCAUGUUAUUAUGUUAAAGCNNNNNNNNNNAUCGACGACACAGGGGAAUCCUUACCUGACCGAGUUAAUUGCAGGGAGUUACCACACUUCGAUACCAUGUUACAAGUCAGUACCACAAAUUGUGUUGGUCGCAGUUCAAUACCAUUUUAGGGCAUAAUUGUUGCAAAAAGGUCUAACAGCCAUAUAACCCUGUAUUGACCGUGGAUCUGACCGCGCAGCCCCACCUAUCAGUGAUACAUGGCCAACUNNNNNNNNNNCGUGUUGGUCGCAGUUCAGUACCAUUUUAGGGCAUAAUUGUCGCAAAAAGGUCUAACAGCCAUAUAACCCUGUAUUGAUCGUGGAUCUGACCGCGCAGCCCCACCUAUCAGUGAUACAUGGCCAACUGGCAUGUGCCGCUCUGCUGAGUAGGACGAGGCCGACGUGGUCGGUCUUAGCGGGCUCGGUCGAACCGAGCCGGACCCCGGCGCACUCUCUUCCUCUCCUCAAGCUCUCUCCCUCCCCCCCCCUUCGAUUCGCAGUCGACCAUUGCUGCCGCCGCCGUCGUUGUGCCAUGGUGUACGAGGACGAGAGCAGCAACGNNNNNNNNNNCGGUCGGUCUUAGCGGGCUCGGUCGAACCGAGCCGGACCCCGGCACACUCUCUUCCUCUCCUCAAGCUCUCUCCCUCCCCCCUUCGAUUCGCAGUCGACCAUUGCCGCCGCCGCCGUCGUUGUGCCAUGGUGUACGAGGACGAGAGCAGCAACGAAUACUCCAGCCUGUUGUACAUCAGCUCCUCCGACGGCGUCAUGAAGUACCAGGUGAGUUGUAGAACUAGGUUUAGGGUUAGGAUUUGUGUUCUUGGGGGAUUCGAUUUGAUUUGGGGAAUUCUUUGUUCAUUUUGCUGUUGUAGGUCCCUGCUAGCAUUGAAGACCAGGACUACAUGGAUGUUGAGACAGCACCGCUGGUUCCUUGUUAGCACCAUGGUCUGGCAGCUGAGAGGCAUGUGGCCUUUGAAGAAUUUGACAUGGGCAAGAGGUUUUUAGUGUGUGCUAAUAAGGUCAGAUGUUGCACAAAAGCUAUAUGUUUUGUAUUAACAAUGAUAGUAAGCACAUGGUCCGGUGCAUAAUUUAUGUUGGCAGAUCUGAUGGUCAUAUUUUAGUUUAGCCAUGUGUUGAUGCAGAUUGUGUAAUUGUUUAAUCUACCCGAGCCAUGCGCUGAUGGAGAUUGUGUAACAUGUCAACAACUUAGUUUGCAGUGUUGAAGUUCAUUGUUUAAUCUAACUGAGUCAUUAAUUGGCCAGCUAANNNNNNNNNNNNNNNNNNNNNNNNNNNNNNNNNNNNNNNNNNNNNNNNNNNNNNNNNNNNNNNNNNNNNNNNNNNNNNNNNNNNNNNNNNNNNNNNNNNNGGUUGCGGUGUCGAGCUUUGGCUUCUAUUGUUUGCGAACACCACUGCCAGCAUCCACGGCAUCACUGCGUGCAAAGGAAAGUGAGAGCGCCGCACUUGCCAUUUUGUCGAACACCUGCAGAGCAUCCUCCUACUCCGGCGUAUGAAAGUGACGGGUUGCCGCGGUCCGACGACCCUCCGACACAGGUUCGAGCCCGUCGCCUUCGUCCAAGGCUCAAAGCCGGCGCCCUGCGUCAAGUUCUUGUCUCCCAGCCGUCGUCGCCGAACGACUUGACGCCGAUCUUGGAGGCGUUCUUGGACGCACAAAACUUUGCCUGUCGCUUGGACACCAACGACCAAGUUGUACUACGAAGGCAUCCUAGUUACGCCUGGUGGCAACGACGGCGUACGCGUGCCGGCGUGCGCCGCCGUCUCGAGUCUCCAGGUCCGCGCGACGGCGAAGGGAGCCGAAGUUCUCUUCCGCAGAGCAAGGCGUCCCGAGAUUUUUUAUUUUUUUUCCCGCAGAGUAGGGGUCUGUUUGGCUUGUGCGAAGUUUUUUUUUUAAAAAAAAACGAGCAAACAAAGCAAAACAAAAAAGAAAAAAUUGGCUUGUGCUAAGUUUCCUUCAGAUCUUGGCUGAGGUUUUGCUUGUCCAUGAGCUGACCAAGAUUGACUAAAAAAAUUGACCAGAGUUUGCAACAACAAAAAAAGGUUGUCAUUAACAUGCUAAAAAGAUUGGCAAUCAUCUAUACAAACACUCUCUUUGUAGACUAAUAUUAGCAAAAGGGUCCGUGCGUUGCAACAGGAAAAAAACUAUCACAUACUUUUAAUGUAUAAAAGGUGAUUCAUAAUUUGAGUAUUUGUAGUUAUGACCCAAACAAAGAUGAUCUUAGCCUAAAAAGUAGUUCAAGAUUUCACAUGUCUUCUAUUAUAAUACGGCUUGCAUGUAUAUUUAAUACGUACGAAUAAACAGUCAAAUCUUUACCUAAUAAUAAAGAGGCUAUUGUUUNNNNNNNNNNNNNNNNNNNNNNNNNNNNNNNNNNNNNNNNNNNNNNNNNNNNNNNNNNNNNNNNNNNNNNNNNNNNNNNNNNNNNNNNNNNNNNNNNNNNAUGAUAAAAUUUCAAGCUGUGGCCAAGUCCUUCUGCUGAGAGGGCAAGAGCCAAGAGGGUUCCCAGAUUGGUAGUGCUUUCAUCUAUAGCUCGAAAAUGGAAAAUAUAUUUUUCUCGUGGUUUACAUCGGUUUCCAUCGAAUGUUGGUUUCCGAAUGAUAUUCUUCCUUUUCGAUAGCCUCUCUGAUAUGUGGUAGAAUCUUCUUGUGCCAAAGAUAAUGGCAGAUUUGUUUCAGUCAGGAGUUUGAUCAGAGUUACCACAUGUCAUCCCUAUAAUCCACAAAAAGAAUGAUCCCAUCAAGCAAUGAAGAGAAAAGUUACUUGGCAAGCAUGAAGGGAGACGUCUUACAAAAUCUAGUCAUGCAGCAGCUUCGCCCGAUUGCAACUUGUAACAAGAAUGGUUGGUGGUCAAUUGAUUUGGUAGAUCUCCUACCAACAUUCAAAAAAAAAAAACGAAUGGUUGGUGGCGCCCACCGACCCAUGUGCCCAGCGUGACGACUGACGACGCCAUCCAGCGCUGCCGCAGCCGGCAGCCCUUUCCCGGAUCGACGGGCAGCAUGUUUGUUGCGCCGGACCACCACGUGACGUACCUGCGCCAGCCGCGGCGUAUAUGACGUUCAUUGACCACUGGCCUUCUAACAGCAACGGCGCCACCACCACGGGAGCAGUUGGUCCUCCAUGGGGUGGGCGAUCGCGCUGCACGGCGGCGCCGGGGRCAUCCCGCGGACGCUGCCGCCGGAGCGCAGGGAGCCCCGCCUCGCCACGCUCCGCCGCUGCCUCGACCCUCGGCGCCGCCGCGCUCCGGGCCGGCCGCUCCGCCCUCGCGUCGUCGAGCUCGUCGUACGUUACGCAUNNNNNNNNNNNNNNNNNNNNNNNNNNNNNNNNNNNNNNNNNNNNNNNNNNNNNNNNNNNNNNNNNNNNNNNNNNNNNNNNNNNNNNNNNNNNNNNNNNNNCGAGCGUAUUACAUUCCAAUUUACAAGAAACAAGAAGAUAUUUGCUAGUGUAUUUGCAAGUACACAUACAAUAUCCACGAAGAGAAACAAAAUUUAUUAAAUCACAUAUAUCUCCAUGUCCUUCUCUUGCAUGUUGUUUGAGUCCUUCAUGUUGUCACACAAAGCCUUCGUUGUAACCACAACAUCUUUUAGUAAAUGUGGUGGCUCAAUGUGCUAUAGAACAUUCUUCGUACUUAUCCAUCUAAAAAAAAACCACACAAAAAAACCAACUCAGUAUAAAAACGGAUGCAUAUUGUAUCCGAAUUGAUCAUAGAUCUAAAUUAACAAGCACGUGGCUGAGAUAUGUAGAUGAGAGAAAUUUUGUGGUUUUACAAACUAAGCUACAAGUAUUGGGCUUCACAAAAAAACCAAUCAGUAGGACCAAACUGAACAACCACAUACAUACCUCGUGGAUCCAUGAAUAUGAUAAAAACCUUGCGCUGGUAGUUUUCAUGGUCAUGUGCAUGGAAAUGCAAAAGUAUGAAAAACGCAAUGAAGAUACCUGCAGUUCGAAAAGAAAUAGGUAAAUUACUAUUGAUGUAAUGGAGAAAAAACCCAACCUACGAGUGCCAUCGGCGACGACGGCGGCAACAAUGGCAACCAUGGCACGUCAAGUGUGCUGAUAGCCAUGAUUGUAUCUGCACUUACUUGUGACGAAGAUGAAUGAUGGAGGGACGAUCACCGGGGUAUGCUCGUGUAGAAGACAGGCGAGAGAAAAACUGAAUCACGUAGGUAUACAAAUGCGUGAUGGAGUGCUUUGAUGGUAUAUAGUUAAUUGCUCAGACNNNNNNNNNNNNNNNNNNNNNNNNNNNNNNNNNNNNNNNNNNNNNNNNNNNNNNNNNNNNNNNNNNNNNNNNNNNNNNNNNNNNNNNNNNNNNNNNNNNNCGCCCCCAAAUCGAAGCAAUCUACCGGGCGAGCGAGCCAAAGCAGGGCGCGUCGAUCGAAUCUCGAACCAGAGGAGGAGGACGGGGACGGGGACGGGGGGGGAGCUCGGACGUACCCUGCCUCCCCUGGGCACGAGGAGCUGGUCGGAGAAGGCGGAGCGCGAGGAGGAGGAGGAGUUGGCGGCGUCCUGCGCCGCGGCCUGCAGCCUCCCCACCGCCGACGAAGCAGAAGGCAUCUCCGCGGGUGCCGACUCCUCUGCUCUCUGGCCUCGCCGGGGUUCGAGCUAGCUAGGGUUUAGCGGCGGAGCCUGUCGAGGGAGCCAAGGAAUUUUCUUCUCCCCCUUUUCUCGGAUGGGGUGGUAAUUAGAGUGGUGGAUAUCUUUUUUCCUCUGUCUUUUCUUUUCUUGUAGGAGAAGAAGAAGAAACGACGGGUCGGAGAAGGAAGGAAAGACGAGGUCGAUUCGGGUAUGGGCCGGGCCGGGCCGAUGCUCGGUUUGGCAAUAGGCCUUGUCCAUUUUCUCUGUGAUUUCUUUUUUUUCUUUUUUUUUUGAGGAACCAGCGGGAGUUCUGCCUUUUCAUAUGGAACAAGAAGAAUUGGCCAGUUAAUAAGGAAAACUGGCCGAAAACCGAUGCAAGAACGACCCACACAUCGACCUCGAGGUCGUGUAUCUAACGAGCCAUCAACUCCUUUGCCCGAGCAACCGAAAUCGACACCCUACAACCCUUUCCGAAGGGGCUCCACUCAACGACGCCUCCAAGGAGGGUAACGACGUCCAAAGAAGCCGUCACCUCCGGCAUCAACCGUGGUCAUGCUAGGCUUUCGCCCAAAGCUCACCAAACCCAUUGCCGCCGCAGCCCGCCGACGUCCCUCGCAAGAAUCCGUGGUGCACAAGAGAGCCUACCGCCGCCAACCACCAGUCACACACAGCCAGCAAAAAACCACCGCGACACCUCACGUCGUCGUAGCCGCCCCGCUCCAGCCACGACAUGUCGCGCCGCCGCGYUKUCNGCCAUCCUCCACACCUCUGCACGAGACCAACCCGGCUAGAUCCGUGCUUGCCACCCGCCUUCGCCCAGCCGACGNNNNNNNNNNNNNNNNNNNNNNNNNNNNNNNNNNNNNNNNNNNNNNNNNNNNNNNNNNNNNNNNNNNNNNNNNNNNNNNNNNNNNNNNNNNNNNNNNNNNUGGGUUCCGGGAGUUCACCGGGGGGGGGGCAACCCACCCCGGGGAAGCCCAUAGGCUUUGGGGAGACACACUAGCCCUUAGUGGGCUGGUGGGACAGCCCCAAGGGGGCCUAUGCGCCAAGAAUAAAGAAAUCAAAGGAAAAGAAAAAAAAAGAGGGAGGAAGUGGGAAGGGAGAGGGACUCCUCCCACCAAACCAAGUCCAACUCGGUUUGGGGGGGGAGGUCCUCCCCCCUUGGCUCGGCCGACCCCUUGAGGGUCCCUUGGACCCCAAGGCAAGGUCCCCCUCCCUCCUCCUAUAUAUAUGGGGCUUUUAGGGCAGAUUUGAGACGACUUUCUCACGGCUGCCCGACCACAUACCUCCAUAGUUUUUCCUCUAGAUCGCGUUUCUGCGGAGCUCGGGCGGAGCCCUGCUGAGACAAGGUCAUCACCAACCUCCGGAGCGCCGUCACGCUGCCGAGAACUCUUCUACCUCUCCGUCUCUCUUGCUGGAUCAAGAAGGCCGAGAUCAUCGUCGAGCUGUACGUGUGCUGAACGCGGAGGUGCCGUCCGUUCGGUACUAGAUCGUGGGACUGAUCGCGGGAUUGUUCACGGGGCGGAUCGAGGGACGUGAGGACGUUCCACUACAUCAACCGCGUUCCCUAACGCUUCUGCUGUACGAUCUACAAGGGUACGUAGAUCACUCAUCCCCUCUCGUAGAUGGACAUCACCAUGAUAGGUCUUCGUGCGCGUAGGAAAAUUUUUGUUUCCCAUGCGACGUUCCCCAACAGAUAGGGCUUUGGAUAUUAUUCGAACCAUAGCUGCCAUUAUACCAAUGAAUGAUGAGGCAAUAUCUAACAUGGGAGGUCUGAAUUUACUAUGUGAUAAUUUAGUCUCACCUGAAGAUAGAGAGGAGUCUUAGGAGGGCUUGCAGAUAGAUCAGCAGCCCAAUGCUACACUACAUGAGGGUGCCGAAAAUACGACUGGUUAUAUGACCAGGAGUAUGUUUCUGAAAAACCAAAACGCACUUAUAAAAGGAGGGUCUAUACUGUCUCUGCAAUUCGUAGGAGUGCUAGAUUCAAGACUGCUAAAAGAUUCCAUGAUGAAAUAUGAAAGGAAUGUUUUGGAACAGCAGAGGUGUGAGAGACUUGGCUAAAAUCCGGUUCCUUGCAGAAACAACGUUACAUCAUAGUCUUGACUUCAUCGCGUCGAUGGAGACGGGUCGGGAUAAUUUUACAUCGCAAUUUCUAAACUCUCUUUCGGGAGGUGUUGAUUUUGAUUGGCAUUGUCUACCACCAAGAGGAAGAUCCGGAGGGAUCUUACUUGGUGUCCGGUGUCAUACACUCCAAGUCCGAGAAGUAGUGCUUGGGGAGUUCUCGGUCAAAUUUUGAAUUAGAACCAAGGAAGAUGGGUUCCAAUGGGCUCUGGUUGCGAUUUAUGGGGCUGCACAAACAGAGCAAAAGCCAGCUUUUCUGGCUGAUCUGGUUCGAAUUUGCGAUGAAACUUUACCACUAGUGGUGGAUGGUGAUUUUAAUAUUAUCAGGAGAGCUGAUGAGAAGAACAAUGAUAACUUUGAUGGCAGAUGGCCUUUUAUGUUCAACACAAUUAUAGAGAGUCUCAACCUACGGGAGAUCGAUCUCUCAGGUAGGAAAUUUACUUGGGCCAAUUCUCUACCUAAUCAAACUUUUGAAAAAUUGGACAGGGUACUUACGAGUGUUGACUGGGAACAGAAGUUCCCGUUAGUCACAGUAUGUGCACUUCAAAGGGCGAUAUCUGACCAUACACCUCUCCUACUAGAUUCUGGCCUGGCCACUCACAAAGGGAAAAGUGAUGCUUUCUCUUUUGAAUCAAGCUGGUUCUCACGUGAGGGGUUUGUCGACAUGAUUUCUAGGGAAUGGAACAAGCAUGCGGUUGGGAACUCUAGUGUUGAUGUCUGGCAAAAUAAGAUACGUCAUCUUAGACAAUUUCUGAGAGGUUGGGUUAAGAAUAUAUCUGGGGUCUAUCGAGAUGAGCAAGAUAGACUGCUCAAAUUUAUAGAUACUCUAGAUCGUCAGGCAGAAACUCGCAUGCUGGAUGACCAAGAGAGGGCCUUAAAGUACGAGGCUGAACAAAGAGUCCGGAUCCUUCUUCGAGAAGAGGAAAUGAAAUGGGCUGUCAGAGCAAAAGUUAGGGCAAUUGUCCAGGGGGAUGAUAACACUAAAUUUUUCCAUUUGAUUGCAAACGGCAAACAUCGGAAAAAGAGGAUUAUACAACUUGAGCAAGAUGAGGGUACAAUAGUAGGUCAUGAGAAUCUAAAGUUGUACAUCACAAACUAUUAUAAAAGGUUGUUUGGUGCUACGACUCAUAGUUUUGUGUCUAUGGACGAGCAUCAGACCGCGGAUAUUCCUCAGAUCGGACAAACCGAUAAUGAGUGUUUAUCCGCUCCAUUCCUAGAGAAAGAGGUGCUACAGGCGAUUCAGGGUAUGAAAAACGGUAAAGCGCCGGGGCCAGAUGGGUUCCCGGCUGAGUUUUAUAAGAGAUGUUGGCAUAUUAUUAAGAAAGAUCUCAUGGCAAUGUUUCACGAUUUGUUCUCCGGGCACUUACAACUCUUUCAUCUUAAUUUUGGUACCAUCACGCUGCUACCAAAAAAAGAGGGUGCUUCGCGUAUUGAACAAUUUCGCCCCAUAUGUCUGCUUAAUGUUAGCUUCAAAAUCUUCACAAAGGUGGGGACAGAUAGGUUAACUAAGAUGGCACAUUCUAUGGUGCAAUCUUCGCAGACGGCUUUCAUGCCUGGUCGGAAUAUUCUUUAAGGGGUGGUUGUUCU